AAGGGGAGAGCUUAUCGAUGCGGAUGUGCAGGGGAACUUCCAUGGAUGCUCUGUCUCCUGCUGCUGGCACCAGGUACAUUGGCGGCACCGUCAGGAACGUGGGCUCGCCCGCAAUGACCACGGCGCCGGGCGUUGAGCUACUCCUCAUGUGCAUGUCCACGAGCACCAUGUCCUCCUUGCCGCAGUUCGCCACUGCUACCAAGGGUGUCUCCAGGUUGACCCACAUCUUACACAUGAACCGCGGUCGCGCCACCGCUCUCGCCCUGGCGCACACCGCAGACACGGCGGUCACGCCGGCAGCGAGCGCGCCCACGAUCAUGAGGAACACGCAGUUGUCGUCGCCGAGGAGCACCAUCCACCUGGUCGACACCGGUAGAUUUAGCUUGAUGACCUUGCCAUACUGCACAUCACGCACCGGCACCAAGUGGACAGUAUGGAGGUGACCGGCGAGCGACUGCGGCGCGCUGACGUAGCCGCAACCAGGCUCAAUGCACCGGCAAGGCGCGUGCGGGCAUGCUUUCUGGUGCUCGGCGACCUCAUGGUAGGUCACGUACCACUGGCAGCCGGCGUUGGGGCACCUGAUCCUGGUGGAGGACACCACGGCGUCCAGCGCAGGGCAGGGGUCAAAGAAACCGCCGCCGUCCAUGCAUGCCUUGCACUGCCCGAAGGGCAGCAGGGCAACACAGCCGCCACAAGCCGAGUGCCCCGCUUUGCACUGCAGGCAGGCACACAAAUCGGAGAUGGCCCGUAAAUUAGCACGAAAGAAUAGAUCUAUCACCGGCGCCAAUCAAGGAAGAAAGAAUGAAACAGAGAGAGGAUCCUGGAAGACCGGAGGCUUGAAGGGGAGGGUGCACAGGGGGCAGUGGAGGACUUGCUUGUAGAUCCUCACGGCGAGUUCCACUCGCUGGAUGUACGCCGCCCCAACGAUGGUGCCUCCAUCUCCUCCACCGGCCGCCUCUUGCUUCAUGUGGCCGUCGGGAAGGUCCAGCCGCGCCUUAUUAGAGCUCUCGUUGGCCUUUUCAGGCGAAGCCCUGCUCCUCCUCUCGGGGGCGCCCUGCAUCUUGGCUGGCCUUUGGGGAAAGAAAACUCCUGUGUGUGUGUGUCUCACGCCAAACUUUUUCAGGAGGUGGGUGAGGAUUAGAGCAGAGAUCUAAGAAGAAAAGUUGCCUAGGCAGCCACACUACACUAUACAUGCUUCCUCAUUGUGGUUUCCAUUCCCAAACUUAUAUGGUAUAGAUAUAAGUCGUGCUCUUAAUAAAUUUAAUUAUUGCUAGUUUAUCCAUACAUUAAUGUUGUCUUUCUUUUAAGUACCUACAAGUGUGCGAUAAAAAGGUUGACCAUUGCAGAUCCAUGUUAUUUUUAGAAAAAUCGAGGAACAUGAAUGUAAGCACAUUGUUUUUUUUCGUAGCUUCCUGCUUAAUUGAUACACCGCAGAGUACUUUUGACUCCAUCGCUAGAGUAUAACACCAUCAAACAUGUGGGAGCCCAUAAAAAGAAAAGGAUACAUGUGUAAGCACAAGGGACACAUGUGACCAAAUAGUACAAAGGAGCACACAAACGCAUCACAACUUUUCACCUAGAUCACGACACAUUCCACCUUUCUCACUGUUAUCGAUAGACACAUACGCCAUCGCUGAUGUGCUGGCUGCCACCAGCAAAUAACAACAACAUGACCACAAGCCUCCAAAAGAUCCAUGGAAUAGGUACUAGAUUUUGGAGACCCCCGACGCCAAAAAUCUUGAUUAGCUACUUGCAUGAAGUAGGAGAAAUAACCCCUUGAUUUGGCAGAUGCCAUCAAGAAGCAAUGAGCAAUCCAUUUGUCACCACACUACGCAACCACCUAGUCCAGAGAGUUCUAAGUAGGCAUCCGUAGCUGGAGGUUAUAGGGACACGGGGGGAUAACCAGAGAUGACACCAACCAAGAUCAUCCUCGCAUCAGUGCGUGAGAAAGGCUUGAACAACGUUGCCAGAGCACGAAAAAGCUAACACUAAGGAUGAUGUGGAAAAUCAAGUAUCAGCUCCCAACCAACCUGCGCUAACCACCAGGUGAUGGAACAUAGAGAGUAGAAAAUAUAUUCAAGAUUAAAAUAGGGGCUAAGCUUCACCUAAUAUCCUAGAAAUAACAUAGUGGAGAAUAGGUAGCAGGAAAUCUUACUUGAACCUAAAGAGAGACAAGAAUAUAAGGGGCGACCAAGUCACUCAACCGCUUCUUCGAGAGGUGUCCGAUCAACUAGGGAGAAAGCCUUGCUUUAUUCGGAGCCUGCGACGGUGGCGCUCGUGGGCAUCGCUAACCUUCUUGGAGGCAUCAUUGUCAUGUUGUUUAAUCCUCCUCGUUGGCACCCCGGGGGGAACCCCUAGUCCAUGUCUUCUUGGUACGGAUGAUGCCGUCAUAACCGGAAUGGCCCUUCUUGAAGGCUUCAUCUUUAAUUAGGGCUGCAUGGUCGAUGAGUGUUUGUUGCUCACAGCGGUGGUGAUGGUGGUGGUGGUGUGGCUGCUUGGGAUUGACGAUGGUUGUUCGGUGGUGUUCUUUGGGGUUCGGCGGCGGUGCUUUUUGCGUCGUAGGGAAGCCAUCUGUUUCCCCUCGCGAAGGUGUAUCGCCCUGGUGCUGUGCUCAAGACCCUUCCCGCGGUUGCCAAGGUGGUGCGGCAAGGUUCGUGCUCUUGGUGAUGUCUCAGUUCAUCUUUGCCCAUUGAUGGCGCAAGAUGUCUCCCCAGCUUGCUAAUCAUUCUGAUUUUCCAUGGUGGAGCUCCCUGUCAAGGUUCGUGUUUACUGCACUCGUUGGUUGUGGAUGCUCCUGAGUUGUGUCGUGGGGCUCGGCACGCAGUCCGGUGUGGUGUCUUAGUCUUCUUGCAAAUUCCCGGUAUUAUGAUCCCUCGAUGACACCCCACAUAUACUUGUGCUUUCAUGGUUACAGUCUUUCUGUCUGUUAGCUAGGUGUGCGUUGUCUUCGGCAUCUUUUUUCUACUUUUUUGUCCUACUUUUUUUGACGCAAAAUGUUUUCUUCUGCUUGCUUCUAAAACAUGGAACAAUCCCAGUAGUGUCAUGGGCAGCCGUUUGGCCUGGGCUGGGCUUUCGGUCCUUGGUCGGCCCGGAGCAGGGGAAGUCUCUAGUCUCCUAGUUGUUGUGGUUCAUGUGUUCUUGCCCCGCAAAUAUUCGCCCUCUGGUUGUUGCGGGAGCUCCCAAAUUCGGUGAAGCCCUCGUUCCCCUUGGCCCUUCCGGAGACCCGCUCACAAAAAUGUUCUUUUUUUUCAAAAAUAAUUGUUGAUGCUCUUAGGAAGUAUGUAGUGUGGCUUAUUCGAAUUCGUUGUUAAUCCGCUUGCAAAUUGGUGAAUGCACAAGGAAUCGAAAUGUUGGAGCUGACCAGUGGUGUUUUGGUCUGCAGUACUGACAGGAGGACCUAGCUUCCAUGGAGAUGGAGAUGGAGAUGGAGAUGGAGAUGGAUGGGAAGAGCAACGGCGUGACCAAGGUGGCGAAGGAGGACCCUUCCCUUUCAUAGGUAACCGAAUGAUGAUUCUGUUGGGUCUAUGUGCAUAGGAGAGGAGAUCACAAGUUUUGGUGAAGACAUGCCCUUGAGAUUGAAAUUAUUGCUCUUUCAGUAAGGAUGAAUUGUUGAUUCUUCAUUUUGUAGCCAUUGCAAAUCGGUAAUGCAUAAGCAAAUUUAAUUGUGGGGUCUGAUCUGAAAUGUACUGCAGGCCAUGUGUAGCGACCAGACCUCAAACAGUCUGAUCUCUGUGCAUCCGUGUCAUCGCUGGAUCGGUAAUGCUGACACACACAGUACUCGAGGAUUUAUAACAGAGUUUCAAUCACACACUUAUUACAUCGAAUGUCUCAAAAGAGAACUUAAUACAACAAUGUGGCUUAAGGCCAUCUAAAUCGAUAACAGCGGAAGGCUUGGAAGAUAAAGUGAGUCCAUCAACUCCAACGGCAUAGCUGAGUGAAAGACAACGACCUAUGGCACCUUACUCGUCGUCUGAAAAGUUUGCAACAUGAACGUUGCAGCCAGAAACGGGUCAGCACAUGGAAUAUGCUGGCAAUGUAACAGAUAGAGAAAUGAACAUAAUAAAUGCUAUCACUACAUGCAUAUAUGGCUGGUGGAAAGCUCUAUGGUUACAGUUUUGCAUAAAGCCAAUUUUUCCCUACAACAAAAGGAAUAAAUUUUAUUUAACUAUCGUGGUGGUUGUUAAACAUUGAGAAGGUUCCUCCAACUCAAUCCCAAUUAAACAUCAUUAUUAAACCCAAUCAAAUUAUAUUUAGAGUGAUGAGAUCAACAUGAUAAUCCAAGAACCAGAUACUCAAGAUGUCCAUAACCGGGGUCACGGCUAACCAUGAUUAGUUUGUACACUCUGCAGAGGUUUGCGCACUUUUCCCCACAAGACUUGAAUACAUCCAUGGUCGGAGAUUUGAGACACAGUCUUUCUGAUGCAUUAACUCUCUACUCUAGAUAGACAGUACCACCUACAACCCACUACAUCUGGUAGUCUACCUCUUCAAGAGCUUCACGCAACUUACUCAACUAUGCCAGAGACCAUAUUGGCUUGUGGCUGCACACAGAAGUUUCUAGCAUGAAUAAUCUUAUGAUCCCUUUGAGCCUGGGUGGUGGACCAUAGGAUGAUCACACGGGUACUCCGGGAUAUCCUAGGACAACACUGGAUUCUCCAGGUGCCCUGACAACCACUGGGUACUCCAGGGUGCCUCAAGCAAUCCACCCAGAUGUGUAUUUAGGUAGCCACCUUAAGUUGACCAUUAAUUAACAAAAACUCACAUCUGUCAUGGAUACACUCACCCAAACCACGUCUACGAGCAUAGCAUAGCAAUAUAAGCAUAACGUAGAAGUAACUCCCAAAGGUUUGAUAAUAAACAUGGCAAUAGGUUCUACCUCAUCAUCUACUUCCCAAAACCCACAUGUUAAUCAGAUCCUAACCAUGCAAUUGUUUGAGGGUUGAUCUAAUGCAAUAAAAAUGGGUAGUAAAGAGGUAUGAUCAAAGUGUUACUUGCCUUGCUGAUGAUCCGUGAAACCUAGAGACUCGUAGUAGCACGCUUCGCACUCCGGGUACUCUAUCGCAAACAAACAAGCAUACAAUAAGCACUCAAUCUAAAAGCAUGGGUAAAACUCAAAUAAGGGAUCUAACCAGAAAGUUCAACUUAAGAACUCCGGUUUGCAAAAAGAAUCAAAUCAAACGAAGCAACGAAACUCAAACUGCGAAAGAAACAAGUUCCGUUUACUAAUCUGGACUAAAGUCAAAUUUUACAGUACCAAAAUCUUGUUCAAGUUGGUUAAACAGAAAGAGGGCUUCGUGUCGAAGAUCUGGGCGCUUGAAUCACUUGAUUCCGAUAAACAAGCAAAAAGAUAAACUAAAACGAAAAUCAGGGCAGAAAUCGCGAUCGAAAAUAAUCGCGGAAAAACCCUGGAAAAAGAAAAACUGACGAACAGGCUAACGAACGAACGUUCGCUGUCUACGGCUAACGGGUGAACACCAUUCGUUAAAACAAACAAACAGACGAAUGUCCGCUAUUUAGCUAAACCGGACAAAAAUAAAACCGAUCUAAAAAACGAAUCUAGGGUUUUUGUAAAAAAAACCGGGGUUUUUACCUAAAACUGAAAAAACGAUGGCGGAUCGGAUCGGGACUGGCGGCUCCGGCGGCGUCUCCGGCGAAGCGGGGCGCUGCGGGGCGACGGCAGAACGCGGUGGCGGCGACGACAAGCGGCGGUGGAGUCGCUAGGCAGCGGCAGCGGCGAACGGCGNNNNNNNNNNNNNNNNNNNNNNNNNNNNNNNNNNNNNNNNNNNNNNNNNNNNNNNNNNNNNNNNNNNNNNNNNNNNNNNNNNNNNNNNNNNNNNNNNNNNNNNNNNNNNNNNNNNNNNNNNNNNNNNNNNNNNNNNNNNNNNNNNNNNNNNNNNNNNNNNNNNNNNNNNNNNNNNNNNNNNNNNNNNNNNNNNNNNNNNNNNNNNNNNNNNNNNNNNNNNNNNNNNNNNNNNNNNNNNNNNNNNNNNNNNNNNNNNNNNNNNNNNNNNNNNNNNNNNNNNNNNNNNNNNNNNNNNNNNNNNNNNNNNNNNNNNNNNNNNNNNNNNNNNNNNNNNNNNNNNNNNNNNNNNNNNNNNNNNNNNNNNNNNNNNNNNNNNNNNNNNNNNNNNNNNNNNNNNNNNNNNNNNNNNNNNNNNNNNNNNNNNNNNNNNNNNNNNNNNNNNNNNNNNNNNNNNNNNNNNNNNNNNNNNNNNNNNNNNNNNNNNNNNNNNNNNNNNNNNNNNNNNNNNNNNNNNNNNNNNNNNNNNNNNNNNGGCGGCGUGCUGCGACCGGCGGCGCAGGCGGCGGGGCUGGCGGCACGGCUCGGGGUGGGGGGGCGGCGGCUGUGGCUUUUAAAGCCCGAGGGGGGUGGGGUGCUUAGGGGAGGGGGCGGGGCGGCGUGUCCGGGACGGACACGUCCAUGGCAGCGGGCGGCGGCGCUCGUGACUCUGUUCCGAGUCGGAGCGGGCGACGGCGCAGGGCGAUGGGCCGGGCCGGCUCGGCUGGGCCGUUGGCCCAGUCGGGCGCGCGAACAUUUUUUUAAAUAGAUUUCACCGAACAAAACAAAUCCUAGAAAGUAAAAUAAAAAUCUAAAAAUACCAAAACAAAUUUUCACCGUCUAAAUAAAAUAUUUAGAAUAGGAUGAACAUUUUUUUGGCCUAAAAUGCAAUUUUUGAAAACGUGCAAUUUUUUCUAAUACAAAUUAAAUUGCAAUAAAAUCCAAAUAAAACUAUUUAUUUGAUUUUAGUAUAUUUUCCUCGAAUAUUUCAUUUAUUAUGGAGAAGUCAUAUUAUCUCCUCUCAUAUAUUUUAAAUAUGAAAUAUUUUUGAAAGGGAAAAAUAAAUAAACCAAAAUGAUCCUUGCUUUGAUAUUUGAGAAAAAUCAAAUAUGAAAACGAUGAAAUCCCCAACUUUCUCCGUGGGUCCUUGAGUUGCUUAGAAUUUCGAGGAUUGUGGAACGAAAUGCAAUAAAAUAUGAUAUGCAUGAAUGAUCUAACUAUAACAUUCCGAAUUGGAAAUUUGGGAUGUUACACCAUGGCUCUCAUGGAGGGGAACAACAACAACAACGACAGAGAAACCAAGGAAGAGGGAGAUCAUCGGCUGGAUGGAGAGGGUGUAAUUGUCAAGAAGCAGAAUGUCGCCAUGGCCACGGGAACGGAGUUCUUGGACUGCCCUAUCUGCUCCGCCCCCCUCAGCCCUCCCAUUUUCUAGGUAAUUGGAUUGAUGCAAUUUCGUGUAUGCUGUCACCGCAAAAAUCAUUGCUCUCUUCAUGUUGAUAUGGUCAGUGCUCUUGUAUGUGAUGAAGUUAAUUCUGAACCUUGUUGGGUUGAUUAUCUGUAGUGUGCAGUGGGGCAUUUUGUGUGCUUGAACUGUCGCGACAAGCUCCUGGAGACAAAGGAGAACAAGGUUUGGGGUGUGUGCUCCAGGGACGUCUCGACCCGCUGCCAUGACAUGGAGCGUGUCGUCGACUCCAUCAUCGUGCCAUGCUCAUAUGCCGUGCAUGGGUGCGGCGACACAAUCGCCUACCACAAGAAGAGGGCGCACGAGGAGGUGUGCUAGCACGUGCCAUGCUUCUGCCCUGAGAAAGGUUGCGGCUUCGCAGGCACGACAGCGGCCCUCCUGGAUCACUUCGCCGCGCAGCAUGAGUGGCCAACGACACGCUUCCAGUACUACAAGGCAUUUGACGUACCCGUGAAGGCCAGCAUGCACAUGCUCCGUGGCGGCGAGGAUGGCCUAUUCUUUCUGCUUCACGUGGCGUCCCUGGACUCUGAUACGUCUCCAACGUAUCUAUAAUUUUUGAUUGUUUCAUGCUAUUAUAUUAUCUGUUUUGGAUCUUUAUGGGCUUUACUAUACACUUUUAUAUUAUUUUUGGGACUAACCUAUUAACCGGAGGCCCAGCCCAUAUUGCUGUAUUUUUGCCUAUUUCAGUGUUUCGAAGAAAAGGAAUAUUAAACGGUGUCCAAACGGAAUGAAACCUUCAGGAGAGUUUUUUUGGAACGGAAGCAAUCCAGGAGACUUGGAGUAGACGUCAGGGAAGCUUCGAGGUGGCCACGAGGGUCAGGGGCGCGCACUACCCCUUGGGCGCGCCCCCACCCUCAUGGGCCCCUCGUGGCUCCCCUGACCGACUUCUUUCGCCUAUAUAUAUAUACAUAUACAUAUAUAUGUAUAUAUAUAUAUACCCUAAAAACAUCGAGGAGCACAAUAGAUCAGGAGUUCCGCCACCGCAAGCCUCAUUAGCCACCAGAAACCAAUCGGGACCCUGUUCCGGCACCCUGCCGGAGGGGGGAUCCCUCACCGGUGGCCAUCUUCAUCAUCCUGGCGCUCUCCAUGACGAGGAGGGAGUAGUUCACCCUCGGGGCUGAGGGUAUGUACCAGUAGCUAUGUGUUUGAUCUCUCUCUCUCUCUCUCUCUCUCUCUCUCUCUCUCGUGUUCUUGAGGUGAGAUGAUCUUGAUGUAUCGCGAGCUUUGCGAUUAUAGUUGGAUCUUAUGAUGUUUCUCCUCCUCCACUCUCUUGUAAUGGAUUGAGUUUUCCCUUUGAAGUUAUCUUAUCGGAUUGUGUCUUUAAGGAUUUGAGAACACUUGAUGUAUGUCUUGCAUGUGCUUAUCUGUGGUGACAAUGGGAUAUCACGUGAUCUACUUGAUGUAUGUUUUGGUGAUCAAAUUGCGGGUUCAGUGACCUUGUGAACUUAUGCAUAGGGGUUGGCACACAUUUUCGUCUUGUCUCUUCGAUAGAAACUUUGGGGCACUCUUUCAAGUACUUUGUGUUGGUUGAAUAGAUGAAUCUGAGAUUGUGUGAUGCAUAUCGUAUAAUCAUGCCCAUGGAUACUAGAGGUGACACUGGAGUAUCUAGGUGAUAUUAGGGUUUUGGUUGAUUUGUGUCUUAAGGUGUUAUUCUAGUAUCAACUCUAUGAUAGAUUGAACGGAAAGAAUAGCUUUGUGUUAUUUUACUACGGACUCUUGAAUAGAUAGAUCAGAAAGGAUAACUUUGAGGUGGUUUCGUACCCUACAAUAAUCUCUUCGUUUGUUCUCCGCUAUUAGUGACUUUGGAGUGUCUCUUUGUUGCAUGUUGAGGGAUAGUUAUAUAAUCCAAUUAUGUUAUUAUUGUUGAGAGAACUUGCACUAGUGAAAGUAUGAACCCUAGGCCUUGUUUCCUAGCAUUGCAAUACCGUUUGUGCUCACUUUUAUCAUUAGUUACCUUGCUGUUUUUAUAUUUUCAGAUUACAAAAACCUACAUCUACCGUCCAUAUUGCACUUGUAUCACCAUCUCUUCGCCGAACUAGUGCACCUAUACAAUUUACCAUUGUAUUGGGUGUGUUGGGGACACCAGAGACUCUUUGUUAUUUGGUUGCAGGGUUGUUUGAGAGAGACCAUCUUCAUCCUAUGCCUCCCAUGGAUUGAUAAACAUUAGGUCAUCCACUUGAGGGAAAUUUGCUACUGUCCUACAAACCUCUGCACUUGGAGGCCCAACAACGUCUACAAGGAGAAGAUUGCGUAGUAGACAUCAAGCUCUUUUCGGGCGCCGUUGCCGGGGAGGUGAGUGCUUGAAAGUAUAUCCUUAGAUCUUGCAAUCGAAUCUUUUAGUUUCUUGUUUGAUCACUAGUUUAGUUUAUAAAAUAAAACUACAAAAAAAUGGAAUUAAGUUUGCCUCAUACGCUUCAUCUUUUUUAUAUCUUUCGUGAGAAUGAUGGAUAGGAAAAUGGUGCUCAUGUGCUAGAAGAAGAAGUCUAUAAAAUGUUUGGCACUAAAUCUUUGAAUGAUGAGCAUGAUUGCAAUGUUGUUAGUAUGAAUUCCUUGAAUAUCCAUGAUGCUAAUGAUAUGCAAAGCUACAAGCUUGGGGAAGCUAUGUUUGAUAAAGAUGAUAUUUUUUGUCCCCCAUGUUUUGAUGAGCAAAUUUAUUAUGACCAAAGCAUGCCUCCUAUUUUUGAUGAGUAUUGUGAUGACACGUAUGCUAUAAAGAAUAAAUAUAACCAUGAAACUUGUCAUCUUGAUUUUAAUUUUCAAUUGGAUUAUGCUUCACAUGAUAGUUAUUUUGUUGAGUUUGCUCCCACUACUAUUGAUGAGAAUAAAUUUGCUUAUGUGGAGAGUAAUAAAAAUUAUAUGCUUGUGGCUCAUGAAAACAAUGCUUUAUGUGAUAGUUAUAUUGUUGAAUUCAUUCAUGAUGCUAUUGAAAAUUAUUAUGAGAGAGGAAUAUAUGCUUGUAGGAAUUGCAAUAAUAUCAAGUUUCCUCUCUAUGUGUUGAAAAUCUUGAAGCUAUGCUUGUUUUACCUUCCUAUGCUAGUUGAUUCUUGUUCCCAUAAGUUGUUUGCUCACAAAAUCCCUAUGCAUAGGAAGUGGGUUAGGAUUAAAUGUGCUAGUCAUAUGCUUCAUGAUGCUCCUGUUAUGUUUCAAUUCUUAUCUUUUAUGUGAGCAUCAUUGAAAUCAUCAUGCCUAGCUAAAAGACAUUAAAAAAAAGGGCUUGUUGGGAGACAACCCAAUAUUUACCCUUACUUUUUUUAUGUGUCCACAUGAUUAUGCUACUGUAGUAAUCAUGUUUUAUAGCUUUUGUUUCAAUAAAGUGCCAAGUAAGACCUUUAGGAUAGCUUACCGUGAUAGUUGUGUUGAUCCUGCUGAAAAUAAGAAACUUUUGCACCCAGUAAAUUAGUUUUGAUAAUUCACAGAGACGUGCUUUUGAUCUGAUUCUUUUUGCUACGGAUUGGUACACACAUUUCUCAGGAUUUCCUAAUUUGGUAGGAUUUUUGGAGUUCCAGAAGUAUAUGUUUGAUACAGAUUACUACAGACUGUUCUAUUUUUGACAGAUUCUAUUUUCUAUGUGUUGUUUGCUUAUUUUGAUGAAUCUAUGAGUAGUAUCGGAGGGUAUGAACCAUAGAAAAGUUGGAAUACAGUAGGUAUUACACCAAUAUGAAUUUAGAAUGAGUUCACAACAGUACCUAAGUGGUGAUUUAUUUUCUUAUGCUAACGGAGCUUACGAGUUUUCUGUUGAGUUUUGUGUUGUGAAGUUUUCAAGUUUUGGGUAAAGAUUCGAUGGACUAUGGAAUAAGGAGUGGCAAGAGCCUAAGCUUGGGGAUUCCCAAGGCACCGCAAGGUAAAAUUCAAGGACAACCAAAAGCCUAAGCUUGGGGAUGCCCCAUAAGGCAUCCCCUCUUUCGUCUUCGUCUAUCGGUAACUUUACUUGGAGCUAUAUUUUUAUUCACGACAUGAUAUGUGUUUUGCUUGGAGCGUCUUGUAUGAUAUGAGUCUUUGCUUUUUAGUCUACCACAAUCAUCCUUGCUGUACACACCUUUUGGGAGAGAGACACAUGAUUCGGAAUUUAUUAGAAUACUCUAUGUGCUUCACUAAUAUCUUUUGAGCUAGACAAGAUUUUGCCCUAGUACUUCACUUAUACUUUUUAGAGCACGGCGGUGGCUUAAUUUUGUAGAAAUUAUUGAUCUCUCAUGCUUCACUUACAUUAUUUUGAGAGUAUUUUAGAACAGCAUGGUAUUUGCUAUGGUUAUAAAAUUGGUCCUAGAAUGAUGGGCAUCCAAGUUGGGUAUAAUAAAAACUAUCAUAGAAAGUGCAUUAAACACUAUGAUCAAUUUGAUGCUUGAUAAUUGUUUUGAGAUAUAAAGGUGGUAAUGUUAGAGUCAUGCUAGUUGGGUAAUUAUGAAAUUGAGAAAUACUUGUGUUGAAGUUGGCAAGUCCCGUAGCAUGCAUGUAUGGUAAAAGUUGUGUGACAAAUUUGUUGCAUGGGGUGCUCUUUUAAUUGUCUUCCUUAUGUGUGGAGGUCGGGAUUGCGCGAUGGUUAACUCCUACCAACCAUUCCCCUAGGAGCAUGCGUAGUACUACUUUGCUUCGAGGGCAAGUAAACUUUUGCUAUAAGUAUAUGAGUUCUUUAUGACUAAUGUGAGUCCAUGGAUUAUACGCACUCUUACCCUUCCACCAUUGCUAGCCUCUAUUAUGCCGAGCAACCUUCGCCGGUAUCAUGCACCCACCAUUUACCUUCCUCAAAACAGCCACCAUACCUACCUAUUAUGGCAUUUCCAUAGCCAUUCCGAGAUAUAUUGCCAUGCAACUUUACACUGUUCCGUUUAUUAUGACACGCCCCAUCAUUGUCAUAUUGCUCUUUGCAUGAUCAUGUAGUUGACAUUGUAUUUGUGGCAAGGCCACCUCCAUAAUUUUUCAUACAUGUCACUCUUCGUUCAUUGCAUAUCCCGGUACACCGCCGGAGGCAUUCACGUAGAGUCAUAUUUUUUUCUAAGUAUUGAGUUGUAAUUUUUGAGUUGUAAAUCAAUAAAAGUGUGAUGAUCUUCAUUAUUAGAGCAUUGUCCCAAGUGAGGAAAGGAUGAUGAAGACUAUGAUUCCCCCACAAGUUGGGAUGAGACUUCGGACUUUAUAAAAAUAAAAGAGGCCAAAGAAGCCCAUACAAAAAAAAGAGGCCAAAGAAGCCCAUCAAAUAAAAAAAUAGAAAGAAAAAAAUGAGAGAAAAGAGAGAAGGGACAAUGUUACUAUCUCUUUUUCCACAUUUGUGCUUCAAAGUAGCACCAUGAUCUUCAUGAUAGAGAGUCUCCUAUGUUAUCACUUUCAUAUACUAAGUGGGAAUUUUUCAUUAUAGAACAUGGCUUGUAUAUUCCAAUGAUGGGCUUCCUCAAAAUGCCCUCGGUCUUCGUGAGCAAGCAAGUUGGAUUCACACCCACUUAGUUUCUUUUGUUGAGCUUUCAUAUAUUUAUAGCUCUAGUGCGUCCGUUGCAUGGCAAUCCCUACUCACUCACAUUGAUAUAUAUUAAUGGGCAUCUCCAUAGCCCGUUGAUAUGCCUAGUUGAUGUGAUACUAUCUUCUCCCUUUUUGUCUUCACAACCACCACCCUAUUCCACAUAUAGUGCUAUGUCCAUGGCUUGCGCUCAUGUAUUGCGUAAGAGUUGAAAAAGCUGAAGUGCGUUAAAAAGUAUGAACCAAUUACUUGGCUGAAACCGGGGUUGUGCAUGAUGGGAGUAUUUUGUGUGAUGAAAAUGAAGCAUGGCCUAACUAUAUGAUUUUGUAGGGAUGAGCUUUCUUUGGCUAUGCUAUUUUGAUAAGACAUGAUUACUUGUUAGUAUGCUUGGAGUAUUACUAUUUUUAUGUUUUAUGAACUUUUAUCUUGAAUCAUUUGAAUCUAAACAUUCAUGCCACAAUAAAAAAAAUUAAAUUGAGAAUUAUGCUAGGUAGCAUUCCACAUCAAAAAUUCUGUUUUUAUCAUUUACCUACUCGAGGACGAGCAGGAAUUUAGCUUGCGGAUGCUGAUACGUCUCCAAGGUAUCUAUAAUUUUUGAUUGUUUCAUGCUAUUAUAUUAUCUGUUUUGGAUGUUUAUGGGAUUUACUAUACACUUUUAUAUUAUUUUUGGGACUAACCUAUUAACCGGAAGCCCAGCCCAUAUUGUUGUUUUUUUGCCUAUUUCAGUGUUUCGAAGAAAAGGAAUAUCAAACGGAUUCCAAACGGAAUGAAACCUUCGGGAGAGUUAUUUUUGGAAUGGAAGCUAUCCAGGAGACUUAGAGUAGACGUCAGGGAGGCUUCGAGGUGGCCACGAGGGUCAGGGCGCGCCCCCCACCCUCGUGGGCCCCGCGUGGCUCCCCCGACCGACUUCUUUCACCUAUGUAUAUCCAUAUACCCUAAAAACAUCGAGGAGCACAAUAGAUCGGGAGUUCCACCGCCGCAAGCCUCUGUAGCCACCAAAAACCAAUCGGGACCCUGUUCCGGCACCCUGCCGGAAGGGGGAUCCCUCACCGGUGGCCAUCUUCAUCAUCCUGGCACUCUCCAUGACGAGGAGGGAGUAGUUCACCCUCGGGGCUGAGGGUAUGUACCAGUAGCUAUGUGUUUGAUCUCUCUCUCUCUCUCUCUCUCUCUCUCUCGUGUUCUUGAGCUGAUAUGAUCUUGAUGUAUCGCGAGCUUUGCUAUUAUAGUUGGAUCUUAUGAUGUUUCUCCCCCACCACUCUCUUUUAAUGGAUUGAGUUUUCCCUUUGAAGUUAUCUUAUCGGAUUGAGUCUUUAAGGAUUUGAGAACACUUGAUGUAUGUCUUGCAUGUGCUUAUCUGUGGUGACAAUGGGAUAUCACGUGAUCUACUUGAUGUAUGUUUUGGUGAUCAACAUGCGAGUUCAGUGACCUUGUGAACUUAUGCAUAGGGGUUGUCACACGUUUUCGUCUUGACUCUUCGAUAGAAACUUUGGGGCACUCUUUGAAGUACUCUGUGUUGGUUGAAUAAAUGAAUCUGAUAUUAUGUGAUGCAUAUCGUAUAAUCAUGCCCACGGAUACUUGAGGUGACAUUGGAGUAUCUAGGUGACAUUAGGGUUUUGGUUGAUUUGUGUCUUAAGGUGUUAUUCUAGUAUCAACUCUAUGAUAGAUUGAACGGAAAGAAUAGCUUUGUGUUAUUUUACUAUGGACUCUUGAAUAGAUAGAUCAGAAAGGAUAAUUUUGAGGUGGUUUCGUACACUAUAAUAAUCUCUACGUUUGUUCUCCGCUAUUAGUGACUUUGGAGUGACUCUUUGUUGCAUGUUGAGGGAUAGUUAUAUGAUCCAAUUAUGUUAUUAUUGUUGAGAGAACUUGCACUGGUGAAAGUAUGAAUCCUAGGCCUUGUUUCCUAGCAUUGCAAUACCGUUUGUGCUCACUUUUAUCAUUAGUUACCUUGCUGUUUUUAUAUUUUCAGAUUACAAAAACCUAUAUCUACCGUCCAUAUUGCACUUGUAUCACCAUCUCUUCGCCGAACUAGUGCACCUAUAAAAUUUACCAUUGUAUUGGGUGUGUUGGGGACAAAAGAGACUCUUUGUUAUUUGGUUGCAGGGUUGUUUGAGAGAGACCAUCUUCAUCCUACGCCUCCCACGGAUUGAUAAACCUUAGGUCAUCCACUUGAGGGAAAUUUGCUACUGUCCUACAAACCUCCGCACUUGGAGGCCCAACAACGUCUACAAGGAGAAGGUUGCGUAGUAGACAUCAGACUCCACACCACUGCACGAGAUCUCGCUGGUCUGUAUCGGGCAGCACACGGCACCGUAAUCCAAGUUCGGGUGCUCCGUGGGCUUCUCCUGGUUCAAGGGCCAUUACCAGGCCUCAACGCUGGAUACGAUCAGGAGCACGUCGCUUUCUGACAGACUGCCGACAAACUACUUCCUCACCGUUCCCAAGGCUUGCCGUGGAGGUGGCACCCGUGUCGUGCUUAGCGUGACAAUUGAUACAGAGAUGGUGUAUGGAGACGAUGACGAACUAGAGGAGGAGGAUGAGGACGAUGAGAGCUACAACAAGGAGGAAGAUGAGGACGAGGACAACGAUGAAGACGAAGAUGAUGAGACUAGCGACGAGGAUGAUGAGAGCUACAACAACAAGGAGGAGGAGGCACAGGAGGAUGAGGAUAGUGAUAACCAUGAGGAUAAUGAGACUAGCGACGAGGAUGACGAAAUUUGGGAGGAGGUUAGGCACAACGAUUACUAUUGAUGCAUAGGCAUCGACGGCACUGUCCCAAUAUCCAUGGUGAAUCCACAAGAUGUUAGAUCUUUGGAAAUUUGGUUGUUACGGUGCUUUACGGUGUUGAGUUGCACAAUGUGUUCCUCUUAAAUUGGAGUUGCACAGUGUGUUAGGCUGACUGAUUAUACCGUUACUUGUUGCUCUGGCUCAUGCUCAACUUUUGUCAUGGAAAUGUUGUAACCCUCGAGUGAGUGAAGUAUCUAUGUUCAUUUGAUCUUGACACAACUAUGUUUCUUUUGGGGAAUAUGAACUGUGAUGCUUUUAGUAUUAAUAUGUUAUUCAAAAUUUUGUGAAUAUUUUUUGUACUGUUAUUAUAUUUUUAACAAGUAGAUUAAAUGGCAUCGUUGUUCAUCUUCCCAAACUGUUUUCUAUUCUAAUCAUCAAGGGUGCAACAUUUACUAUUGUAAGCUUUGCAUCAGCCUUCAGUAGUCGUCAAGGGUGCAACAUUUACUACUGUAUGGUUUGCAUCAGUCAUCGGUAGUCGUUGAGGGUGCAACAUUUACUACUGUAUAUGAGACACACUUAAACAACCAUUAGCAGGUAGAGAAGCAAGAUGGAUGAGUACCUGGGUGACGGCACAGAGGUAGAGGGGGGCAUGGCCUUGUUGCCGCUGAUAGUCGGAUCUGCCCCCGGUGGCGCUUCUCCAUGGACUCACCAUAUCUCCCUCUCCCUCCUCUCUUCAUCUCGCCCUUCUCUCCCCUUCUCUGGCUGAGGACGACGCCGCGGACGGGCCACUGCCAAUAUGUCCGCAACUUUCGCUCGAGUGAGAGGGGAUGAGAAGGAGAGAGGGCCGCCACGCACUGACCUUCGAUUUGUAGACGCCUCUUCGAACGGCCUUGAGCAUGGUUGGCUGCUCCCCCUCCCCGCCUCUUAACGCGAACACUCCUCUUCUCGUUUGGGACAACAGCCACGCCGGUGACCUAGGUCUGGCAGAUCGACGGAGCCGACGUGGCCCUGACAGGUGUCACGCGCCGAAGGGCGAGGAGGAUGACGCUGCCGCCGUCUGCCCUUCUCCUCCCAUCCCCGCUCCGCUUUGCACUACCUGACAUGCUGCUCGAUCUGGUGCGAGAGGGAGGAGAGGUCAUCGAUGGUGAAGAGAAGCUAAGGGGAGGAGAAAAGGGGUGGGAGAGUCAGCCGCUGGGGAGGACGUGGCUGAUUGCGGCGGCUGCAGGGAGGUCGCCGGUGGCGGCGGCGGCAACAAGGAAAAGGAGAGGGAGAGGAAUCGGGGGAUGGGGACUGGGGACCAAUCCCUUUCUCUCAUCGCUGGCCAAUCCCUCUCUGCCUUUCUUGUAGAAGUAAACCUUUUUGUCUUCUAGCUAAUCCGACGUGGACGUCGCUAGAAUGUGCCCUUUGGGCGACUGUUAAUGGGUUCAUUGGGUGGCUAGUGCAAAUCAUUUUACCUUUAUUUUUCAAACUUGACCCUGCAAAGCAAUGAGUGCAGUGCUAGCUGUGAACUGCUAUUGCUUGUCUCCUUCCCAUGACGGCAUUACGCCCUUUGUCAAAAUCGAUUCGGCGAGGCCGUUUGUGGAGAAGAAUCAUCAAGCCAAACGACGUCCAAAUGCCAUGGGGUUUUCCACAACCCUAGGCCGCCGCCACGCGAAAAAUGCUCUGCCGCUGCUUCCCCCUCUGGCUGUCCAAGUGUGGCGGGGACUUCUUCUUGGAGAAGCAGCACCGCGUGGUGGUCUUUGUCCGGGGACAGUUGCCGACAAUAGAGGGGUGGUCAGUGGUGCUGUGACGUAACUGCUGCAUGGUGGCGACUCAUAUGGCCAACAUGCGUCAUAGGUGAUUUGAGGAUUUAUCAUCUGCCUCGAUUGUGUGUGCACCCGCCCUACAAAAACGUGGGCACACCAUUUUUUGAUGAAGGAUUUCGCAAUCUCCUCGCCGGGCGCAAAAUUAGGAGGGCAACUAAACAUUGGCUCAGAUCCAAUUUUUUGAGGACUUAUCCUAAUGCAUGCCCUGCCCAUUGGGAAAACCAAUAAUUUGGUAAGGUUACUUCCACUGCCAUUAGUUUCAUUUCCUUGUUUCUAUUUUAAUAAAUUUAUGAUUGCGUGCAUUUGAGAAAAGCAAAGACCAAGGGUUUCUUCCCCGGAUACGGCCCUUCGCGUGCCCCAUCCUGCUCCCAAUACGGCUACAAGGGACUGUCGAAGUGUGGCAUGCUCUCCUUCUCAGAGGAGCGGCACCAGGAAGAGGCCGUCGUCGGGCAGUGGGCGAUGGCGACCGUGACUACGACAUGGUGGUGAUCCCUAUGGUCCGAUGGUGCGUCAUACGUGAUUUGGGCAUUUAAUUAGGGGCCCUUCUGGAUUGUGCGUGCACCGCCCUCCCUUCUAUAACGCGCAAAUUCACAGAAGAGGAUGUUGCAGCCACGUGAAUACCAAUAUUUUGGUAGGAUAAGUCUCGUCUGCCAUCCACUUUGUAAGUAGAUUGGUUUGGUGUCGAUGACUUGUUUCUAUUUUAAUAUAUAAAGAUUAUUUUGUUAGAAAAUGGAUAUUUUUCAUCUCAUAAAGGUCAGCCAUAACAAAAAGAAUUAUGGCCACGUGUAGUAGAAGUUACUAGUUGAACACAGCAUUUUUUUAUGCAAGGAAUUUUUUUUCCAUCAGAUAGCAAUGGAGUACACAAAAUGCAUGCAUUUCUUACAUGGGACUGAGCUCUACUCUUUACUUGAGAUAGAACCCGUCAGAACAAGCCGCUGUACAUGUCCGCGGACAUUUAGAGAGGUCCGUUUUCAUCGACUUGCCUUAAUAGAGUGCAAUUUUCACUUGAGCAAUAAAACACAAUCUUAUUUGAAAGGACGAUGCAUUUGGACUAUACUAGAAUGUAAGAAUAUGGUUUAUACCGAGGCUCCUCCCUUAUAAAAUAGAAGAGAUUCAAUCAGCUUCCUCUGUCCCACACAUCCGUCACACAGCAUUACACAGGCCAAAACUGCAUGCCUCCUGAGGGCAUGAACAGUGAUGGCAUAUGGAUACAUAUGUCUCGUGGGAAAAAGAAAUUUGAGGCAGCUACAUUGAUUUUUCUCCCCAAUGCAAGCUAUCACUAGUGUGCCUCAUCAAGGAAUAGAAAGUAGAGACUAGUACACAUGAAUCUCUACUCUCCACUUCAAUUUUGUCAGCUUUUUACACUGGACCACACUUUUUCUCUUCAAGCACCCGCCUCCUGCAGAGGAUCCCGCUUCCCCAUCGGAACCUAUUUCUCCUGACAUCCAAUUCUACAUGGCAUGUGGGGCAUCACCCUAGGGCUAUGCAUUGGCCAUGUCCCGAGGCGAUGGAUCACAUGCCACAGUAGUAGAGGACAACAUCGGUACAGGAGUGAAGAGGCAUCAGCAAGAACCCGGCAAAUUAAGUAAGUAGUACUCCUUCCCGAACUAGCAAACCAAGCAAAACAUAUGGUAAUGCUAAUGUAGUAGACUACAGGCAUGACCUGCAAAGUAUUUUCUACUCAACUCUCCUUUUGAAACUUGACCCUGCAAAGAAAUGAAUGCAGUGUUGUGAACUGCUCGUGCUUGUCUCGUUGCCAUGACGAAAUCAUGGCAUGUCCGGCGAUACAUGCUACUCUACUUGUUGGUGUCGUUCCCGCCCCUAGAGAAAAAUCCCCAAGCCAAAGGAUGUUCAAUGGAUUCACUCUUUAGUAACUUUAGAUGAUACCAAGAGAAUAUUGAGUAACACACAAGAAUAUGCAUACAACCAUUUGAUACAUACAUCAUGGAUUGGUGAGGAUCCAAAAUAAAUCCCAUUCAUAACAAGAUUCAAAGACAGGGGAAAUGACACUAGGCAUCCAAAUAAAAAAAGUUGUUCAAAUACUUGUAAACUGUGGCCCACUCUUACAAUUUGUCAUGAUCCGUAACACUCCAUAUGAAGAAUCAUCCUCAUCAAUAUGGAAGUUUUCCUUACCUAUACAAGAAUGAGAAGAGAAACUUAGAAUCAAUAAAACAAACAACAAAAGCUAAUUUGGAACAACAUUAACUGAAAAGCAAGUAUAUUUAAGUUUGUGAUUACGUAUUUCGAAAUAAUAAUGUGGCAUGGAUUGAAGUAGUAUAUCACAAAUACUAAGUGAUGCAAUAUUUUACAAUAAAACUAAUUGCAGCGUAUUUCAGGUGUAAAGCAUGAUGUAUCCUAAAGCAUCAAGCCGCUCCACUGAACACUAAAUCCGCAGACAUCAUCUCCAACAGAUAAAGUGGAAAAAGGACUCACCUCCUAUUAUUGAGUCUCACAAACAAAUAAUGAAUGUAUCACAUUUCCCACAUUAGACAUGAUCGCUAUCUCUGGCCAUCAAUGUUAACUGGAUGUGAACUGCUUUCAAGAUAUUUCUCCUACUGAAUGGAUGCAAACUAAUACAUAAUUUUAGUUCUGCAACCAAUGGAGCAUCAAAAUAUUGUACUAAUAGGAAACAAUUAUUUACGAUUCAAAGCAGCGACCUCAGCUUCUUGUGCCGGUUCUUCUUGCAAAAGCAAGGAAACAAAUAUAUCUAUUUAUAUAUGUUGCUACAUUCUGGUAGGAAUAAAUAAGCGAUACAAAAGCACCUAACAAAGAAACAAGGUCUAACAAUAAUUUACCAUGCCUUCCUUAAAUGGGCAAGAUCCAGCAGGCAAGAAACGUGCUCCGACAAAUGAAAAAAUUAAGACCAAUUAUUACAAUUAACAUCAAUGUCUCCAGUUGUUAACAGUGAAAAUUGAAGCACAUAUAUGCAUUGUACAUAAGUAAUGUAUUUGGCCACCUCAGGGAAUCAUUUCAUGUAUCAGUUANNNNNNNNNNNNNNNNNNNNNNNNNNNNNNNNNNNNNNNNNNNNNNNNNNNNNNNNNNNNNNNNNNNNNNNNNNNNNNNNNNNNNNNNNNNNNNNNNNNNNNNNNNNNNNNNNNNNNNNNNNNNNNNNNNNNNNNNNNNNNNNNNNNNNNNNNNNNNNNNNNNNNNNNNNNNNNNNNNNNNNNNNNNNNNNNNNNNNNNNNNNNNNNNNNNNNNNNNNNNNNNNNNNNNNNNNNNNNNNNNNNNNNNNNNNNNNNNNNNNNNNNNNNNNNNNNNNNNNNNNNNNNNNNNNNNNNNNNNNNNNNNNNNNNNNNNNNNNNNNNNNNNNNNNNNNNNNNNNNNNNNNNNNNNNNNNNNNNNNNNNNNNNNNNNNNNNNNNNNNNNNNNNNNNNNNNNNNNNNNNNNNNNNNNNNNNNNNNNNNNNNNNNNNNNNNAUCUUUACCUACUAAUAAAGCAGUCAUUGUUUCUGGUCGUACGUCAUUGGCAUAUUUGCAUAAAAGCCCCCGCGAUUUUGGGUAUUCAACCCGCAGUACAAUAAUAAGUCAACUCCAACCGGUAUUGACGAGAGAAAAAACGAAAUAACCCACCCGCCCGCCGAUGCAUCAGUCCUUCCCCACAUCAGCAGUCUUUAAAUUGACUAUUAGUCCCACCUCGCAACUUUGUAUUGAAUCCUACAAAUUUAUAUAUGUUUGAAAGUAGACAAUCAAGAAGCCAGAUAACAAAGCAGAGAUGGCUGAUCAAGAGAAUAAGAGAGAGAUCAGAUGGGGACUUGCUCAAGGCCAAUGCAUCACCGGCGCGGACUUGCCUCAGGAAAGCGGAACAGAGCCGUGGGCGCUAGAUGGAGAAGUGGAGGAGUUGGGCUGGGUGGUGGUGGGGAGCCCCUCUCUCUCCGGUGGAUGGCUGGGGUGUCGGGGGCAGCGGGACCGGUGCGCAGUGGCGCAGAGAGGGUCUCUAUCGAGCUGGACUUGGCGCUGGACGUCGCAGGUGAUCCUCGUGUUCGUCGUCUCCAUGCCCAGACGAAGCAGGUAGCGACGAGCCGACGACGGCUCCCGACACGGUCGGAGAAGGCGGGGCGGCGCGGAUCUGCCGCUGAACAAUGGCGGGAGCUUGAGCGUCGGGGUCGGAGAUCCAUGGCGCGGGUGUGAUUCUCUCUGUACAUAAAANNNNNNNNNNUGGAGAGGGGGAAGGAGGGAGUUAGGGAAGGGAAUGGAGAGGGGGAAGGUUAGCGGAGCAGCGGGCCGGAGUUGCAGGGGGGGUGGGUAGCCGGCCAUGGCGCCGGUCGCCGGACUGGACGGGGGGAGGCGAGGAGGGGCUGCAGGCGCCGGGGGUCGAGGGGAGUUCCUUGCUCGGGCGCGGUUGGUGCGGGAGGCGGCGUACGGGCGGCGGCGUUGUUGCAGCGCGGCUGGGCUGUGUAUGGGCUCCUGGCAUGGAGAAGUGGCGCUGGGUGUGAUGGAUGUGGAGUGGUGGAAAAGGAAUUGUCGGUGGGAUUGAGUGCUUGUUGCUACUGCUUUUUUUUAAACGAUGUGAUGUUUUUCUUCUGCUUUUCUGCGUAAAGCUAGGUGUCGGUCUCUGCUUUUUCUGCGUAGAGCUAGGUGUCGAUCUCUGCUAGCAUAGUACAAUUUACUUGGCUGCUGUUUAAGCCUGCCAUAUCUUAAUCUUAAUUAUGAAUACAUUAGUAGUUACAGUACUUAAAAGAUGUGUGACUGAAAUAUUGGAAAGAUUUGUUUAAAAAAAUAUUGAAAAUAAAUACUAUUUCUUAGGGGAAAAGAUAUUUCGGGCUCACCUGUGGACUACCUGAUCAUCAAUAUAUUCCUCGAGUCUUGAUGUUCCUGAUAGAUUUGUUUAAAAAAUAUUGAAAAUAAAUACUAUUUCUUAGGGGAAAAGAUAUUUCGGGCUCACCUAUGGACUACCUGAUCAUCAAUAUAUUCCUCGAGUCUUGAUGUUCCUGAUGCCGUUGAUGAGAUAGAGAUGAGGGACGAACAAAGAGUUGAGAGGGUACGGCAACGGUGCAUCCUGCUUGAACUGGGUCUGGAGGAGGGGUUGUGUCCUAUUUCGACUCUCACGCCGGAGAGAGAGNNNNNNNNNNNNNNNNNNNNNNNNNNNNNNNNNNNNNNNNNNNNNNNNNNNNNNNNNNNNNNNNNNNNNNNNNNNNNNNNNNNNNNNNNNNNNNNNNNNNNNNNNNNNNNNNNNNNNNNNNNNNNNNNNNNNNNNNNNNNNNNNNNNNNNNNNNNNNNNNNNNNNNNNNCAUGUCCUUAGUCCUUCCGUGCACCACCUCUAUGCAUGUGGCUACUCCCCUCCCUCAUAUCAUCUCACCCGCAACUCUGCAUGUCCUAUCCUGAUCCUGUUCGAGCCCUGAUGUUGGUGUCAAGGGAAGCAACCGUGUUGGCGCAGUCGGCGUGCUCCUACUGUUGGUGGUCGUCAAUGGCAGAGCUAGACCAGGAAGACUCGGGGAGGGGGGCGGGCAAAGAGAAAAAACAAUUUCUAGGGGGUGCAAAAUCUCUAUUUUUUCCAAUCUAUAAAUCUCUAUAAAGAAUUUCUUCACUAUUUUUGCCCAGUCUGAGGGGCGACGACACCUGCAGGGAUGCAUGUUGCUCCGCCAGUGGUGGUCGUGUAUCAACAAAAGAGCAUCAAGCAUUGUAAACUCUUUACUAUCUAAUGGUCAUCUUAUUUUUGAAGUGGUCAACUAAAAAUAUGAAUUCAUGAUAAGACGAGGAAGAAUCUAACAGAUUGAGAGAUAGAGCUCGAUAUUUCACCAUGAUAGAUAAACUCUAAAAUAUCACGCAAACCCUAAAAUUUAUUUCAUACCGUUGUAACGCACAUGCUUUUUUUUUGCUAAAAUGUCAUCUUUUAUUAAAAAUAAGGAAAUUCCCACGUUUAACCAUAUUAUCAACAUUUAUUAAAAAUGGAUAUAAAAAUUGAUGCAUAAUGACACAUGCAGCAGGUUAUGCCCAUUUAUCCGCCCGGUGCAACGCACGGGCAUUNNNNNNNNNNNNNNNNNNNNNNNNNNNNNNNNNNNNNNNNNNNNNNNNNNNNNNNNNNNNNNNNNNNNNNNNNNNNNNNNNNNNNNNNNNNNNNNNNNNNNNNNNNNNNNNNNNNNNNNNNNNNNNNNNNNNNNNNNNNNNNNNNNNNNNNNNNNNNNNNNNNNNNNNNNNNNNNNNNNNNNNNNNNNNNNNNNNNNNNNNNNNNNNNNNNNNNNNNNNNNNNNNNNNNNNNNNNNNNNNNNNNNNNNNNNNNNNNNNNNNNNNNNNNNNNNNNNNNNNNNNNNNNNNNNNNNNNNNNNNNNNNNNNNNNNNNNNNNNNNNNNNNNNNNNNNNNNNNNNNNNNNNNNNNNNNNNNNNNNNNNNNNNNNNNNNNNNNNNNNNNNNNNNNUUGAAGGCACCAUAAGAGGCACCACGUUAAUCUUUAGAAUUAAGGAAUUUUGACCAUUCGAUUAAUAUAUAAUGUAUCUGCGGCCAUCAGAUGAAAAGUAAGACUUGAUGUCUAAUACUACCACGUAUUGGAGUCGUACUCCCUUGGGAAGUCUCCUUUUCCUAGGAAAAAGUAAAUCUUUCUUUAAAAACAAAAAACUGAGAAGUAUUUUUUUCUCAUGCUUAGCAGUUUAUAGUGUAUAUGUUAAGAACUCUUUGUCUGAUCGACCCAAACGAGUCCAUGCAUGCAUGUUACGUGAGGGAAGUGUAAACUACCCUUCUAACAAUCAAUUUACAAAAUAACCAUUAGAUCUUAACUCAUUGUAUUCAUGUGACUUGCCUGAGAUGGACUCCUAUCUAUCCACGGCCUUCCCUCACCCUCCCUCAAAAAAAAGAAACAAAGGGAAAACACAUCUAAUCGCUUUUUACAGAUGUAUAUUCUGCUCGCUCAAGCGCUAUGAGGACAUCCGGGUGGCAGCAGCAGCGUUUCAAUCUCGCCUAUGACGGCAGCUUUACACACGGCAGGAAGGCAUCAUAAGUCCACAUCAAGAUCGUCCCGCUGCCAUCAGCAGCUUCACACGCAAACGUGCCGGCGUCUCGCAGGCAACACCAGGUUCUCGCAUUGAGACGUGUCCAGUUGUUUGUUUGUAACCAUCGGAUGAUGUAUCUCAUAGUCCUCACGUAUUGUCCCACGUCCACCCGAUCGUCCCACAGACGGGCCGUGAUCAUCUCCCCGGCAUCGUUGGAUUUCAUGUGGCGCAGGCCUCAAAUCGCCGAGUGCUUUCUGACGAGAUGGUGUGCAACUAAACACGAAGCUGGAAUUAGGAGGUAUGUAGAUGCUAUUCUUCUGAAGAAAGCCCCUUGAUUGAUUCCUCAAGUAGACUAGCUCACACACGUAGUAAUCAAUCUCACUGUGUUGUAUCCCAUGCCAACAGGUCAUAGGCUAUUAUUCUUACCUCACAACGUUGACAAGUAAUCUGUUAUCAAACUGAAUUUAUAAUUUAUGCAGGCGUCAGAUUGGACGACGUUGAGGCGGGCGUGCACCAGCAGGACUGCAUGCCCUACUCCACGACGCUGUUCUCGGACGCGGGAGUGCGGGAGGACGUGAUACGGCCAUGUGGGCUGCACGAACUGCAUGCAGACGAGACCCCAAGCUGCACUUCGGCCUCUGCCUUGGACGAGAUCCCUAUGCACUGCAAGGCCCGGUCAACAAAAGCGUUGUUGGCCCUGACCACCGAUCCUUGCCUCCACCAUAUAAAGUAAGUAAUUUAUUCAUUAGCGCACAUAGUAAUCAAUCUCACUGUGUAGUGUCCCGCGCCAACAGUUCAUAGCACAUUAUUCUUACUUUGCAACAUUGGCAAGUGAUCUGUUAUCAAACUGAAUCCAUGAUUUAUUCUAAAGCCCACUAACUUCAUCACAUUAUCCCCAAUAAAUAAGACCGAUCUCUAAGAUCUGUAUAAAUGGAGGUCAAAGUCUGUAUGUAUUUGUCAACUAUCUGCACACAUCAUAAGAUUGUGCACUAUCGCGAGCAGUGGAGAAUCAGAAAGUUUAAUAUUGCAGCGCCACCAGCAGUAACAUGUAAACCCUGCAGUAGCACUUCUACAUUAAUACAAGCAUACAGUUUGAAAUUUAUAUGAGGCUUUCUGAUGCUCUUCAUGUUACGUACCAUCACUGAAUCUCUAAUUAUCUGAAAGGCAUAUCUAAUAUUUUCUUCCAGCAUUAAUCAGAGGUGUCUUGCGCAACCUUCAACUAUUAUCCUUACAUUUUGCAUUUAAGUUAUACAACCUUAAAAGAAUUCUCAUUGACAUGUCUAAUAGAACUGUCGUGCAUGCAAAAAUUGAGCUAGAUGCAUGUAGUACUUGAAUUACACCUGCUUUUGUUUACAUCGUUACCCAUUUUAUAUGGCGAAAGGACUCAAGGUCAGCAUUUGUUUAAUAUAAGACAAUCAUAUAAGAUUUUGUUGCAACUGUAGUUAGAAAACCCAUAUUAUUUGGGUAGCUUUGUUUCGAAUAGUAGAUAUGAUCGUCCAGUCACGGUUACAACAUACUUAGAAUUAAAGCUUCCACCUCCUUAAAAUACAGAAAGGUAUUUUCUGUCAUGACAUGUCAAAGUGUCCUUUUAGUGAUUUCACAUUUAUAAAAAGAGUUGUGUAGAAGCUACACUUGAAACGCUAAAUAAAAAUGUAUUUCGGCAAGCUUAUGCAAGAAAAGAAUAAUUGUGUGCUGAUGACGAAUUGGAUUUAGAAUCAUUUAUCUCAAAACUUUACAUUAUUUUAGUUACUGCCACUUCUGCCCUCGCAGGUCAACUUGAGUCUCCACUUCUAAAGGUAUUGAUUGAUUUGUCACUCCAUGGGUUUCUAGAUCUUUUAUUUUAUCUCCCUACUGCCACGAAAUAUGGCAUUUUCUGGAAACUAUAUGUUCAAUCGAGUGGGUUUGCUGACGGCUGUGGGAGAAUUCAAGUGUGAUUUUCAGAGUUGUAUUAUGAGAUUGAGCUAUUGUGUUCUUAUAUUUGUCUUUGGACUAAUUAUUCCUGCACUAUCUUAUAUAAAUUUGUUAGAUAAAGUUUUCUACUCCUGAUUUUGAAAAUGGCAUUGGCCACAAAGUGUAUGACACAUAGGGAUAUGCUCAUAAGAAAGGUUACUUGAACUUACCUAAAUGAGUUAGCUAUUUGUGAGUUUGCCUUUUACUAAAAUGAAAGAAUCUACACAGUAUUGUAAUAAAAGAAAUCUAAUUCCCCAACUCAGAUAAUGUUCAUCUCUAUACCUCACAGUACUCUUAGCUGCGCAAUAUGAUAAUAUGCCGACACUGUUUCUUAUUUAGAGUUUUGCAUGCAGGUUUUGUUUUGAAACAAUCACUGGAAAUAGUAAGUAUGCGCUUUUAUAUUUCCGACCUGCAAGAUAAGUGGAAAGUAACGAGUGUUCUAUAUUGUGCUACUUUGCCAAGGUGCAUGCUCUUUAACCAAUUUGGUAAAAAGACAAUUGAAUGUUUCAAGACUUAUUACUUCUUUUUUAUUAGUGUUUCUUAUUAACCUAGAAGCCCAAAGAAAUUAGGUUGAUAAACUGGGUGUACUCUACGCUUCUCAUGCUUGGAAGAAUAUAUUUUUAUGAAAUGAAGUUAAUUAUUGUGGCUCUUUUCAGCACUCAAGUAGAGUUUCCUGCUAAGUGCUGCCAUAAUCAACUCAAUAUUGCUACAACCAUUGGUAGGGCGAACAAUACAACCUCUAUGCAUCUGAUUCCGUUAGCAUUACUUAGUUUAUGACUGAUGUUGUGCUUGAAAAUUUGCGAGUUUUUUACAUUAUGCUUUAAUCCUGAAUUGCAUAUGUUCCUUUGGUAAUCCAAUUUAGCAUGAUUUAAUUUUUAGGUGCAACGAGUCGUCAAAAAUUUAGCAGCCUUAGUGACAUCGAAGAUUCAGAAAUUAGCCCACCUAUAAUGAUAACACAGAUGAUCUUACAAUCCGUUCGAAGGGAACUAAACUCUGUAUUUUUUUUCAUAAAGCAUAGCAUCUUCGUAUCCAUUCAAAGGAAGUAAAAUUUUAUACCAACAUAUCAAUGCAGGAGAAGUAGAGAAAGAGCGUGGGUGGGAAAGGACACUAUGGAGUCAAUGUAUGCUACUGAUCUAAGUGAUAUAUGAUGUCGGGUAAUAUGGUUUAUUCUUCUCAAAGUUUAAUUUCUAGCCCGUGCAGCCGCACGGGUGGAAGACUAGUUUUUAUAAUGUUGUCAGAAACAUCACAACUCCAAAGUCAGAGGAAUGGAAUUGCACCUCACUGAGUAUAAUGUAUCAUAACCUACAACAAAGAUAGUAAGUGAAAGGCUUAAUUGGGGAUUAAAAAAAUCGACUUUGCUGCUAAAAUAAAUCCUACUAGGUUAAAGAAAAAGAUAAAUCACUAAUACAUAGAACAUGGCAUGCUUGAUGCAUCAUACCAUUACCCAUCAAUAAUAUUGCUGAAAAGGCACGAGAAAAACAGAUGCAUAUAUUAGCAAUCAAACGCUUUCGUGAGACAAAUAGAAAAAAUUAGUAUCACACUCUGUAAUAUAAAAAGAUAUAUGUUGUCUGAUGUCCCCAUGAAAGAGCAACUCCACGAAGUCCAUGCAGGAGCAUGUGGCGUUGAUAGCCUUGACCGAGAGAGUGGGCGGUGUGGGAAAGUCGUACUUGAUGAUCGAGGUGGAUUUCUCGACACUUGUCACCCCUGAUAGCGGUAGGCUAUGAACCAUAGCCUGCACUCACAUUAAAUGCCUGGCCGGAACGUGACCUCACACGGCCUCUGUUAAACCUGUCUGCAUGCGAGGCAUGUGUGCUGAGGAGGCCCCUGUUCGGGACACCUAGCACCAUCCCAAAACGUCACUACUGACGUUUUAUGUAGAUCUGGUUUAAAGAGGGUAGAUUUACUUGGCAGUAAACCUACACAAAGGGGGCAUACUGUCACGCCAUUGGCUCCUUCUGGAUGUUGUAGUACUAAUUAUGAAGAGGAUUUUAGUGUAGUUUCUUAUUGUACCGAGGGUUCAAAAUUUCAGCGAAAUUUUGCAUAUUUUGGUGGGGUUCAAAAUACUUGCAACCCUGAAAUUUUGAGCCAAAUUCAAACUAAAAUUUAAAUUAUCUUAAAAAUCAUUUAAAAAUAUUGAUUUUUGAAACUCAAAAUCCGAAAUAAGUUCUGAAUUUCCGAAAUUUUGCAUAUUCCGGUGACGUCCAAAAAUUUCCAUGACCGAAAUUAAAAACCUUAGCAAGGUGGCUUUUUGGGCAGGUCCAUCUGUUGUAGUUACGCUCGGGGUACCCCGGUUUUAAAUACACCGACAUGCAUAGUGCACAAAAUCAAGAGGGGCAACUAAAAAAGAAAGUUUUUUCAUGCUCCAUUAGCUAGCGUAGUCUUCUACUAUCAAUAAAACCAAAAAAUAAAUCAAAUGUCAGUGAGUUAGAUCUAAAAGUUGGGAGUUGUCCAAGUGCAUGUCAUGCCCAUAAGUCAACACCAAUGGGUUGCUAGGGUAACUCUCGCCGCCAUUUCAUUUGUAAAUAGAGGUUUACACUUAUAGUGUUGGAUGACUUGUUUUCGUUUUAAUAUCAAAAGAUUAUUUUGUUAGAAAACAGAUUUUUAUUUUUCUGCUUAGAAAGCUCAUUCAUCUGGAAAAGAAUUAUGGCUAGUGUAGUGAAGUUACUAGCUUUUUUUGGUAGACUGCAGCCCUCAAAGAUGGCUUAACACUUUAUUAUUAGCAGUUUAAGCAAUGUACAGAGAUAAGUUUACCCCUUUGGAAGGAGAUGGAUUUGAUUCAUUCCUUAGGAAGACUUUGAGAGAAGCUUCAUUAGGAAUUGCUGCAUGGUUAUACUCUCUAUGCUGCAUCAACAUUGGCUAGGUAUCCUGCUUGGCAGAUUUGUUUAACAGAAGGCCUCCUUUCUUCCUCACUAUUCUCCAGUAAACCCGCAUUAAGCAUCGCUUUGGUAGCAUGGAUAACAUUUCUUGACAUGAGACUGAGCUCUACUCCUGACUUGAGAUAUAUAGAUUGCAACAUAUGCAAAGGAAAUGCUUGCAAGUUGCAAUGGCAUAACAACGGAAGAAAAUGCAUUUCACAACAUGAUUAACACGAACCAUAAUAUCCUCCGAUUUGAAUACAGUACCCAACAAUGACAUUAAAGAUGAAUUGCAUCUACUAAUUAACAUCACCCAAAUAGUUUCAGCUGCAACUCCAAAAUAAGCACGAACUGCCUUGAAUGCACCGUUUGUUUCCCAUCAGCAGCAGCGGACCUAAUCACACCAAUGCGUCGGACCAAGGGGAGAGCUUAUCGAUGCGGAUGUGCAGGGGAACUUCCAUGGAUGCCCUGUCUCCUGCUGCUGGCACUAGGUACAUUGGCAGCACCGUCAAGAACGUGGCCUCGCCCGCGGCAACCACGGCGCCGGGCGACGAGCUGAUCCUCAUGUGCAUGUCCACGAGCACCAUGUCCUCCUUGCCGCCGUUCGCCACUGCUGCCGGGGGUGUCUCCAGGUUGACCCACAUCUUGCACGUGAACCGUGGCCGCGUCGCCGCUCUCGCCCUAGCGCACACCACAGACACGGCGGUCACGCCGGCGCCGAGCGCCCCCACGGUCAUGAGGAAGACGCAGUUGUCGUCGCCGAGGAGCACCAGCUGCGUGGUCGACAUCGGUAGUUGAAGCUUGCUGACCUUGCCGUACUGCACGACGCGCACCGGCACCAAGUGGACAGUGUGGAGAUGACCGGCGAGCGCCUGCGGCGCGCCGACGUAGCCGCAGCCGGGCUCAGUACACUGGCAAGGCGCGUGCGGGCACGCUUUCUGGUGCUCGGCGACCUCGUGGUAGGUCACGUACCACUGGCAGCCGGCGUUGGGGCACCCGAUCCUGGUGGAGGACACCACGGCGUCCAGCGCAGGGCAGGGGUCGAAGAAGCCGCCGUCGUCCACGCAUGCCUUGCACUGCCCGAAGGGCAGCAGGGCCACGCAGCUGCCGCAGGCCGGGUGCCCCGCUUUGCACUGCAGGCAAGCACACAAAUCGGAGACGGCCCGUAAAUUAGCACGAAAGAAUUGAUCUAUCACCGGCGCCAAUCGAGGAAGAAAGAAGGAAACAAAGAGAGGAACCUGGAAGACUUGGGGCUUGAAGGGGAGGGUGCAGAGGGGACAGUGGAGCACUUGCUUGUCGAUCCUCACGGCGAGUUCCACUCGCUGGAUGUACGUUGCCCCAACGAUGGCGCCUCCAUCUCCUCCACCGGCCGCCUCUUGCUUCAUGUGUCCGUCGGGCAGGUCCAGCCGCUCCUUCUAGGACCUCUCGUCGGCCAUGUUAGGCGAAGCCCUGCUCCUCCUCUCGGCGGCCACGGCGGCACCCUGCAUCUUGGCUGGCCUUUGGGGAAAGAAAACUCCUGUGUGUGUGUGUCUCACGCCAAACUUUUUCAGGAGGUGGGUGAGGAGUAGAGCAGAGAUCUGAGAACAAAAGUUGCCUAGGCAGCCACACUACACUAUAAAUGCUUCCUCAUUGUGCUUUCCAUUCCCAAACUUAUAGUUAUAGAUAUAAGCCGUGCUCUUAAUCAAUUUCAUUAUUGCUAGUUUAUCCAUACAUUAAUGUUGCCUUUCUUUUAAGUACCUACAAGUGUGUGAUAAAAAGGUUGACCAUUGCAGAUCCAUGUUAUUUUUAGAAAAAUCGAGGAACAUCAAUGUAAGCACAUUGUUUUUUUUUCUCCGUAGCUUCCUGCUUAAUUGAUACACGGUGGAGUACUUUUGACUCCAUCGCCAGAUUAUAACACCAUCGCCAGAUUAUAACACCAUCAAACACGUGGGAGCCCAUAAAAACAAAAGGAUACAUGUGUAAGCACAAGGGAUACGUGUGACAAAUAGUACAAAGGAGCACACAAACGCAUCACAACUUUUCACCUAGAUCACGACACAUUCCGCCUUUCUCACUGUUAUCGAUAGACACAUACGCCAUCGCUGAUGUGUUGGCUGCCACCAGCAAAUAACAACAACAUGACCACAAGCCUCCAAAAGAUCCAUGGAAUAGGUACUAGAUUUUGGAGACCCCCGACGCCAAAAAUCUUGAUUAGCUACUUGCAUGAAGUAGGAGAAAUAACCCCUUGAUUCGGCAGAUGCCAUCAAGAAACAAUGAGCAAUCCAUUUGUCACGACACCACGCAACCACCUAGUCCAGAGACUUCUAAGCAGGCAUCUGUAGCUGGAGGUUAUAGAGACACAGGGGGAUAACCAAAGAUGACACCAACCAAGAUCAUCCUCGCAUUAGUGCGUGAGGAAGGCUUGAACAAUGUUGCUAGAGCACGAAAAAGCUAACACUAUGGAUUAUGUGGAAAAUCAAGUAUCGGCUCCCAACCAACCUGCGAUAACCACCAGGUGAUGGAACAUAGAGGGUAGAAAAUAUAUCCAAGAUUACAAUAGGGGCUAAGCUUCACAUAAUAUCCUAGAAAUAACAUAGUGGAGAAUAGGUAGUAGGAAAGCUUACUUGAACCUAAGGAGAGACAAGAAUAGAAGGACCUCCAGAUCAGAACACGAACCGCCAGCAUAAUCUCCAAAUCAGAAUGUGUGAGAAAAGAUCUAGGCAGGACAAAACAUAGGCAAUGAUUAUUUAAUGGGGAAAGCAAAGUUAAACCACGAGGAGCAGGAGUUCGCAGAGGAUGACACCUAUUCCUCACUAGUAGAAAAAGUGCCUAAUGUUCAGCCCUUUAGUCCCGGUUUGUAAAUGAACCGCCACUAAUGUGAACAUUAGUGCCGGUUCGAACGGCUAUGCAUUAGUGCCGGUUCAUUUCUGACCUAUAGUCCCGGUUGUUUGUAUCAAAAAUUGGGACUAAAGGGGUGGUGGCAGGCUCGCGUCAGGCCGGGGCCCCACGAGCCCCUUUAGUCCCGGUUUGUGACACAAACCGGGACUAAAGGGCCAACCUAUAGUCCCAGUUUGUAUCAUAAACCGGGACUAUAGGGGUGUAACCUUUAGUCCCGGCUAGAGACACAAACCGGGACUAAAGGGCAAUUUUCAAACUCUACCCCCCGAUAUCGCCUUUUCUGUUUUGAAAAGAACAAAAGGAAAUGAUAAAAACUUCAAAAAUUUAAAUCCUUCGAGAUGUAGUUAUGUUACUACAUCUAGUAGUUAGGGAAAUUUAAAAACAUAAAUUUCGACAUGUUUUGCAAAAAAGUGUUAGGAAAAAGUAAAACGACAAUAUCUUUUGCAUAUGAUGUCGAAAAAACCUGCAUAAUAUAUCAAAAAAUCAGCACGAAAAUCAGCAUUCGCCGCCCUCGUGCCCGUGCGCGCACCCCCUCAGCGACAUGGGAUGUCGCCGUCGACCGAUACCUCUCAGCGCCGCCAGUUGCCGUCCUCCCGCCCCCCGUUCGUCGAUCGCGCGAUGAUAUGAUGUUUGAUUUACAAGUGAAGAACAUUAUGUGCUACCUUGAAGACUUCAACAACGGCGUCCUGGAGGAUGAUAACGACAACGACGGUGCGGCAUGCCAACUCCACCGCCGCCGGAAAUAGUAUUUUUUUUCGGGUUUAGUAUUGUAUCUCAGAUUCUCGAUCAUAUGAAUAUAAAUUCGCAGUGUGACUAAAUGAAAGAUAUGGUUUAAACGAACUUGCGUUUUUCUCUCUUAAUGUACAUACUUAUCAAACAAUUUUCUUUUGAAAAAAUGUCAAUGGUUUUUAAAUAUAAAACACUCAUUGCAAACGUUUUAGUUAGAGCACCGGUAUGCAAACCGACAACUUCUCCAGGAAUCGAAGGGAAAAUGUGUUGAGCAGGAUUUCUGCAGCUCUUGAUUACAAACGUUUUAGAUAGAACACCCGUAUGCAAAGUGAAAGUUAUGGUCUUUCCCCUUAAGUCAAGAAAAUAUUCGCAGCGCAGGAUUUGUGCAUCCCUUCAACGCAAACGGUUGUUUUGGAUGACCCGUGUGCAACCACGUAUAAACAAUUUGGUAAGAUUUGCAUCUGUCAUAUUGGCUAUGUUGCCAUUUGUCAAACUGGAAAGAUUAACAUUUGUUGAUCUAGUAACAUUUUCAUUUGUCAACCUUGUAACACUGCGAUUUGUCAAAAUAUGCAGCUAAAAAUCACUAGCACUAUCUAAUUUUUGCAACUAAAGUUUAAUAAUUAAGCAUAAAUUUCAUUCAUAGAUUAAGCAGUCAUUCUUUAUUUAUACAAACAGUACAACUCGACACCUGAACCGACCAAACAUUUUCCUAAUUGUUGCCAACCACGUACUUGAAUAGCUAGUUUAACUAUAUAUAGUAACUAAUUUUAAGUACGUUGUACAGUUCCAUCACAUCUAUAGUCAGAGGAACUGAACAAAAUAGCCCCUAAAUACUACUACUACUACCAAGGGGCUUUGUACUACUUCUGGCAGCCUCUCCUCUGCCGAGCGAGCUCAGUAAGAGGCAGAGGAGGAGGAGCCUACCGACGAGCUGGACAACUGCAAUACGGUGCAUGCCGUUGCUGCAGCUUCACCGACGCUCACUCGAACGCCCUCUGCCGCUCUAGACGAACCCUCUCGAAGCGGUGGUUCUCCUCAUAGAUCUCAUGAUUCCUCGCCUCUGAGGUGACGUGUGUCGCGGCCAUGGUGGCGGAAAGGCUCUUUGCAUGCUCGACAAGGUGGUCCUCCUCCUCCUCCCGCAGAAACUCGGUGUAGCGCGCAAGGUCGCUGACGCAUGUGCGGGCCUCCACGUCGGCUUCCCGCCUUCUGGCGGCGGUGGUGGAGCGGGUGAUGACCCCGGCGGACGAUGGUGGGCUGGCGGCCACGGCAGCCAAUGAUGGGUUGGCGGCCACAACCGCCACCUCCCGCCUUCGAGCCGCGGUGGCGGAGCGGUGAUGGCCGGCAGUGGGGUGGCGGCCACGACGGCCACCUCCCGCCUUCGGGGUGCGGCAACGGCGGCCGGCAACAGCUACCGACGGGCAGCGGCGGCGGAGCGUGUUGUGGGUGUUCCGCCACACCCAAUAGGGACGCCACGCGCACUACACUAUGCCGGGGACUGCGCCGCCGCCGUGGUGUAGCCUCCCAGCUGGAGCUGUCCUCUAAUGACCGCGGAGUGGUUGAGCGACGAUGACGGACUAGUGACAUUGGCGAUUGUGGGACAAGCAGACGAGAUAAGCUACAAGGAGGGAGGCGAAAAUGUGACGCAGGACUCGCCGGUCGUGAGAGUUUAUAUAGCAUGCCAGUAAGCAUUGGGAUUUUGGGGGAUUUCACCGAGUCGGGCGGGAAGCUUGCGCAGGAACCUGCGAGGUUGCGCGGGAACAGGCUAACCGACAACUCAUUGGCGCCACUUCGAGCCACCGUUUGGCCAAAAGAACGGCCCCGCGCACUGCGCAAGUUUGCGUUGUAUGCCGUCUGCAGCAGCGGGGCGACAAGACGUGCGAGAGGAGGACGAAAGGCCACGUACACAUACAGUUAAUACAAAAAAAACGUUUGCGGUUUAAUUACCUACUAUACCCCCGUCCUAGUUUAUAAGUAAGAUUUAACUAAUAAAAUAUGAAUGCAUGUCGCCAAAUAUUAUAUAGUUGGAUUCGUAUUUGAACAUAGUUUCCAAUUAUAUAAUUUUUAUAACAUGCAUUAACAUUUUGUUGGUUAAAUUAAGGGCAAAGUAUGGCACAGAAUAUAAAGGGGACUAUAGACCAAGACGGAGGUAGUAGUACACAUCCGCUCUCUAUGCAGCAAUGCAACUAUCGGCUGGCUUGUAGGCUACCAUUUCCUACGUGUUCAACGGCUCUAUGCGUGUGGUUGCUUGUGGAUGAGGCGGCCGCGGCAUGCUCUGCUCGCGUCCCACCACGCGCGCUCUGCUCUAGCAUCCCUCCAGGUUCUCUGCCCUCGUCCCUCCACACGCGCUACCAGUGUUUGGGGCCAGUGCAUGAUCACACACGUUCAUGUGUAUGCGGAUGCGCCAGGCGCGGCGUGACGAUGCAGUUACCCGCUGCAAAAAUUGCCAUGCGACGCGCCAAGAAUCCAGGCCGCCCGGCCCCUUUUUAUUCCUGCGGCCAUUUACCUUCAUCUCUCCCGUCACACGACACAAUAAACACACCCACGACGACACAUACAGAGAGGACAUCCAGUGGUUCCAAUGGUGUUCCCAGCGGCCGGCGACGACAACGGUAGGCAGUUCACUACGCAUCACAUCAUGGACACCCACAUGAGGGGGAAGGCCCUCUCGGUGGUGUACACAAACGAUCCGGUCUCGGUGGAGAGCUCCGUCCAAACUAUGGAGCAGUUCCUUGGCGAGGAGAAGUACCCAGUGGUAGGCUUCGACCUCGAGUACACCAUCUGUCGUGUCGGGCACGAUCAGAAGGUUACCGUCGCCCAGUUUUGUGUGCGACAUGACGUCCUCAUCUACCACUACCACCUGGCCACAAGGCCUUGUGAGCGUUUCUCUAGGUUUAUCAAUAACUCCGACUAUAGUGCACACCGCCAACGAUCUAAAAGCGCUCAAGGUUUCGGGCUUGAAAUGCCUUAAUCUUGUCAACAUCCAGCACCACUACAAGGUCUGGGGCAGCGACAACAACAAACUGAACUCCCUGGUUGACCUCGCCUCGGCCAUCAUCGACCCCUACUACACGAAGAUGAAGGAUGUGAGCAAGAAGGACAAGAUUACCUGGCACAGUCUUUGGCAUGUGAGACUAGAUGAACAACAUGUCAAGUACGUGGCCAAGGCCGCGUACACAAGCUACGAGAUGUACAGGCGGAUCAUUGACAUGAGGAACUGUCUUCUUCCUACCCCACGCGAGGGAUCGAGCCACAGAGCAGUGGCGGGAGCGUCACAAGAAGUAGAUGACUAGACAAUCGUUUCUCCUACUUUAGAAAGCAUGCAAUUGUUUAUUGAGGUGUGUGCGAAUGAUCUGUAUAGUCACUUAUGUAAUUGGAUGUUUAUUUUAGUUAUAUAUAUAAAUGUUAUUCUUCUGUAGACAGAGCAAAUCACACGGCUUAUUAGCAGCAAUCGUCGGUGUUAUUAUUGGUCUUCGCACACAUUUAUGAUUACGAACCUGUGUGCCGCGUAUCACACACAUCUUGUUCAGUUGAACCGUUUUCAUUGUGUUGCCUAAUCACACACAGUUCAUCCUAGUGGACUGUAUGCCGUAUAUCGCGCACACACUCAUCUGGCUGCCCGUUUCUGUUGUUCUGCAUCAUUCGCAAACAGUUCUUCUGGAUUAGCCGUUAUCCACUAAUUGCACAUGUUUUGCACAUUUUUGAUGGUUUUUUACACCACCGUUUUCGGUUAUUGCAUCGCACACAGUUUCGCCGAAGGGUCUCUGAUUCGACUAUCGUGUUUGGACCAUCCUGCAGCAGUGGAAGAAGCACUCUGGAGCGGUCGGGAACAAGGGCAGAAUGGGGGCGAACACAAUACCGUACUUGAAGCUAUUCUCAAAGAUGCCGAGGGGGUGGCUCUGUGGUGGUUUGGAUAGAAAAGUAAGUGGAAUUGGGGCUUGAUGAGGAGGCCUCACCAAUGCUUGCAUAUGGUAGUUGAGCGGGAGAGUGAGUAUAUAUAGGUCCAAGGGGUGGUAGAGUAGGAUCUCCCUGAGCAUAUCAUCGUCGUCCUAUAGGGAGGUAGAUGCCUCUGGCGAGGUACUGCGAUAGCGGGUUGUUCCGACAUCCUCCUGACUAGCGUGGAUCUGGGGACAGAGGCACAUGACACGUGGGUGGGCGAGUCCGUCACCCUCCUCGGUGACGUGGAUCAUUCAAAGGAGGCUCACGUUGUUGCGCCGGCAAGCCAUUCUGGCAACAUCCUCAUUGGCGUGGAUCUGGGGAGAGAGGUGUGUGCCAUGUGGGUGGGCUAGUCCAUUGUCCUCCUAAAUGGCAUGGAUCUGGUAAGGAGACGUGCGUUUUAGCAGUGGCGGACAGCCAUUCUGGUAGCGGCAAGAUCUAGGGGAAUGAGGAACACAAGGGGAGUGAGGUGGGCUUUGUUUCGUGAGAGAAUUACUUAUUGGACACUACCAAAAUAUUUGCUUCCCUAUUUGAAGUUUUCUUCCCUAUCCGACACACUGUCAAAAUAAGUGUACUUUAAUGUGUCAUUUAACUUUGUUAGCUGCAAAAAUUGUCGGUAGUGUUAUAUUGAAAAUGAAAUUUAGAUCCGGUGUUAGAUAGGAGGAAACAAUUUUCCAGUGUCAAGUAGGAAGGGCAAUAUUUAGACAGUGUCUAAUAAGAAAUUUUGGUUUUCAUAACACAUUUUUUUUAAACUUGCACGAACAAUUUUUUAGAUCGUAUAACAUUUUUUUAAUGUCAGGAAUUUUUUAAUGGUAUUAAACACCUUUAUAAAGAUUAAAAGAACACUUCUUUUACAUUGUGUAAACAUUUUUUAAAAUCUCACAGACAUUUCUUUGAUACAGGUGAACAUCUUUCUAGUGUACCUUGUAGCCGGCUGUGUAGAAUACCGCUCCGACGAGGCUCAUCUUGAAACUUGCACGAAGAGCCAUGCGACACCUCACAUUGGUGUUGGGGUGGCACAAUGUGGUUUUCUGCUCCAGGUCUUCGACGAGGACGCGACCGUGGAGGCAAUCGAGCACAUAGAGGGAUGUUCCAGGGACGCUCUAGAGGGAUGUUGUCGGAACAAGGGCCAGAAUGGGGGCGAACACAAUAUCAUACAUGAUGCUAUUCUCAAAGAUGCCAAGGAGGGGCGGCUUUGCGGUGAUUUGCAUUGAAGGGAGGUGGACUUGGGGGGUCGAUGUGGAGGCCUCACCAGCACUUGCAUAUGGUAGAGGAGCAGGAUAGUGAGUAUAUGUCCAAGGGAUGGCAGAGGAGGAUCUCCCUGAUCAUAUCAUCGUCAUCCUGUAGGGAGGUAGGUGCCUCUCGCGAGGUGCUGCAACGGCAGGUGGUUCCGACAUCCUCCUCACUGGCGUUGACCUAGGGAUGGAGGCACAUGACACAUGGGUAGGUGCGUCACCCUUCUCGGCGGCGUGGAUCUAUAAAAGGUGGCUCGUGUUGUUGCGGCCGCUAGCCAUUCUGCCAACCUUCUCAUUGGUGUGGAUCUAGGGAUAGAGGCGAGUGGCAUGUGGGUGGGCAAGUCCAUUGCCCUCCUAAAUGGCAUGGAUCCGGGUAAGGAGACGUGCAUUAAACAGCGGCAGCCAGCCAUUCCGGUGGUGUCAAGAUCUAGAGGAAUGAGGAACACACGGGGAGUGGGUGGGGUUUGUUUCAUGAGAGAAUUACUUAUUGGACACUACCAAAAAAUUGCUUCCCUAUUUGACGCAUUCUUCCCUGUUUGACGUACGUUAACGUGUCAUUUAACUUUGUUAUCUAGAAAAAUUGAUGGUAGUGUUAUAUUGAGAAUGAAAUUUAGCUCUGGUGUUAGAUAGCAGAAAACAGUUUUCCAUUGUUAAAUAGGAAGGGCAAUAUUUAGACAGUGUCAAAUAAGGAAUUUUGGUUUUCAUCGCACAUUUUUUUAACUUUUGCAAACAAUUUUAUACAUUGUAUAACCUUUUUUAAAUUUUUGGAAUUUUUUAAUGGUAUGAAACACUUUUAAGAAAGAUUAAAAGACCACUUCUUUUUACAUUGUGUAAACAUUUUCAAAAAUGUCACAGACGUAGGUGAGCAUUUUUCAAAUGUCACGAACACUUUUUAAGAUGUUAAAAUUUUAUACAACUAGCAUCAAUAUUGUUUUACACUGCAUUUACAUUUUUUAAAUGUGCGAUGAAAACUUUUAAAUAUUUAAGUAAAGUAAUUUGGACAUAUGUUUUAAAACGUAGGUUAUCCAAAUCAAACUCAAGUGUGGCGCCCAUCCCAAUCAUAAACGACUAGUAAAUGAUAUUGCCAACAUGAGUGCUAGUACAACCACCAAAAUAAGUAGGGAAUCCAAACAAGUAUUUUCUCGAGCCUCAGCUUGUGAUUUGAUUGCGCCAUCUGUCAAUCUCUGGGAAGUAGACGUAGGAGAGGAGUUGAUUAUCCACUCCAUUCCAGGGACACCAAGCUCACCUUGAAGGGGAUGGAGUGUACCUUGUAGCUGACUGUGUAGAGCACUGCUCACGAGGCUCAUCUUGAAACUUGCACGAAGUCACUUCUCAUUGGUGAUGGGGUCGCACAAUGAGGUUUGCUGCUCCAGUCGAUCUUCGAUGAGGACGCGAUCGUGGGGGCAACCAAGCACAUAGGUAAUCCUAGGGGUGUUCAAGGGAGAAGCGCCCUGGAGGGAUGUGGUAGGGAACAAGGGCCAGAGUGGGGGCGAACACAAUACCAUACUUGAUGCUAUUCUCAAAGAUGCCUAGGAGGGGCGGCUUUGAUGUGGUUUGCACAGAAAUGAUGUUGGAAUUGGGGAUCGAUGAAGAUGCCUUAGCAGCACUUGCAUAUGGUAGAGGAGUGGGUGAGUGAAGUUCCAAGGGGUGGCAGAGGAGGAUCUCCCUGAUCAUAUCAUCGUUGUCCUGUAAGGUGGUAGGUGCCUCUCACGAGGUGCUACGACGACAGGUUGUUCCGACAUCCUCCUCACUAUCAUGCAUAUGAGGACAAAGGCACAUGACAUGUGGGUGUGCGAGUCCAUCACCCUCCUCGGUGGCUUGGUUCUGUGAAAGGAGGCUCACGUUGUUGCAGCGGCUAGCCAUUUUGGCAACCUCCACAUUAGCGUGGAUCUGGGGACAGAGGCGUGUCGCAUGUGGGUGGGCUAGUCCACUUCCCUCCUAAAUGACAUGGGUCUGGGUAAGCAGACGUGCGUUUAGCAGCGACGGCCAGCCAUUCCCUUGGCGCCAAGAUCUGGAGGAAUGAGGAACACAUGGGGUGUGGGGAUUUGCUUCGUGAGAGAAUUACUUAUUGGACACAAUGGACAUAUUUGAUUUCCUAUUUGACACUUUCUUCCCUAUCUGACAGACUGGCAAAAUAAGUGUACUUUAGUGUGUCAUUAAACUUUGUUAGCUGGAAAAAUUGACGGUAGUGUUAUAUUGAGAAUAAAAUUUAGAUCGUGUGUUAGAUAAGAGAAAACGGUUUUCCAGUGUCAAAUAGGAAGGGCAAUAUUUAGGCAGUGUUAAAUAAGGAAUUUUGGUUUUCAUCACACAUUUUAUUAUCUUACGUGAACAAUUUAUACAUUGUAUAACCUUUUUUUAAUGUGACAAUUUAUUUAAUGGUAUGAAACAAUUUUUAAAAAGAUUAAAUGAACACAUUUUUUACAUUGUGUAAACAUUUUAUUUAAAUGUCACAGACACAUAUUUGAUACAGGUGAGCAUUUUUCAAAUGUCACAAACACUUUUUAAGGGGUUAAAAUUUUAUAUAAGUAGCGCUAAUAUUGUUUUACACUGCAUUUACAUUUUCUAAAUGUGCGAAGAAAACUUUUGAAAAUUUAAGUAAUGUAAUUUGGAUAUCUGUAUAUUUAAAGAUUUAAAAAGUAGUUUAUCCAAAUGAAACUCAAGUGUGGCCCAUAUCCCAAUCAUAAACGACUAGUAAAGAAUAUUGCCAACAAGAGUGGUAGGACAACCACCAAAAUAAGUAGGGGACCCAAAUAAUUAUUUUCUGGAGCCUCAACUGUGGUUUGAUUGCACCAUGUGUCUGUCUCCGAGAAGUAAACAUAGGUGAGGAGUUGAUUAUCUACUCCACUCCUGGGACGCCAAGCCCACGUGAAGGGGCUGGAUUUUACCUUGCAGCAGGCUGUGUAGAGCACUGCUCCAGCGAGGCUCAUCUUGAAAUGUGUACGAAGAGCCAUGCAACACUUCUCAUUGGCGACAGGGUCGCACAAUGAGGUUUUCUGCUCUAGAUUUUCGACGAGGAAGCGACCGUGGAGGCAAUCAAGCACAUCAGUGGUCUUAGGGUCAUUCAAGCGAGAAGCGCUCUGGAGGGAUGUGAUCGGGAACAAGGGCCACAAUAUGGGCAAACACAAUAUAAUACUAGAUGCUAUUCUCAAAGAUGCCGAGGUGGCGCGGCUUUGCGGUGGUUUGCAUAGAAUUGGAGGUGGAAUUGGGGGUCGAUGAGGAUGCCUCACUAGCGCUUGCAUAUGGUAGAGGAGCGGGAGAGUGAGUAUAUGUCCAAGGGUUGGCAGAGGAGGAUCUCCCAGAGCAUAUCAUCGUCGUCCUGUAAUGAGGUAGGUGCCUCUGGCGAGGUUGUAUGGCGGUUGGUUAUUGCGACAUCGUCCUCACUAGCGUGGGUUUGGGGACAGAAGUACAUACAUGUGGGUGGGCGAGUCCGUCACCCUCCUCGGUGGCGUGGAUCUAAGAAAGGAGGCUCACGUUAUUGCAGCCGCUAGCCAUUCUGGCAACCACAUCAUUGGUGUCGAUCUGGGGACAAAGGUAUGUGGCAUGUGGCUGGGCUAGUCCAUUGCCCUCCUAAAUGGCAAGGAUCUGGGUAAGUAGACGUGCGUUGUAGCAGUGGUGGCUGCCAUUCCGGUGGCGUCAAGAUCUGGAUGAAUGAGGAACACAGGGGGAAGGGGAGGGGUUUGUUUCGUGAGAGAAUUACUUAUUAAGAACUACCAAGAUAUUUGCUUCCCUAUUUGACGCUAUCUUCCCUAUCUGACACACUACCCUAAUAAGUGCAUGUUAAUGUGUUAUUUAACUUUGUUAGCUGGAAAAAUUGACGGUCCUGUUAUAUUGAGAAUGAAAUUUAGAUCCGAUAUUACAUAGGACAAAAUAGUUUUCCGGUGUCAAAUAGGAAGGUCAAUACUUAGACAAUGUCAAAAAAGGAAUUUCGGUUUUCAUCACACAUUUUUUUAAUUUACACGAACAAUUUAUACAUUGUAUAACCUUUUUUAAGGUGAGGAAUUUUUUAAUGGUAUGAAACACUUUUCAAAAAUAUUAAAAGAGCACAUUUUUUACAUUGUGUAAACAUUUUAUUUAAAUGUCACAGACAUUUAUUUGAUACAGGUGAACAUUUUUCAAAUGUCACGAACACUUUUUAAGCUGUUAAAAUUUUAUAUAAGUAGCGUCAAUAUUGAUUUACACUGCAUUUACAUUUUUUAAAUGUGCGAUGAGAACUUUUAAAUAUUUAAGUAAAGUAAUUUGGAUAUAUUUAUAUUUAAAAUUUUAAAACGUAGGUUAUCCAAAUCAAACUCAAAUGUGAUGCCUAUCCCAAUUAUAGAAGACUAGUACAGGAUAUUGCCAACACAAGUGCUAGUACAACAACCAAAAUAAGUAGGGAACCCAAACAAUUUUUCUGGAGCCUUAGCUGUUAUUUGAUUGCGCCAUGUGUCAAUCUCCGGGAAGUAGAUGUAGGUGAUAAUAUUAUUAUCCACUCCAUUCCUGGGACACCAAGCCCACCUUGAAGGGGCUGGAGUGUACCUUGUCACCGACUGUCUAGAGCACCGGUCACGAGGGUCAUCUUGAAACUUGCACGAAGUCACUUCUCAUUAGUGAUGGGGUCGCACAAUGAGGUUUUCUGCUCAAGACCUUCGACGACGAGGUGCCGUGGACGCAACCGAGCACAUAGGUAAUCCUAGGGGUGUUCAAGGGAGAAGCGCUCUAGAGGGAUGCGGUCGAGAACAAGGGCCAGAGUGGGGGUGAACACAAUACCAUACUUGAUGCUAUUGUCAAAGAUGUCGAGGUGGGGAGGCUUUACUGUGGUUUGCAUAGAAACGGAGGUGGAAUUGGGGAUCGACGAGGAGGUCUCACCAGCACUUGCAUAUGGUAGAGGAGUGGGAGAGUGAGUAUAGUUCCAAGGGGUGGCAGAGGAGGAUCUACCUGAGCAUAUCAUCAUCGUCUUGUAAGGUGGUAGGUGCCUCUGGCGAGGUGCUACGACGAUGGGUUGUUCCGACAUCCUCUUCACCAUCAUGGAUCUGGGGACAAAGGCACAUGACAUGUGGGUGGGCGAGUCUGUCACCUCCUCGGUGGCUUGGUUCUGUGAAAGGAGGCUCACAUUGUUGCAGCGGCUAGCCUUUCUAGCAACGUCCUCAUUGGUGCGGAUCUGGGGACAGAGGCGUGUCGCAAGUGGGUGGGCUAGUCCAUUUCCCUCCUAAAUUGCAUGGGUCUGGGUAAGGAGAUGUGCGUUUUAGCAGCGGCGGCUAGCCAUUUUGUUGGCGCCGAGAUCUGGUGGAAUGAGGAACACAUGGGGUGUGGGGUAGGGUUUGCUUCGUGAGAGAAUUACUUAUUGGACACUACCAAAAUAUUUGCUUUCCUAUUUUACGCUUUCUUCCCUAUUUGACACACUUGGCAAAAUAAGUGUACCUUAAUGUGUCAUUUAGCUUUGUUAGCUGGAAAAAUCGAGGUAGUUUUAUUUUGAGAAUGAAAUUUAGAUCCUUUGUUAGCUAGGAGAAAACAGUUUUCCAAUGUCCAAUAGGAAGGGCAAUAUUUAGUCAGUGUCAAAUAAGGUAUUUCGGUUUUCUUCAUACAUUUUUUUUACUUGGGCGAACAAUUUUAUACGUUGUAUAACCUUUAUUUAAAAUGUGUGCAAUUUUUUAAUGGUAUGAAACACUUUAAAAAAAUAUUAAAAGAAAAAGUUUACAUUGUGUAAUUAUUCUUUUUCAGACAUUUCAUUGAUACAGGUGAACAUUUCUCAAAUGUCACAACCACUUUUUAAGCUAUUAUAAUUUUAUAUAAGUAGCGUCAAUAUUGUUUUGCACUCCAUUUACAUAUGGUAAAUGCACGAUGAAGACUUUAAAAAUAUAAGUAAAGUAAUUUGGAAUUAUGUGUUGGGGAACGUUGCAGAAAAUUAAAAAAUUUCCUACGGUUUCACCAAGAUCCAUCUAUGAGUUCAUCUAAGCAACGAGUCAAGGGGAGAGAGUUUGCAUCUACAUACCACUUGUAGAUCGAGUGCGGAAGCUUUCAAGGGGAUGGUGAUGAGGGAGUCGUACUCGCCCUGAUUCGGAUCACCGAUGACCAAGCGCUGAAAGGACAGCACCUCCGCGUUCAACACACGUACGGGACGAUCGACGUCUCCUCCGUCUUGAUCCAGCAAGGAGAAAGGAGAGGUUGAGGAAGACAACUCCAAUGGCAGCACGACGGCGUGGUGCAAUUGGUGCAACAGUUCUCCGUCAGGGCUUCGCCAAGCUCGUACGGAGAAUGAGAGGUGUUGGGGAGGGGAGGGGCUGCGCCUUCAAUUGUGUGUUGCAGCCCUCCCCUCACCCCUCUAUAUAUAGGAGGAGAGGGGCAAGAGGGGCCGGCCCUCUAGGGGAAACCCUAGAGGGGGGCGGCGGCCAAAGGGGAGAGGGAAAGAGGGAUGGCUUGCCCCCCAAGCUAGGGGGGCGCCCCCUUUAGGGUUUCCCCCUCCCAUGCCCUAGCCGCAUGGGCCUAGGUGGGGAGGCGCGCCCAGCCCACUAGGGGCUGGCUCCCUCUCCCACGCAGCCCAUGUGGCCCUCCGGGAGGGGUGGCCCCUCCCGGUGGACCUCCGGAACCCUCCCGGUGGCCCCAGUACAAUACCGGUAUGCCUCCGAAACUUUCCGGUGUCCGUUUAACAACUUUACAUAUAUAAAUCUUUACCUCCGGACCAUUCCGGAACUCCUCGUGACGUCCGGGAUCUCAUCCGGGACUCCGAACAACAUUCGGUAAUCACAUACUUGUCUUCCUAAUAACCCUAGCGUCACCGAACCUUAAGUGUGUAGACCCUACGGGUUCGGGAGACAUGCAGACAUGACCGAGACGACCUCAGGUCAAUGACCAACAGCGGGAUCUGGAUACCCAUGUUGGCUCCCACAUGCUCCUCAAUGUUGUCAUCGGAUGAACCACGAUGUCAAGGGUUCAAGCAACCCUGUAUUCUAUUCCCUUUGUCAAACGGUAUGUUACUUGCCCGAGACUCGAUCGUCGGUAUCCCAAUACCUCGUUCAGUCUCGUUACCGGCAAGUCACUUUACUCGUACCGUAAUGCAUGAUCCCGUGACCAGACACUUGGUCACCUUGAGCUCAUUAUGAUGAUGCACUACCGAGUGGGCCCAGUGAUACCUCUCCAUAACACGGAGUGACAAAUCCCAGUCUCGAUCCGUGUCAACCCAACAGACACUUUCGGAGAUACCUGUAGUGCACCUUUAUAGUCACCCAGUUACGUUGUGACGUUUGGUAUACCCAAAGCACUCCUACGGUAUCCGGGAGUUACACGAUCUCAUGGUCUAAGGAAGAGAUACUUGACAUUGGAAAAGCUCUAGCAAAACGAACUACACGAUCUUGUGCCAUGCUUAGGAUUGGGUCUUGUCCAUCACGUCAUUCUCCUAAUGACGUGAUCCCGUUGUCAAUGACAUCUGAUGUCCAUAGUCAGGAAACCAUGACUAUCUGUUGACCAACGAGCUAGUCAACUAGAGGCUUACUAGGAACGUAUUGUAGUCUAUGUAUUCACACAUGUAUCACGAUUUCCGGAUAAUACAAUUAUAGCAUGAAUAAAAGACAAUUAUCAUGAACAAGGAAAUAUAAUAAUAAUGCUUUUAUUAUUGCCUCUAGGGCAUAUUUCCAACAGUCUCCCACUUGCACUAGAGUCAAUAAUCUAGUUACAUUGUGAUGAAUCGAACACCCAUAGAGUUCUCGUGUUGAUCAUGUUUUGCUCGCGAGAGAGGUUUAGUCAACGGAUCUGCGACAUUCAGAUCUGUGUGCACUUUACAAAUUUCUAUGUCUCCAUCUUGAACAUUUUCACGGAUGGAGUUGAAGCGACGCUUGAUGUGCCUGGUCUUCUUGUGAAACCUGGGCUCCUUGGCAAGUGCAAUAGCUCCAGUGUUGUCACAGAAGAGUUUGAUCGGCCCCGACGCAUUGGGUAUGACUCCUAGGUCGGUGAUGAACUCCUUCACCCAAAUUGCUUCAUGCGCUGCCUCCGAGGCUGCCAUGUACUCCGCUUCACAUGAAGAUCCCGCCACGACGCUCUGCUUGCAGCUGCACUAGCUUACUGCUCCACCAUUCAACAUAUACAUGUAUCCGGUUUGUGACUUAGAGUCAUCCAGAUCUGUGUCGAAGCUAGCGUCGACGUAACCCUUUACGAUGAGCUCUUCGUCACCUCCAUAAACGAGAAACAUGUCCUUUGUCCUUUUCAGGUACUUCAAGAUAUUCUUGACCGCUGUCCAGUGUUCCUUGCCGGGAUUACUUUGGUAUCUUCCUACCAAACUUACGGCGAGGUUUACAUUAGGUCUGGUACACAGCAUGGCAUACAUAAUAGAUCCUAUGGCUGAGGCAUAGGGGAUGAUGCUCAUCUCUUCUUUAUCUUUUGCCGUGGUCGGGCAUUGAGCUGAGCUCAAUUUCACACCUUGCAGUAUAGGCAAGAACCCUUUCUUGGACUGAUCCAUUUUGAACUUCUUCAAAAUCUUAUCAAGGUAUGUGCUUUGUGAAAGACCUAUGAGGCGUCUCGAUCUAUCUCUAUAGAUCUUGAUGCCUAAUAUAUAAGCAGCUUCUCCAAGAUCCUUCAUUGAAAAACUUUUAUUCAAGUAGGCCUUAAUGCUGUCCAAGAGUUCUAUAUCAUUUCCCAUCAAAAGUAUGUCAUCUACAUAUAAUAUGAGAAAUGCUACAAAGCUCCCACUCACUUUCUUGUAAACGCGGGCUUCUCCAUAAGUCUGCAUAAACCCAAACAUUGAUCAUCUCGUCAAAGCGAAUGUUCCAACUCCGAGAUGCUUGCACCAGCCCAUAAAUGGAUCGCUGGAGCUUGCAUACUUUGUUAGCAUUCUUAGGAUCGACAAAACCUUCUGGCUGCAUCAUAUACAUCUCUUCCUUAAGAUAACCGUUAAGGAACGCUGUUUUGACGUCCAUCUGCCAUAUCUCAUAAUCAUAGUAUGCGGCAAUUGCUAACAUGAUUCGGACGGACUUAAGCUUCGGUACGGGAGAGAAAGUCUCAUCGUAGUCAAUCCCUUGAACUUGUCGAUAACCCUUAGCGACAAGUCGAGCUUUAUAGAUGGUAACAUUACCAUCCGCAUCCGUCUUCUUCUUAAAGAUCCAUUUGUUUUCUAUCGCUCGCCGAUCAUCGGGCAAGUCUGUCAAAGUCCAUACUUUGUUUUCAUACAUGGAUCCUAUCUCGGAUUUCAUGGCUUCGAACCAUUUGUUGGAAUCCGGGCCCGCCAUCGCUUCUUCAUAGUUCGAAGGUUCACCGUUGUCUAACAACAUGAUUUCUAGGACAGGGUUGCCGUACCACUCUGGUGCGGAACGUGUCCUAGUGGACCUACGAAGUUCAGUAGAAACUUGAUCCGAAGUACCUUGAUCAUCAUCAUUAAUUUCCUCUCCAGUUGGUGUAGGCACCACAGGAACAUUUUCCUGAGCUGCACUACUUUCCGGUUCAAGAGGUAGUACUUCAUCGAGUUCUACUUUCCUCCCACUUACUCCUUUCGAGAGAAACUCUUUUUCCAGAAAGGUUCCGUUCUUGGCAACAAAGAUCUUGCCUUCGGAUCUAAGGUAGAAGGUAUACCCAAUGGUUUCCUUAGGGUAUCCUAUGAAGACGCAUUUUUCCGACUUGGGUUCGAGCUUUUCAGGUUGAAAUUUCUUGACAUAAGCAUCGCAUCCCCAAACUUUUAGAAACGACAGCUUAGGUUUCUUCCCAAACCAUAAUUCAUACGGUGUCGUCUCAACGGAUUUAGACGGUGCCCUAUUUAAAGUGAAUGUAGUUGUCCCUAGAGCGUAUCCCCAAAAUGAUAGCGGUAAAUCGGUAAGAGACAUCAUAGAUCGCACCAUAUCCAAUAGAGUGCGAUUACGACGUUCGGACACACCGUUAUGCUGAGGUGUUCCAGGCGGCGUGAGUUGUGAAACGAUUCCACAUUUUCUUAGGUGUGUACCAAAUUCGUGACUUAAAUAUUCUCCUCCAUGAUCUGAUCGUAAGAAUUUUAUCUUUCGGUCACGUUGAUUCUCAACUUCAUUCUGAAAUUCCUUGAACUUUUCAAAGGUCUCAGACUUGUGUUUCAUCAAGUAGACAUACCCAUAUCUACUCAAGUCAUCUGUGAGAGUGAGAACAUAACGAUAUCCUCCGCGAGCCUCAACACUCAUUGGACCGCACACAUCGGUAUGUAUGAUUUCCAAUAAGUUGGUUGCUCGCUCCAUUGUUCCGGAGAAUGGAGUCUUGGUCAUCUUGCCCAUGAGGCAUGGUUCGCAUGUGUCAAAUGAUUCAUAAUCAAGAGACUCUAAAAGUCCAUCAGCAUGGAGCUUCUUCAUGCGCUUGACAUCAAUGUGACCAAGGCGGCAGUGCCACAAGUAUGUGGGACUAUCAUUAUCAACUUUACAUCUUUUGGUAUUCACGCUAUGAAUAUGUGUAACAUUACGCUCGAGAUUCAUUAAGAAUAAACCAUUGACUAUCGGAGCAUGACCAUAAAACAUGUCUCUCAUAUAAAUAGAACAACCAUUAUUCUCGGAUUUAAAUGAGUAGCCAUCUCGUAUUAAACGAGAUCCAGAUACAAUGUUCAUGCUCAAACUUGGCACCAAAUAGCAAUUAUUAAGGUUUAUAACUAAUACCGUAGGUAAAUGUAGAGGUAGCGUGCCGACGGCGAUCACAUCGACUUUGGAACCAUUCCCGACGCGCAUUGUCACCUCGUCCUUCGCCAGUCUCCGUUUAUUCCGCAGCUCCUGCUGUGAGUUACAAAUAUGAGCAACGGCACCGGUAUCAAAUACCCAGGAGUUACUACGAGUACUGGUAAGGUACACAUCAAUUACAUGUAUAUCAAAUAUACCUUUAGUGUUGCCGGCCUUCUUGUCCGCUAAGUAUUUGGGGCAGUUCCGCUUCCAGUGGCCCUUCCCUUUGCAAUAAAAGCACUCUGUCUCAGGCUUGGGUCCAUUCUUUGACUUCUUCUUCCCGGCAACUUGCUUACCGGGCGCGGCAACCUCUUUGCCGUCCUUCUUGAAGUUCUUCUUUCCCUUGCCCUUCUUGAACUUAGUGGUUUUAUUGACCAUCAACACUUGAUGUUCUUUCUUGAUUUCAACCUCUGCUGACUUCAGCAUUGAGAAUACUUCGGGAAUGGUCUUCUCCAUCCCCUGCAUAUUGUAGUUCAUCACAAAGCUCUUGUAGCUUGGUGGGAGCGACUGAAGGAUUCUGUCAAUGACCGCCUCGUCCGGGAGGUUUAUGUCCAGCUGGGACAGGCGGUUGUGCAACCCAGACAUUUUGAGUAUGUGCUCACUGACAGAACUGUUUUCCUCCAUCUUACAACUAUAGAACUUGUCGGAGACUUCAUAUCUCUCGACCCGGGCAUGAGCUUGAAAAACCAGUUUCAGCUCCUCGAACAUCUCAUAUGCUCCGUGUUGCUCAAAACGCUUUUGGAGCCCCGGUUCUAAGCUGUAAAGCAUGCCGCACUGAAUGAGGGAGUAAUCAUCAGCACGAGACUGCCAAGCGUUCAUAACGUCUUGGUUCUCUGGGAUGGGUGCAUCACCUAGCGGUCCUUCUAGGACAUAUUGUUUCUUGGCAGCUAUGAGGAUGAUCCUCAGGUUUCGGACCCAGUCCGAAUAGUUGCUGCCAUCAUCUUUCAGCUUGGUUUUCUCUAGGAACGCGUUGAAGUUCAUGGUGACAUGAGUGUUGGCCAUUUGAUCUACAAGACAUAUUGUAAAGAUCUUAGACUAUUGUUUAUGAUAAUAAAGUUCAUCUAAUCAAAUUAUUUAAUGAACUCCCACUUAGAUUAGACAUCCCUCUAGUCAUCUAAGUGUUACACGAUCCGAGUUGACUAGGCCGUGUCCGAUCAUCACGUGAGACGGACUAGUCAUCGUCGGUGAACAUUCUCAUGUUGAUCGUAUCUUCCAUACGACUCGUGUUCGACCUUUCGGUCUCCGUGUUCCGAGGCCAUGUCUGUACAUGCUAGGCUCGUUAAGUUAACCCUAAGUGUUUCGCGUGUGUAAAUCUGUCUUACACCCGUUGUAUGUGAACGUAAGAAUCCAUCACACCCGAUCAUCACGUGGUGCUUAGAAGCGACGAACUUUAGCAACGGUGCACAGUUAGGGGAGAACACUUCUUGAAAUUGUUGUAAGGGAUCAUCUUAUUUACUACCGUCGCUCUAAGUAAACAAGAUGCAUAAACAUAAUAAACAUCACAUGCAAAUAUAUAGUAGUGCCAUGAUAUGGCCAAUAUCAUAUAGCUCCUUUGAUCUCCAUCUUCGGGGCUCCAUGAUCAUCCUGUCACCAGCAUGACACCAUGAUCUCCAUCAUCAUGAUCUCCAUCAUCGUGUCUUCAUGAAGUUGUCACGCCAACGACUACUUCUACUUCUAUGGCUAAUGCGUUUAGCAAUAAAGUAAAGUAAUUUACAUGGCGUUCUUCAAUGACACGCAGGUCAUACAAAAAUAAAGACAACUCCUAUGGCUCCUGUCGGUUGUCAUACUCAUCGACAUGCAAGUCGUGAUUCUUAUUACAAGAACAUGAUCUCAUACAUCACAUAUAUCAUUCAUCAUUCAUCACAACUUUGGCCAUAUCACAUCACAUGACAAUUGCUGCAAAAACAAGUUAGACGUCCUCUAAUUGUUGUUGCAUCUUUUACGUGGCUGCAAUUGGGUUCUAGCAAGAACGUGUUCUUACCUACGAAUAACCACAACGUGAUUUUGUCAACUUCUAUUUACCCUUCAUAAGGACCCUUUUCAUCGAAUCUGCUCCAACUAAAGUGGGAGAGACAGACACCCGCCAGCCACCUUAUGCAACUAGUGCAUGUCUGUCGGUGGAACCGGUCUCACGUAAGCAUACAUGUAAGGUUGGUCCGGGCCGCUUCAUCCCACAAUACCGCUGAAGCAAGAUAAGACUAGUAGCGGCAAGCAAGUUGACAAGAUCCAUGCCCACAACAAAAUUGUGUUCUACUCGUGCAAAGAGAACUGCGCAUAAACCUAGCUCUGAUACCACUGUUGGGGAACGUUGCAGAAAAUUAAAAAUUUUCCUACGGUUUCACCAAGAUCCAUCUAUGAGUUCAUCUAAGCAACGAGUCAAGGGGAGAGAGUUUGCAUCUACAUACCACUUGUAGAUCGAGUGCGGAAGCUUUCAAGGGGAUGGUGAUGAGGGAGUCGUACUCGCCGUGAUUCGGAUCACCGAUGACCAAGCGCUGAAAGGACAGCACCUCCGUGUUCAACACACGUACAGGACGAUCGACGUCUCCUCCGUCUUGAUCCAGCAAGGAGAAAGGAGAGGUUGAGGAAGACAACUCCAAUGGCAGCACGACGGCGUGGUGCAAUUGGUGCAGCAGUUCUCCGUCAGGGCUUCGCCAAGCUCGUGCGGAGAAUGAGAGGUGUUGGGGAGGGGAGGGGCUGCGCCUUCAAUUGUGUGUUGCAGCCCUCCCCUCACCCCUCUAUAUAUAGGAGGAGAGGGGCAAGAGGGGCCGGCCCUCUAGGGGAAACCCUAGAGGGGGGCGGCGGCCAAAGGGGAGAGGGAAAGAGGGAUGGCUUGCCCCCCAAGCUAGGGGGGCGCCCCCUUUAGGGUUUCCCCCUCCCAUGCCCUAGCCGCAUGGGCCUAGGUGGGGAGGCGCGCCCAGCCCACUAGGGGCUGGCUCCCUCUCCCACGCAGCCCAUGUGGCCCUCCAGGAGGGGUGGCCCCUCCCGGUGGACCUCCGGAACCCUCCCGGUGGCCCCGGUACAAUACCGGUAUGCCUCCGAAACUUUCCGGUGUCCGUUUAACAACUUUCCAUAUAUAAAUCUUUACCUCCGGACCAUUCCGGAACUCCUCGUGACGUCCGGGAUCUCAUCCGGGACUCCGAACAACAUUCGGUAAUCACAUACUUGUCUUCCUAAUAACCCUAGCGUCACCGAACCUUAAGUGUGUAGACCCUACGGGUUCGGGAGACAUGCAGACAUGACCGAGACGACCUCAGGUCAAUGACCAACAGCGGGAUCUGGAUACCCAUGUUGGCUCCCACAUGCUCCUCGAUGUUGUCAUCGGAUGAACCACGAUGUCAAGGGUUCAAGCAACCCCGUAUUCUAUUCCCUUUGUCAGACGGUAUGUUACUUGCCCGAGACUCGGUCGUCGGUAUCCCAAUACCUCGUUCAGUCUCGUUACCGGCAAGUCACUUUACUUGUACCGUAAUGCAUGAUCCCGUGACCAGACACUUGGUCACCUUGAGCUCAUUAUGAUGAUGCACUACCGAGUGGGCCCAGUGAUACCUCUCCGUAACACGGAGUGACAAAUCCCAGUCUCGAUCCGUGUCAACCCAACAGACACUUUCGGAGAUACCUGUAGUGCACCUUUAUAGUCACCCAGUUACGUUGUGACGUUUGGUAUACCCAAAGCACUCCUACGGUAUCCGGGAGUUACACGAUCUCAUGGUCUAAGGAAGAGAUACUUGACAUUGGAAAAGCUCUAGCAAAACGAACUACACGAUCUUGUGCCAUGCUUAGGAUUGGGUCUUGUCCAUCACGUCAUUCUCCUAAUGACGUGAUCCCGUUGUCAAUGACAUCUGAUGUCCAUAGUCAGGAAACCAUGACUAUCUGUUGACCAACGAGCUAGUCAACUAGAGGCUUAUUAGGGACGUAUUGUAGUCUAUGUAUUCACACAUGUAUCAUGAUUUCCGGAUAAUACAAUUAUAGCAUGAAUAAAAGACAAUUAUCAUGAACAAGGAAAUAUAAUAAUAAUGCUUUUAUUAUUGCCUCUAGGGCAUAUUUCCAACAUUAUGUAUAUUUAAAUUUUGAAAACAUAGGUUGUUCAAAUCAAACUCAAGUACGGCGCCUCUCCCAAUCAUAAACGACUACUAAAGGAUAGUGCCAACAAGAGUGCUAGGACAACCACCAAAAUAAGAAGGGAACCCAAAUAAGUAUUUUCUGGAGCAUCAGCUGUGAUUUGAUUGCGCCAUGUGUCAGUCUUUGAGAAGUAAACGUAGGCGAGGAGUUGAUUAUCCACUCCAUUCCUGGGACACCAAUCCCACCUUGAAGUGCCUGGAGUGUACCUUGUAGCCGGCUGUCUAGAGCACUGCUCCAACAAGGCUCAUCUUGAAACUUGCACGAAGUGCCACGCGACACUUCUCAUUGGUUUUGGGUUUGCACAAUUGGGUUUUCUUCUCCAGAUCUUCAACGAGGACGCGACGGUGGAGGCAAUCGAGCACAUAGGUAAUCCUAAGGGCGGUCAAUUGAGAAGCCCUCUGGGGGGAUGCGGUUGGGAACAAUGGCAAGAAUGGGGGCAAACACAAUACCAUACUUGAUGCUAUCAAACAUACCGAGGAGGGGCGGCUUUGUGGUGGUUUGCAUAGAAACGAAGGUGGGAUUGGGGGUCGAUGAGGAGGCCGGACCAACGCUUGCAUACAGUAGAGAAGCGGGAGAAUAAGUAUAGGUCCAAGGGGUGGCAGAGGAGGAUCUCCCUGAGCAUAUCAUCGUCUUCCUGUUGGGAGGUAGGUGCCUCUAGGGAGGUGCUGCAACGGCGGGUUGUUCCGACAUCCUCCUCACUAGCGUGGAUAUGGGGACAGAGGCACAUGACACGUGGGUGGGCGAGUCAGUUACCCUCCUCGCUGGUGUGGAUCUGCGAAAGGAGCUCACGUUGUUGCGGUGGCAAGCCAUUCUGGAAACCUCGUCAUUAGUAUGGAUCUUUGGGACAAUCGUGUUUGGCAUGUGGGUGGGCUAGUCCAUUGCCCUCCUAAAUGGUAUGGAUCUGGGUAAGGAGGCAUGCGUUUUAGCAGCGACGGCCAGCCAUUCCAGUGGCCCCAAGAUUUAGAGGAAUGAGCAACACAUGGGGAGUGGGAUGGGGUUUGUUUCGUGAGAUAAUUAUUUAUUGGACACUACCAAAAUAUUUGCUUCCCUAUUUGACACUUUUUUCCCUAUCUAACACGUUGCCAAAAUAAGUGUACUUUAAUCGAAUAUUGGUUUCUGAGCCCGAGCUCAGAUGCUCCCAAAAUCUAUACCACAGGCUGUCAUGUGGAUCUGCACCCACUGCUGUAUUUCACCAUUGUAUAUCUCCAUAUUUAGCACUGUUCAGCAGCGCAAUGAAUGCGACCGCAUGUCACACUGUACAAGCAGAACAGGCAGUUGAGGCACGCAUAUUUUUGAGCCGGCCUGAGCCGUUCACCAUGCAGGACUCACAGACGGCUACCAGACGAGUCCGUCUUAAAUACAUCUCUGGAACUGACCCAUUAUUCUCUUUUCCGUAUCAUCUGAUCACAGUCAGCCACUUCAUGUAUGUUAAGCAGUGAAUCAAAUAACCACAAGUAGUUGCAGCAUAUUUAAAUUCAGACAGAUCGUCAUAUGUUCACAUAAUCUCUAACACGUAUGUAGUUCAAAUUACUCUAAUUAGAUCUCCAUUAGGAAUCCCAUGCCCAAAGCUUUCCAUAUGCACAAUGCUCGUAGGGUUUUCUGAUGCAAAAUAACACUAAAACUUAAACAUGCCCAUCUAACGAUAAGUACACGCACAGCCAAAAUUGCAUGCAGACUGGAAUUGCUAAUGUCUUUCUCGUCAGUCAAUGAUCUCCUCGGACAGGAACUCCGGGGUAUCUCCCUUGUUCCCCUUCAUGGUCACUAUCUCGUAUGCAAUCUUCUUGUGUAGGUGCUCGAUCUGACCUGUGAUGAAGCAAAAAUAGGAGAAAACUAUUAAUUACUUUCAUCAAAUAUGGCUAUCAGUUUCAGCUAGUCAAGAAAUGGGUUAGGUGGUUACAUACCUGGGUUAUAGUUGAUCGAAGGUAUAGACUGGUGAACUCCAGGACGUAGUGAGCGACAUAUACGCCACUGUCUUCCCUGUGAGGAAACAACAUUGAACUUAGGAAUUUUGCAGGCAAUUUUCUUUUAUCAACCUGAAAUGCCUAGGUAUGUUCUAGGGUACUCACACACGCCUAAUGCAUGGCUCGUGCUGCGCCACCAAAGGGUACACAAACGACCAUCCAGUGGUCUCAACCAAACCGGCUCCGAACAUGUCACUGAAUACUGAAUAGGGUGCAUAACUUCUGCUGAAACUUCCUUGCUAGCGGCCCAUGUUUCAUUUUCAUCUCAUCCAAAUGUUUGAUUUUCAUCUCAUCCAAUGGAUCUGUCUCCGUUGGGUCAAGCACCAUCAUAAUCUUCUCGGUAUCCAGGAUAUAUAAUGACCAGCAAUCCAUGAAAUGCACCAGGAACAUGAACUGAAAGUUGAUUUUCAAGAACACAGAGAAAAUCAGAAAAUUAGGAGCAUAUGGAUAACUGAUGCUCAACUUUUCCAAUUAUUCCGUUUACCUUCUUUAGCCAAUCAACUCUAUAGCCCAUGACUUUUGAGUCCAUCGUCAUCUGGUGGCUCACUGCCCAACCAUAACCUGUAAUUUGGCAACGUACACAUUCAGUCUACGAGUUCUUCCACCAAAACAAUAUUCAGUCUAACAGUUCUACUACUACAAGAAUACUAACAGUACGAUGAAUUUGGUUCUGACUGUUAAACAAGGCACCACUAAGGAUGGGAUGCAAUGGCUAAGCUUACUUUCUGGUGUAUAUGGACUUUUUUUUUCUAACGAUUACAGAAGUAAACAAAUUCCGACAAAAUCCUGUGCAGUUGUGACGAACAUACAGUGACAGACCAACAACAGGAGGAUUUGGGUUCACACCUUUUUUGUCCUCCCAGGUGCCUCUGGAUUGACUCUGUCAGUAGACUGGGCCGACCUCGUCGGUGAUGCAUCCGCGAGACGGCGAACUCGAACUCCUGCCAUAUCAUUCCCAUCGCCGCCGAGCUGUUGAGCGCAACCAGAUCCAGUAUUUGAGUCCGCGGGAACGGCAAGGCCGGCUCCGCUGUUUGGCAACAAGACCGGGGGAACCGGAUCUGGGUGCUCGAGGUUGUCCGCGAACUCCUCUCGUAAUGGGAACCUGCAAGAAGAUAUCAAUGGCCGCCACCAGGGCCCGAUCGUUAGGUCUCUUCUUCAAGGAAAAACAGCCUGAAGAGCAAAUCCUCAAAAAACUAAUUGCAGAUCUGAGACCACUUACCUGUCAAUGGCCUCAAGCAGGAACUCAACCCCACCGUCUUCCAUUUCCCCGUGCUCGCCGUGGCAGAACGAGCGCUGCCGCAAGGACCUACUCAGAACGGAGACAGAGGCGGGGGGAGAGGGACAAACGGCUCAGCCCUCCACUUCCGUCUCCGCACACCUAUCUGAUCCCUGGCUCGGUUGGACUAGUAGCGAUCUGGUCCACGGACCAGAGUUCCCGUGCGCGAGCGCCGUCCCACCCAUGCGCUUUGGGCCCACGGAAUAGCCACUGUUCCGUACCGUAUUUCAUCGUACGUCCCUUUUUCCAUGCUGGACGUCAGACGCGUCAGAACGAAUUAUGCGGAUCCCCAGUCUAGAACUGAUGCCGGCGAUUUCGGGAUCAUCUGGGCUCGGGCACCAAAUCUACUUUAAUGUGUUAUUUAACUUCGUGAGCAGCAAAAAUUGGCGGCCCUGUUGUAUUGAGAAUGAAAUUUAGAUUCGAUUUUAGAUAGGAGAACACAGUUUUCCAGUGCCAAAUAGGAAGGGCAAUAUUUAGACAGUGUUAAAUAAGGAACUUCGGUUUUCAUCACACAUUUUUUUAACUUACACGAACAAUUUAUACAUUGUAUAACCUUUUUUAAUGUGACGAAUUUUUUUAAGGGCAUGAAACACUUUUUAAAAAGAUUAAAAGAACACAUUUUUUACUUCGUGUAAACAUUUUAUUUAAAGGACAAAGCUAAAAUCCAGUCGGCAGGAAUUCUGCAACGGAUCCGAACACAUUGGAUCUCGUCCGUUCUAGAUCCUACGGUCAUGCGCGACCCCGUGUUUCCUUCUUCUUUCCCGCAGUUUCUGCGCUCGCUCCUGAUGAUUUCGUUCACCGCGGUCGCUCCCGAUGAUUUCGCUUGGAUUUUUAGAGAUCGUGAACGUGAUAGGCGGGGUCUGUUUCCUUUUUUAUUGGCACAAGGGAAGUUAAAUCAGAUUCCUUUUUUCUUGUAUAUGGGCAGCGAAAUUUUUUGGCGGAGGUUGAUCCUCAUACGUGGGCAGCAGCGAUAUUUUUGACAGAGGUUGAUCCUGAUCUUUUCUAGUACGUGGGCUGGGAGAUCGACCUCAUGGUGUACAUGCCCCCGACCUGUUUUAGAACGAGCAGAAAGUUGUUUUUUAAUGCAAAAAUAAGAGCUAUGUGGGAAUCGACCACACAUUGUCUUGGUAUAGAAAUUUGGCAACUAACCACACCUAGAGCUUGUUUUCUGGUGACUACAGGAUAAUCGUACUAUUUUAACUAGGUUCAUCUCUGCUAUAAUAGCCAACCUUCGUUCAAUGAAAAAUUUAUCACGUCAUUUCUCUGACUUUUCGAUGCUGGUAAUUUUGUAGUUAAGCAGUAGCCCGCGGAAUUGUUAUCGACAUCCUAAAGGUACAAUUAUCAUCAUGGUUUUAUAUAGUUAUCAGCACACUCAUGUAAAUAGUUAUCAAAAUGUUCAUGUUCAAGUUAUCUAGCUGCUCAUCAUGUGGUUACCAAACUUGUGUGUAGAUAACAUGGUAAUAUACGCACCAUAGAGAUGAUAACUCACAUACAAAGCACCGCGGUAACUAUUUGACCCAUGAAAAAAGUUGUUAAGAACAUACUCAUAGUAAAUUCUCUGUAAAUUGCAUGGUAAUACACGCACAUCAGAGCUGAUAACUUACUUAGACCAAACGUGAUAACUUUUAACCAGGAAAAAAAAGUUUGAAACACCCCCGGUGACUCAUAUGUAAAUAACAUGGUGGUAUACGCAUAGUAGAGCUGAUAACUCACUUACAAACAACACGAUAAUAUUUUUACCCCGGUUGAAAACAAGGGUAAAAAAGAUGUUAAAAACGUACCGUCGACAACUUAUGUGCAAAUAGCAUGAUAAUAUAGGCUCGUGGACCUGAUAACUUAGGUACAAACACCAUGAUAAUUUUGACCCGUGAAAACAGUUGUCGAAAUCAUAUGACCGACAAUUUUUUUGUAAAUAGAAUGCUAAUAUAGAUUCUCCGACCUGAUAAUUUCGGUACAAACACCAUGAUAAUUUCGAAUUUGGGAAAAAGAUGUUAAAAACAUAUCACCGAUAUUUUUUGCGUAAAUGGCAUGAUAAUAUAGUCUUCCGGACCUGAUAAUUUAGGUACAAACACCACAAUAAUUUUGCCCCAUGAAAAAAGUCGUUGAAAACAUAUCACCGGUAACUUCUAUGUAAAUAGCAUGGUAAUAUACGCAACCGGGCUUGAUCACAUAGAUACAAACACCACGAUAAUUUUGGCGAGGGGGGAAGGAAUUUGUUGAAAACAUACCCCCGACAACUUUUAUGUAAAUAGCAAAACACCGCGGUAACUUUGACCGAGGACAAAAACUGUUGAAAACAAAUCUCCAUAUAACAUCUGGGUAAAUAAGAUGGCAAUAUACGCAUGCCAGAGUUGAUAACAUACUUAGCCCAGACAUGACAACUUUUGACCGGAAAAAAAAAGUCGUGGGAACAUACCAACACGGGAUCUAGUUUUGAAGGUCUUGCCGUGACGGAUUUUUUUUUUUGUGAAAACACAUUUUGCGUCGGGCAGACGGUUUGAGUUACAAAACACUCCAAAGUUUUGAAAUAGGGAGAAUCUAUGAUGACAUUAGGUUUUCUACCCUUUUAGUGCAUUUGCAUAUGGGGAGAAAGUUUGAGGAAAUCAUUUCAUGUCCGAAAUUCGUCUAUGUAAACACAGUGGUAACUUUUUGAACAUAGUAUAGACACAGGCGCUCAUACAUACGGGCAUACACUCACCCUAUGAGCACCUUCGAGAGACUGAGCCGGCGUAUCAUUUUAAGAUUUUACGAAGUCAUUGUAGGCGCCUCGUCGUCGACGGGAACGUCCCCUCCCAUUGAAAGCGUAUCGUCGAAAAUCUUAAAAUAAAUCCAAAAAUAAUGCGAGAACCAGGACUUGAACCAUGGUGGGCUGGGAAUACCACUGUCCCUCUAACUAUUCAACCACAUAUUGGUUUGCAACACCAUGGUAACUUAUGUGUCAUAGACGUGAUAACCUACAUACCCUAGGUAUGGUAACUUUUUUAUCCGGAAAAAAAUUCGUCGGAACAUAUCAGCAUGGAAUCUAGUUUCAAAGAUCUUGUCGCGACGGUUCUUUUUAUGAAAACAAUUUUUAGAUCCGAUCGACGGUUUGAGCUGUAAAACAUUUUUUAUUUUGAAAUACGUUGUAAUCUUUGCUGAUGUCAUCAGGUUUGUUUUAUAUGCAUGCAUGCAUGCAAGACUUAGAAAUGAAUUGUAGACCGACUCGCAUGUUGCACUGGGGCUCUUGCUUUUAAAAUCGUCCAGAGUUGUUGUUAUAUUCCGGUCGAACGGACAUUAGCACAGUCCUUAUUUAAAUGUCAUAGACAUUUAUUUGGUCCAGGUGAACAUUUUCCAAAUGUCACGAACACUUGUUAAGCUGUUAAAAUUUUAUAUAAGUACUCGCAAUAUUGAUUAACACUGCAUUUACAUUUUUUAGAUGUGUUAUGAAAACUUUUAAAAAUUUAAGUAAAGUAAUCUGAAUAUAUGUUUAUUUCAAAUUUUAAAACAUAGGUUAUCCAAAUCAAACUCAAGUGUGGCGCCUAUCCCAAUCAUAGAUGACUUGUAAAGGAUAUUGCCAACAAGAGUUCUUGGACAACCACCAAAAUAAGAGGGAACCCAAAUAAGUAUUUUCUAGAGCCUUAGCUGUGAUUUGAUUGCCCCAUGUGUCAGUCUCCGGGAAGUAAACGUAGGCGAGGAGUUGAUUAUCCACUCCAUUCCUGGGCCACCAAAUCCACCUUGAAAUGGCUGAGUGUACCUUGUAGCUGGUUGUGUAGAGCACUGCUCACGAGGCUCAUCUCGAAACUUGCACGAAGUCACUUCUCAUUGGUGAUGGGGUCGCACAAUGAGGUUUGCUGCUCCAGAUCGAUCUUCGAUGAGGACGCGAUCGUGGGGGCAACCAAGCACAUAGGUAAUCCUAGGGGUGUUCAAGGGAGAAGCGCUCUGGAGGGAUGCGGUAGGGAACAAGGGCCAGAGUGGGGCGAACACAAUACCAUACUUGAUGCUAUUCUCAAAGAUGCCUAGGAGGGGCGGGUUUGCUGUGUUUUGCAUAGAAACAGAGGUGGAAUUGGGGGUCGAUGAGGAGGCCUCACCAGCGCUUGUAUAUGGUAGAGAAGUGGGAGAGUGAGUAUAGUUCCAAGGGGUGAAUGAGGAGGAUCUUCCUGAGCAUAUCAUCAUCGUCCUGUAAGGUGGUAAGUGCCUUUGGUGAGGUGCUACGACGAGGGGUUGUUUCGAUAUCCUCGUCACUAUCUUGGAUCUGGGGACAGAGGCACAUGACAUGUGGGUGGGCGAGUCCGUCAUCCUCCUCGGUGGCUUGGUUAUGUGAAAGGAGGCUCACGUUGUUCCAGCGGCUAACCAUUCAGGCAACCUCCUCAUUGGCAUGGAUCUAGGGACAUAUGCGUGUGGCAUGUGGGUGGCUAGUCCAUUGCCCUCCUAAAUGGCAUGGGGCUGGGUAAGGAGAUGUGCGUUUUAGCAGCGGCGGCCAGCUAUNNNNNNNNNNNNNNNNNNNNNNNNNNNNNNNNNNNNNNNNNNNNNNNNNNNNNNNNNNNNNNNNNNNNNNNNNNNNNNNNNNNNNNNNNNNNNNNNNNNNNNNNNNNNNNNNNNNNNNNNNNNNNNNNNNNNNNNNNNNNNNNNNNNNNNNNNNNNNNNNNNNNNNNNNNNNNNNNNNNNNNNNNNNNNNNNNNNNNNNNNNNNNNNNNNNNNNNNNNNNNNNNNNNNNNNNNNNNNNNNNNNNNNNNNNNNNNNNNNNNAAUUACUUAUUGGACACUGCCAAAAUAUUUGCUUUCCUAUUUGACGCUUUCUUCCCUAUCUGAUACACUGCCAAAAUAAGUGUACUGUAAUGUAUCAUUUAACUUUGUUAGCUGAAAAAAUUGACGUUAGUGUUAUAUUGAGAAUGAAAUUUAGAUCAUGUGUUAGAUAGGAGAAAACAAUUUUCCGGUGCCAAAUAGGAAGGGUAAUACUUAAGCAGUGUCAAAUAAGGUAUUUCGGUUUUCUUCGCACAUUUUUUAACUUAGGUGAACAAUUUUAUAUGUUAUAAAACCUUUUUUCUAAAUGUGAGGAACUUUUUAAUGGUAUGAAAUACUUUAAAAAAGAUUAAAAGAACAUAUUUUUACAUUGUGUAUUUUUUUAAUGUAACAGACAUUUCGUUGAUACAGGUGAACAUUUCUCAAAUGUCACGGGUACUUUUUAAGCUAUUAAAAUAUUAUAUGAGUAGCGUCAAUAUUGUUUUGCACUGCAUUUACAUUUUGUAAAUGUGCGAUGAAAACUUAAAAAAAUGUAAUGUAAUUUGGAAAUAUGUAUAUUUAAAUUUUUAAAACAUACGUUGUUCAAAUCAAACUCAAAUACGGCGCCUUUCCCAAUCAUAAAUGACUACUAAAGGAUAGUGCCAACAAGAGUGCUAGGACAACCACCAAAAUAAGUAGGGAACCCAUAUAAAUAUUUUCUGGAGCAUGAGCUGUGAUUUGAUUGUGCCAUGUGUCAAUCUCCGAGAAGUAAACAUAGGCGAGGAGUUGAUUAUCCACUCCAUUUCUGGGACACCAAUCCCACCUUGAAGGGGUUGGAGUGUACCUUGUAGCCGGUUGUAUAGAGCACCGCUGCAACGAGGCUCGUCUUGAAACUUGCACGAAGAGCCAUGCGACACUUCUCAUUUGUUAUGGGGUCGCACAAUUAGGUUUUCUGGUCCACAUCUUCGACGAGAACGCGACCGCGGAGGCAAUCGAGCACAUAGGCAAUCCUAUGGGCGUUCAAGGGAGAAGCACUCUGGAGGGAUGUGGUCGGGAACAAGGGCCAGAAUGGGCACGAAGAGCCAUACUUGAUGCUAUUCUAAAACAUGCCGAGGAGGGGUGACUUUGCGGUGAUUUGCUUAGAAACGGAGGUGGAAUUGGGGGUCGAUGAGGUGGCCGGACCAGCGCUUGCAUAUAGUAGAGUAGCAGGAGAGUAAGUAUAGGUCCAGGGGGUGGUAGAGGAGGAUCUCCCUGAGCAUAUCAUCGUCGUCCUAUAGGGAGGUAAGUGCCUCUGGCGAGGUGCUUCGACAGCGGGUUGUUCCGACAUCCUCCUCACUAGCGUGGAUCUGGGGACAGAGGCACAUGACACAUGGGUGGGCGAGUCUGUUACCCUCCUCGCUGGCGUGGAGCUGUGAAAGGAGCUCACGUUGUUGCGGUGGCUAGCCAUUAUGGCAACCUCCUCAUUGGUGUGGAUCUGGAGACAAAGGCAUUUUGCCAUGUGGUUUGAAGAGAAGCUCGAUUGUUGUAACGGGCCUGUGGAAGAGCUGCCAGCCGAGGCUCUGGCCUCUGAAGGUGGCGAUGAAGAACUGGUGAGACGGAAAGUGAAACAUCAUAGGAAGGAGUACCAUACUGGCAGUCCUAGGAGAAGUCAUAGGUUUCACCUGAAGCAUGAACGUCGCAAAGGGCCUGUGGAAGAGCUGGCAGCCCAUCACAAGAGGUUCCGUGCACUCUAUAAGAAUUAAUUGCCUCUCCUGACAAUGCAGAAUCUGCGAAGACCGCCUCUGCCGACUCUGUGAACUAAGGUAGUUGACAGAAUAUGAUUCCCAUGAAACUUUCAAACUGUUGUUGCUCUAGAUUGUCUCAUGCAUGCAUGUUUACGGAACCACCAUCGUUGCAUUUGUAGUGUGGUCGGAGCUCAUGCUGCACCAAAUCCAUCUAGAUCGCUUGUGGCUGACUGUUGACUGCCAUACUCUCAAUGCAUGUGCAUUUCUGCGGUAUAAUGUCUCACAAGUUGCUGCUUCCAGUUAAAUAUCUAAAAGACUUUGAACUUGUUUUGAUUGUCAUGCACUUGUAAAAGGUACACGUCUGCUGUUAUUUGGUACUUGAGAAAACUACCACUCUACCAGCAAUAGAUGGAAAUUUGUGAAAGCAACCACACUGUUAAAUUGGAUUUUUUUUGGGUGUGUUUUGGACUUUUCGUACAUGAAACCUGAAGCUAUAUUUUAGUUCUGUUCAGAGAUGAAUUUGCAACUGUGAAGGCUGAACAACACAGUAGUACUUGAAGAAUGAUGUUCUUUGGGAGUUGACAAAACAACAUCUGGCUGCAAGCUGAGAUGUAAGUCUGCAUCAUCAUGUAAACCAACCAGCAAACCAGAAACAGGUUGAAAUUUGUGAGCAACUACAUCGUGAAAUUUGUGAAAACUAUGUUUUUUAUGUGGAGGUUGGAACCAUAUAUAUUAGUUGUGUUCACGGAGGAAUUUACAACCAUGAAGGUUGAACAACAUCAGUUAGUGCUACCUAAUUUAUUUAUUUUUGCUACGGUACUUGCUUGAAGUUCCAACCCUGAGCAUAUCCUCUCAUAGUAAUGUUGUGCAAGCAUAUUUAUAUUCUGGAGACAUAUUGUCUGGAAUAUUCUCAUAAUUUCCAAAUAGUUCAGGGCAAUAAAAACGUAUAGCUGAUGAUAUUCAGGACAGGGGCGUUGUUAGAUAUGGUUCAGAAAUCUAUACCUACUUUUUUAUUACUAAUAAAGGAAGGUGCGUUUCGCCAAUUUUUUCAUCCGUUCACCAUUAAAAAUAAUUUUUUUCUAUCCGAGGUGGUACUAAAUUCUUAUGCGUUAGACUGCUAGAAAAAGAAUUUUCGUAUGUGGUCCGCGCACUGUGGCCCAGCGAAGCAAGCCCCUUAUUUUUUGCCCACGCAGCGGGGAAAAUUCUAUUUUUCGCACUAGGCGACAAAUAUUCCAAAUUUCUCACAGGACAACCUAUAAUGGGCUGGCCCAUUUUUGUUUAUCUUUAUUUAUGUGUUUUACUUCUAUUUUUACUAACCUUUCCCUAUAUCUUUUUCCCUUCCAGGUUUAUUUUUCUUUUAGAAUUUAUUUCCUAAAUUAAAAAUUCUCAGUAAAUGUUCAGAAUUACAGAAAACAAAUUUCUAAAAAUGUUAAGAAUUCCAAAAUUUUGCAGCUAUUUUGAAAAAUGUUCAAAACUUGCAAAAAGUUUCCCAUUCUUUCAUUUUUUAGAAAUUGUUUGAAUUUCUAAAAAUAAAAUGGCAUUUCAAAAAAUGCCCUCCUUUCAAAAAAUAUUCAUGUUUUAGUGCAUUUUUCAAAAUUAAAUAUAAUGUUUGUGUAUGAAAGAUACACAUUUUCUAAAAAUAUUAUGAAUUUAAUACAUGUUCCCAUUUUGAAAAAAUGUUCACAAAUUCAAAUAAUUUCAUGUUUUUAUAAACAAUUGUGUUUGCAAAAAGUAUUGUGAAUUUUAUAAGAUGUUCCCUUCAUAUAUUGUUUUUCAAAACUGUACACAUUUUUCAAAAAACUGCUCAGGAUUUUAAAAUUGUUCAUGUUUCCUAGAAUAUUCAGAAACUACAUACUUUAAAAUCCCGUCAUUGAAAGGAUUGAAAGGAAAAAUAGAUUAAAUAACUCAUGGGCCUUCUCUGUCAUACGAUGCCGUAACAAAAUCUUAAAUGCCUUCGAUCAAUAAAUGGAAAAAUAACGGAUUGAUUCCUUCAUGCGCGGCGAAACCGAGAAGCUAAAUGUUCCUUUUUCGUGUGUACACAGGGUUUUGCUUGCGCAUAUAAUUCUCACUGGCUUUCAAUUUAUACUAUUUUAUCUCCCGUUGCAAAGCACAGGCAAGCAAGGUGCGUUUCUCCAAUUUUUUCAUCCGUUCACUAUUUUUAUUCAAAUAUUCAUAAAAUCUCCAGAAUUUUAAAAUUUUGGUCCGAUGUUAAAAAAUGUGGGGAUCUUUUAAUUUUUCUUCUCGUUCCAUAAUUUGUCCACAAUUCAGAAUUUUUUUGCAUUUUGUCAAAAAAAAUUUUGAGUUUUCCAAAACAAUUUUGAGCUCCGAAUACACUGUGAGAAGCUCCCAUCGAGUUGAGUUAUCCAAAAUUGUUCAAGAUUUGAAAGAAAAAAUUGCAUUUUCAAAAACGAUACAAAUUCGUUUUUUGGCACACCGUGCAGAAAUAGUCAGAGUUUAAUAUGGUGCGCCCAAGAUUGGGUUGGCCUGUUCUCGUUGUUCAAUGUGUUCUAUUUCUAUUUUACUCUUUCUUUUCCUUUCUCUUUCCUUUUUUUCAUUCCAAGCUCUUUUUCAAAAUUUCAAUUUGUCGAGAAUUUCCAUUUUUAUUCAAAUUUUCAUAAAAUCUUAAGCAUUUUAAAAUUUUGGUCCGAUGUUGAAAAAUGUGGGGGACUUUUAAUUUUUCUUCUCGUUCCAUAAUUUGUCCAAAAUUCAGAAAAUUUUCGCAUUUUGUCAAGAAAAAUGUUUGAGUUUUCCAAAACAAUUCUGAGCUCCGAAUACACUGUGAGAAGCUCCCACUGAGUUCUGUUAUCCAAAAUUGUUCAAGAUUUGAAAGAAAAAUUGCAUUUUAAAAAAUGAUACAAAUUAUAAAUAUAUUCCUAUUUUUAUGAUACUUUCAAAAUUGCAAAAAUAAGUUCAUGUUAAAAAUAAUAUUUUUUUAAAAAAAAUGAAUGUUCAAAACAUGUUUCUGUAUAAAAAGAUUGUUCACGAAUUAAAAAAAUCUUCCUUUUCUAUAAUAGGAUCAGUUUUUCGGGAAAAAAAUUGAAUUUCAAAAAACCUUCCCGUUCAAGUUUGUUUGUCAUUUUUCAAAAAUCAUUGAAAUUAUCAUAUAAAAUCAUAUAUUUUUUGAAAAAAGCGGGAUUAAAAAUUUUCUCAUAUUUCAAAGAAUAUCGGUAAUUCAUAAGUAUUACUUUAUUUUUGAAAGUUCAAAAAAGAUCAGGAAAAUCAAAAAUGUUUUGAAUGUGAUGUUGUAGUAUGUUCUUAAACAUUCACGUUGACCAUUGGUUAGCAGGAACUGUUUAUUCGAGUGGCUAGCAACACGUGUCCGAAUUUUUGAGGUCAUGAGUUUGAUCCUUCAACUCCUUAUUUUUUUUGGGAUUUUUAUUCACACCUUACAAACAUAGGUCGUUUUGGUGCCUACCAGUGGCCUAGCCCAGAUGCGAACUGUUGUAUGUUCCACGUGCUAUUUGACCAUAAAAGAGAAUAUGUUUCUUGACUAUAAUUAAAAGUAAUUAUGGGCACAAGCCAAUAAAAAAGAAUAUGCUGGUUUGGCUCUGAUUAAAAAUAUAUGGGCAAGUGAGUGCCAAAAUCAUUAAGAGAAUACACCAUGGUAAAGCAAGGACUACCUGGUUAUGCGAUGAUUAUGCCAAUGAAACGAGAUUCGCUGCAAUUAGUAAUCCAUCUGGCUACGCAAUCAUAGGAGAGAGUGGUCGAAGCAACUAUGCCCCGAAGGUCGCCGUGCAACCACAACCUCGACACGGAGGCGGACCUAGAGAAAAUAGGCACGAGUUGGGUGGUGGCCGCCAGUCGGACCAACCCCACCACUAUCCGGAUCUCGCAGGCCAAACAUGACCCGUGAGAACACCGCAGCUCCUCGCUCUCUCGCCCCACCGCCCCGGAAACCGUUUUGAUGGACACAUCAAUUAUCUUGUUGGGACUAACCCUGUUGGGACUAACCCUAGCUAGCUCUCUAGAAACGGAGGUAGAAGAAGAAGUGAGCGGACAGAGAUUUUGUGGCGACGUACGCCUCGCUGCCAAACAGCCUUUUCCCAGCUCAAACUGAUACAGCAGGGGGUUUCUUUAUACCCCGGCGCACUCACACACACGACGCACAUGCACGCGCACAACGUUGUGAUCCGCUUGCCCUGGCGCACGCCCACAACGCGCCCUGACGCGCUCAACACGGCCGGAUAGCAAUGGAUCAUAACAAACACAUCGCAGCCAUCGCCAACUGCCCUUGACCCGAGCUACUCCUACCUUGUGGACCUGUACGUGAGCACAACCUCACGCACCAGCACACACGCACACAACGCACGCACACAGGCACUCUCGCUACGGCGUCUGGCACAACCAGCACGCACACACACACUAGUCAUCACCACUGCCGUGUCUUAUUCUUAACACACCCGCCCUACCAAAACGUGGGCACACCAAUUUGUUGAUGAAGGAUUUCGCAAUCUCCUCGCCGGGCACAAAAUUAGGAGGGCAACUAAAAAUUGGCUCGGAUCCAAUUUUUGAGGACUUAUCCAAAUGCAUGCCCUGCCCAUUGGGAAAACCAAUAAUUUGGUAAGGUUAUUUCCGGCUGCCAUUAGUUCCAUUUCCUCGUUUCUUUUUUAAUAAAUUUACGAUUGUGUGCAUUUGAGAAAAGCAAAGGCCAAGGGUUUCUUCCCCGGACCCGGCCCUUCGCAUGCCCCAUCAUGCUCCCAAUACGGCUACAAGGGACUGUCGAAGUGUGGCAUGCUCUCCUUCUCAGAGGAGCGGCACCAGGAAGAGGCCGUCGUCGGGCAGUGGGCGAUGGCGACGGUGUCACGUAAGUACGACAUGGUGGUAAUCCCUAUGGUCCGAUGGUGCGUCAUACGCGAUUUGGGCAUUUAGGGGCCCUUCUGGAUUGUGCGUACACCCUCCCUUCCGUAACGUGUGCAAAUUCACAGACGAAGGAUGUUGCAGCCACGUGAAUACCAAUAUUUUGGUAGGAUAAGUCUCGUCUGCCAUCCAGUUUGUAAGUACAUUGGUUUGGUGUCGAUGACUUGUUUCUAUUUUAAUAUAGAAAGAUUAUUUUGUCAGAAAAUGGAUUUUUUUCAUCUCAUAAAGGUCGGCCAUAACAAAAAAGAAUUAAGGCCACGUGUAGUAAAAGUUACUAGUUGAACACAGCAUUUUAUUAUGCAGGAAAAAAAGUUCCAUCAGAUAGCAAUGGAGUACACAAGAUGCAUGCAUUUCUUACAUGAAAUUGAGCUCUACUCUUGACUUGAGAUAGAACCCGUCCAAACAAGCCGCUGUACAUGUCCGCGGAUAUUUAGUGAGGUCCGUUUCCAUCGACUUGCCUUAAUAGAGUGCAAUUUUCACUUGAGCAAUAAAACACAAUCUUAUUUGAAAGGACGAUGCAUUUGGACUAUACUAGAAUGUAAGAAUAUGGUUUAUACCAAGGCACUUCCCUUAUCAAAUAGAAGAGAUUCAAUCAGCUUCUCCUGUCCCACACAUCCGUCACACAGCACUACACAGGCCAAAGCUGCAUGCCUAUUGAGGGCAUGAGCAGUGGUGGCAUAUGGAUACAUAUGUCUCAUAAGAAAAAGUAAUUUGAGACAGCUACAUUGAUUUUUCUCCCCAACGCAAGCUAUCACUAGUGUGCCUCAUCAAGGAAUAGAAAGUAGAGACUAGUACACAUGCAUCUCUACUCUUCACUUCAAUUUUUGUCAGCUUUUUACACUGGACCACACUUUUUCACUUCAAGCACCUGCCUCCCGCAGAGGAUCCCGCGUCCCCAUCGGAACCUAUUUCUCCUGACAUCCAAUUCUACAUGGCAUGUGGGGCAUCACCCUAGGGCUAUGCAUUGGCCAUGUCCCGAGGCGAUGGAUCACAUGCCACAGUAGUAGAGGACAACGUCAGUAUAGGAGUGCAGAGGCAUCAACAAGAACCCGACAAAGUAAUUAAGUAGUACUCCUUCCCGAACUAGCAAACAAAGCAAAACAUAUUGUAGCUAGUGCUAGUGCAGUAGACUACAGACAUGACCUGCAAAGUAUUUUCUACUCAACUCUCCUUUUGAAACUUGACCCUGCAUAGAAAUGAAUGCAAUGUUGUGAACUGCUCGUGCUUGUCUCGUUGCCAUGGCAAAAUCAUGGUCUGUCCGGCGAUACAUGCUACUCUACUUGUUGGUGUCGUUCCCGCCCCUAGAGAAAAAUCCCCAAGCCAAAGGAUAUUCAAUGGAUUCACUCUUUAAGUAACUUUAGAUGAUACCAAUAGAAUAUUGAGUAACGCACAAGAAUAUGCAUACAACAAUUUGAUACAUACAUCAUGGAUUGGUGAGGAUCCAAAAUGAAUCCCAUUCAUAACAAGAUUCAAAGAUGGGGGAAAUGAUAGUAGGCAUCCAAAUAAAAAAACAUGGUUCAAAUACUUGUAAACUGUGGCCCACUCUUACAAUUUGUCAUGAUCCGUAAUACUCCAAAUGAAGAAUCAUCCUCAUCAAUAUGGAAGUUUUCUUUUACCUAUACAAGAAUGAGAAGAGAAACUUAGAAUCAAUAAAACAAACAACCAGAGCUAAUUUUGGACAACAUUAACUUAAAAGAAAGUAUAUUUAAGUUUGUGAUUACGUAUUUCGAAAUAAUAAUGUGGCAUGGAUUGAAGUAGUAUAUCAUAAAUACUAAGUGAUGCAAUAUUUUACAGUAAAACUAAUUGAAGCGUAUUUCAGGUGUAAAGCACGACGUAUCCUAAAACAUUAAGCCGCUCCAUUGAACACUAAAUCCACAGACAUCAUCUCCAACAGAUAAAGUGGAAAAAGGACUCAUCUCCUAUUAUUGAGUCUCACAAACAAAUAAUGAUUGUAUCACCUUUCCCACAUUAGACACGAUCCCUAUCUCUGGCCAUCAAUGUUAACUGGAUGUGAACUGCUUUCAAGAUAUUUCUCCUACUGCAUGGAUGCAAACUAAUACAUAAUUUAGUUCUGCAACUAAUGAAGCAUCAAAAUAUUGUACUAAUAGGAAACAAUUAUUUAAGAUUCAAAGCAGCGACCACAGCUUCUUCUGUUGGUUCUUCUAGGAAAAGCAAGAAAACAAAUAUAUCUAUUCAUAUAUGUUGGUACAUUCUGGUAGGAAUAAAUAAGCGAUACAAAAGCACCUAACAAAGAAACAAGGUCUAACAAUAAUUUACCAUGCCUUCCUUAAAUGGGCAAGAUCCAGCAGCCAAGAAACGUGCUCCGACAAAUGAAAAAAAAUUAAGACCAAUUAGUACAAUUAACAUCAAUGUCUCCAGUUGUUAACAGUUAAAAUUGAAGCACAUAUAUGCAUUGUACAUAAGUAAUGUAUUUGGCCACCUCAGGGAAUCAUUUCAUGAAUCAGUUAAUAGGAAAAGAAAAAUAGUAGGGAACAUAUUUAAAGAUGGGUAUAUAUAUAUCAUAGACUCUUGAAAUACAUAUCAGUCGAUGGCUUCAAAUUUCAACUGAUAUAUAAUGACCUAUUGGGAAGAGCACCUUUACAUAGCCUGUUGGAUGGAGCAAACUGCAAACUUUUAUAUAAUGUUGUCAGAAACAUCACAACUCCAAAGUCAGAGGAAAGGAAUUGCACCUCACUGAGUAUAAUGUAUCAUAACCUACAACAAAGAUAGUAAGUGAAAGGCUUAAUCGGGGAUUAAAAAAAUCGAUUUGCUGCCGAAAUAAAUCCUACCGAGGUUCAAGAAAAAGAUAAAUCACUAAUACAUAGAACAUGGCAUGCUUGAUGCAUCAUACCAUUAGCCAUAAAUAAUAUUGCUGAAAAGGCAUGAGAAAAACAGAUGCAUAUAUUAGCAAUCAAACGCUUGCGUGAGACAAAUAGAAAAAUUUAGUAUCGCACUCUGUAAUAUAAAAAGAUAUAUGUUGCCAGCUGUCCCCAUGAAAGAGCAACUCCACGAAGUCCAUGCGGGAGCAUGUGGCGUUCAUACCCUUGACCGAGAGAGUGGGCGGUGUGGGGAAGUCGUACUUGAUGAUCGAGGUGGACUUCUCGGCACUUGUCACUCCUGACAGCGGUAGGCUAUGCACCAUAGCCUGCACUCACACUAAAUGCCUGGCCAGAACAUGACCUCACACGGCCUCUGUGAAAGUUGUCUGCACGCGAGGCAUGUGUGCUGAGGAGGCCCAUGUUUCAGACACCUAGCACCGUCCCAAAACGUCAUUGCUGACGUUUUUUGUAGAUGUGGUUUGACGAGGGUACAUUUACUUGGCAGUAAACAUACACAAAGGUAUGCAUGCCGUCACGCCAUUGGCUCCUUCUGGAUGUUGUAGUACUAAUUGUGAAGAGGAUUUUAGUGUAGUUUCUUAUUGUACCGAGGGUUCAAAAUUUCAGAAAAUUUUUGCAUAUUUCGGUGGGGUUCGAAAUACUUACAACCCUGAAAUUUUGAGGCAAAUUCAAACUAAAAUUUAAAUUAUUUUAAAAAUCAUUAAAAAAUAUUGAUUUUAGAAACUCAAAAUCCGAAAUAAGUUCCGAAUUUCUGGAUUUUGCAUAUUCCGGUGAUGUACAAAAAAUUUCCAUGACCGAAAUUAAAAACCUUACCAAUGUGGCUUUUUGGGCAGGUCCAUCUGUUGUAGUUACGCUCGGGUACCCCUGUUUUAAAUAUGAGGGGCAACUAAAAAAGAAAGUUUUUUCAUGCUCCAUUAGCUAGCGUAGUCUUCUACUAUCAAUAAAACCAAAAAAUAAAUCAAAUGUCAGUGAGUUGGAUCUAAAAGUUGGGAGUUGUCCAAAUGCAUGUCAUGCCCAUCAGUCAACACCAAUGGGUUGCUAGGGUAACUCUCGGCCGCCAUUCCAUUUGUAAAUAGAGGUUUACACUUACAGUGUUCGAUGACUUGCUUUCAUUUUAAUAUCAAAAGAUUAUUUUGUUAGAAAACAGAUUUUUAUUUUAUUUUUUGCUCAGAAAGAUCAUUCAUCUAGAAAAGAAUUAUGGCCAGUGUAGUAGAAGUUACUAGCUUUUUUAUUGGCAGAAUGCAGCCCUCAAAGAUGGCUUAACACUUUCUUAUUAGCAGUUUAAAUAAUGUACAGAGAUAAGUUUACCCCUUUGGAAGGAGAUGGAUUUGAUUCAUUCCUUAGGAAGACUUUGAGAGAAGCUUCAUCACGAAUUGCUGCAUGGUUAUACUCUAUAUGCUGCAUCAACAUUGGCUAGGCAUCCUGCUUGGCAGAUCUGUUUGACAGAAGGCCUCAUUUCUUCCUCAAUAUUCUCCAGUAAACCUGCAUUAAGCAUCGCUUUGGUAGCAGGGAUACCAUUUCUUGAGAUGAGACUGAGCUCUACUCCUGACGUGAGAUAUGUAGAUUGCAACAGAUGCAAAUGAAAUGCUUGCAAGUUGGAAUGACAUAACAACGGAAGAAGAUGCAUAUCAGAACAUGAUUAACGAAGCAUAAUAUCCUCCGAUUUGAAUACAGUACCCAACAAUGACAAUAAAGAUGAACUGCAUCUAAUAAUUAACAUCAGCCAAAUAGUUUCAGCUGCAACUCCAAAAUAAGCAUGAACUGCCUUGAAUGCAUCCUUUGUUUCCCAGCAGCUGACCUAAUCACACCAAUGCGUCGGAUCAAGGGGAGAGCUUAUCGAUGCGGAUGUACAGGGGAACUUCCAUGGAUGCCCCGUCUCCUGCUACUGGCACCAGGUACAUUGGCGGCACUGUCAGGAACGUGGGCUCGCCCGCAGCAACCACGGCCCCGGGCGAUGAGCUGCUCCUCAUGUGCAUGUCCACGAGCACCAUGCCCUCCUUGCCGCAGUUCGCCACUGCUGCCAGGGGUGUCUCCAGGUUGACCCACAUCUUACACGUGAACCGCGGCCGCGUCGCCGCUCUCGCCCUGGCGCACACCACAGACACGGCCGUCACACCGGCGCCGAGCGCGCCCACGGUCAUGAGGAACACGCAGUUGUCGUCGCCAAGGAGCACCAGCCGCGUGGUCGACACCGGUAGCUGAAGCUUGAUGACCUUGCCGUACUGCACGGCGCGCACCGGCACCAAGUGGACAGUGUGGAGGUGACCGGCAAGCGCCUGCGGCGCGCCGACGUAGCCGCAGCCGGGCUCAGUGCACCGGCAAGGCGCGUGCGGGCACACUUUCUGGUGCUCGGCGACCUCGUGGUAGAUCACGUACCACUGGCAGCCGGCGUUGGGGCACCCGAUCCUGGUGGAGGACACCACGCCGUCCAGCGCAGGGCAGGGGUCGAAGAAGCCGCCGCCGUCCACGCAUGCCUUGCACUGCCCGAAGGGCAGCAGGGCCACGCAGCUGCCGCAGGCCGGGUGCCCCGCUUUGCACUGCAGGCAGGCACACAAAUCGGAGAUGGCCCGUAAAUUAGCACGAAAGAAUAGAUCUAUCACCGGCGCCAAUCAAGGAAGAAAUAAGGAAAUAGAGAGACGAACCUGGAAGACCGGGGGCUUGAAGGGGAGGGUGCAGAGGGGGCAGUGGAGCACUUGCUUGUCGAUCCUCACGGCGAGUUCCACUCGCUGGAUGUACGCCGCCCCAACGAUGGCGCCUCCAUCUCCUCCACCGGCCGCCUCUUGCUUCAUGUGGCCGUCGGGCAGGUCCAGCCGCGCCUUCUUAGAGCUCUCGUCGGCCUUGUCAGGCGAAGCCCUGCUCCUCCUCUCGGCGGCCGCGGCGGCGCCUUGCAUCUUGGCUGGCCUUUGGGGAAAGAAAACUCUUGUGUGUGUGUCUCACGCCAAACUUUUUCAGGAGGUGGGUGAGGAGUAGAUCAGAGAUCUGAGAAGAAAAGUUGCCUAGGCAGCCACACUACACUAUAAAUGCUUCCUCAUUGUCGUUUCCAUUCCCAAACUUAUAUGGUAUAGAUAUAUGCCGUGCUCUUAAUCAAUUUCAUUAUUGCUAGUUUAUCCAUACAUUAAUGUUGUCUUUCUUUUAAGUACCUACAAGUGUGCGAUAAAAAGGUUGACCAUUGCAGAUCCAUGUUAUUUUUAGAAAAAUCGAGGAAGAUAAAUAUAAGCACAUUGUUUUUUUCAUAGCUUCCUGCUUAAUUGAUACACUGCGGAGUACUUUUGACUCCAUCGCCAGAGUAUCACACCAUCAAACACGUGGGAGCCCAUAAAAAGAAAAGGAUACAUAUGUAAGCACAAGGGACACGUGUGACCAAAUAGUACAAAGGAGCACACAAACGCAUCAAAACUUUUUGCCUAGAUCAUGACACAUUCCGCCUUUCUCACUGUUAUCGAUAGACACAUACGCCAUCGCUGAUGUGCUGGCUGCCACCAGAAAAUAACAACAACAUGACCACAAGCCUCCAAAAGAUCCAUGGAAUAGGUACUAGAUUUUGGAGACCCUGGCGCCAAAAAUCUUGAUUAGCUGCUUGCAUGAAGUAGGAGAAAUAACCCCUUGAUUCGGCAGAUGCCAUCAAGAAGCAAUGAGCAAUCCAUUUGUCACCACACCACGCAACCACCUAGUCCAGGGACUUCUAAGCAGGCAUCUGUAGCUGGAGGUUAUAGAGACACAGGGAGAUAACCAGAGAUGACACCAACCAAGAUCAUCCUCGCAUCAGUGCGUGAGAAAGGCUUGAACAACGUUGCCAGAGCACGAAAAAGCUAACACUAAGGAUGAUGUGGAAAAUCAAGUAUCGGCUCCCAACCAACCUGCGCUAACCACCAGGUGAUGGAACAUAGAGAGUAGAAAAUAUAUCCAAGAUUACAAUAGGGGCUAAGCUUCACCUAAUAUCCUAGAAAUAACAUAGUGGAGAAUAGAUAGCAGGAAAGCUUACUUGAACCUAAGGAGAGACAAGAAUAUAAGGGGCGACCAAGUCACUCAACCGCUUCUUCGAGAGGUGUCCGAUCAACUAGGGAGAAAGCCUUGCUUCAUCCGGAGCCGGCGACGGCGGCGCUCCUGGGUGUCGCUAACUUUCUUGAAGGCGUCGUUGUCAUGUUGUUUAAUCCUCCUCGUUGGCACCCCGGGGGGAACCCCUAGUCCAUGUCUUCUUGGUACGGAUGAUGUCGGCGUAACCGGCGUCGUGGCCCUUCUUGAAGGCUUCAUCUUUAGGGCUGCAUGGUCGAUGAGUGUUUGCUGCUCACUACGGUGGUGAUGGUGGUGGUGGAGGUGUGGUUGCUUGGGGUUGACGUUGGUUGUUCGGUGGUGUUCUUUGGGGUUCGGCGGCGGUGCUUUUUGCGCCGAAGGGCAGCCAUCUGUUUCCCCUCAUGAAGGAGUAUCGCCCUGGUGCUGUGCUCAAGACCCUUCCCGCGGUUGCCGAGGUGUUGCGGCAAGCUUUGUGCUCUUGGUGAUGUCUCGGUUCAUCUUUGCCCAUUGAUGGCGCAAGAUGUCUCCCCACCUUGCUAAUCGUUCUGAUUUUCCAUGGUGGAGCUCCCUGUCAAGGUUCGUUUAUACUGCACUCAUUGGUUGUGGAUGCUCCUGAGUUGUGUCGUGGGGCUCGCCACGCAGUCCAGUGUGGUGCGUUAGGCUUCUUGCAAAGUCCCGGUAUUAUGAUCCCUCGACGACUUUCCACACAUACUUGUGUCUUUCGUGGUGAUAGUCUUUCUGUCUGUUAGCUAGGUGUGCCUUGUCUUCGGCACCUUUUUUCUGCUUUUUUGUCUUGUUUUUUUUUUGACGCAAAAUGUUUUCUUCUGCUUUCUUUUAAAACAUGGAACAAUCUCAGUAGUGUCAUGGGCAGCCGUUUGGCCUGGGCUGGGCUUUCGGUCCUUGGUCGGCCCGGAGCAGGGGAAGUCUCUAGUCUCCUAGUUGUUGUGGUUCAUGUGUUCUUGCCCCGCAAAUAUUCGCCCUCUAGUCGUUGCGGGAGCCCCCAAAUUCGGUGAAGCACUCGUUCCCAUUGGCCCUUCCGAAGACCGCUCACAAAAAUGUUCUUUUUUUUCAAAAAUAAUUGUUGAUGCUCUUAGUAAGUAUGUAGUGUGGCUUAUUCGAAUUUGUUGUUAAUCCGCUUGAUUCAUAAGGAAUCGAAAUGUUGGAGCUGACCAGUGGGGUUUUGAUCUGCAGUACUGAACGGAGGACCUAGCUUCCAUGGAGAUGGAGAUGGAGAUGGAGAUGGAGAUGGAGAUGGAUGGGAAGAGCAACGGCGUGACCAAGGUGGCGAAGGAGGACCCUUCCCUUUCACAGGUAACUGAAUGAUGAUUCUGUUGGGUCUAUGUGCACAGGAGAGGAGCUCACAAGUUUUGGUGAAGACCUGCCCUUGAGAUUGAAAUUAUUGCUCUUUGAGUAAGGAGGAAUUGUUGUUUCUUCAUUUUGUAGCCAUUGCAAAUCGGGUAAUGCAUAAGCAAAUUGAAUUGUGGGUCUGACUUGAAAUGUACUGCAGGCCAUGGGUCUCAUGGAGGGGAACAACAACAGCAACGGCAGCGAGACCAAGGAAGGGGGCGAUAAUCGGCUGGAUGGAGAGGGCGUCAUUUUCAAGAAGCAGAAUGUUGCCAUGGCCAUGGGAACGGAGUUCUUGGACUGCCCUAUCUGCUCCGCCCCCCUCAGCCCUCCAACUUUCCAGGUAAUUGGAUUGAUGCAAUUUUGUGUAUGUUGUCACCGCAAAAAUCAUCUCCAAUUUCUAGUACAUUGCUCUCUUCAUGUGGAUACGGUUAGUGCUCUUGUAUGUGAUGAAGUUAAUUCUGAACCUUGUUGGGUUGAUUGUCUGUAGUGUGCACUGGGGCAUUUCGUGUGCCUGAACUGUCGCGAUAAGCUCCUGGAGACAAAGACGAACAAGGUUUGGGGCGUGUGCUCCAGGGAUGUCUCGACCCGCUGCCACGACAUGAAGCGUGUCGUCGACUCCAUCAUCGUGCCAUGCUCAUAUGCCGUGCAUGGGUGCGGCGACACAAUCGCCUACCACAAGAAGAGGGCGCACGAGGAGGUGUGCUAGCACGUGCCAAGCUUCUGCCCUGAGAAAGGCCGCGGCUUCGCAGGCACGACAACGGCCCUCCUGAAUCACUUCCCCGUACAGCACGAGUGGCCAACGACACGCUUCCAGUAGUACAAUGCAUUUGACGUACCCGUGAAGGCCAGCGUGCACAUGCUCCGUGAAGGCGAGGUGGCCACCCCUUUCUGCUUCAUGUGGCGUCCCUGGACUCCACACCACUGCACGGGGUCUCUCUAGUCUGUAUCGGGUAGCAUGCGGCGCCGUAAUCCAAGUUCAGGUGCUCCGUAGGCUUCUCCUGGUUCAAGGACCAUUACCAGGCGUCAACGCUGGAUACGAUCAAGAGCACGUCGCUUUCUGACAGACUGCCGACAAACUACUUCCUCACCGUUCCCAAGGCUUGCCGUGGAGGUGGCGCCUGUGUCGUGCUUAGCGUGACAAUUGAUACAGAGAUGGUGUAUGGAGACGAUGACGAGCUGGAGGAGGAGGAUGAGGACGAUGAGAGCUACAACAAGGAGGAAGAUGAGGACGGGGACAACGCACUACUAGGAAAAGGCAUGCUAGUGGCGCAUCAGUUUUGCCUACUAAUGGCGCACUACUGGUGCGCCAUUAGCAUCACGCCAUUAGAAUUAAAUUCUAAUGGCGCAUCACUGGUGCGCCAUUAGUAUCUGGUGUUCUAAUGGCGCACCUGAUAGUGCGCCAUUAGUAUAGCCCACAGUGCGCCAUUAGAAUGCCUCCCAGGGGGCCAUAUGUACCCAUGUGCUUUGGCAUACUAAUGGCGCACCAGUGGGUGAUGCGCCAUUACUGUGAUUAUCACAGUGCGCCAUUAGUGUCUUGUGUGGUGCGCCACUAGUAUGAAUAUUAGGGAUUUUUUCUUCUUUUCUGAUAUUUUCACAUGUUACAAAAUAUAUUAUUGGACAGAAUUUAGACAACAGCACACAGCGACAGCAGAUUCAUCGAAUACAUAGAAGAUUAGUCUCCGAAUACAAUUCAUCAUAUUAGUCUCUGAAUUCAAAAGACCGAACAAAGAUAGAACAUUACAAGUCUCAAGACCGCGAGUAGCGAGUUUGUCUUCACAUUACAAGUCGAUAUCGAUAAUCUAAACUACCAUCACAUAGAAGAGAGCUGCGGUCAUCACGAUGAGCAUCAUCGCAAUGAAACUGGUCUUCAUCUGGUUCCUCCAACGCUCCCUCCUCUCUCCCGCUAGAUAGCGGGCGUAUCUAGAUUCCGCCUCCGCCCUAGUGGUGUACCCUUUGUAACUGUUACCGCUGAAACGGUGAACCUGUCUCCGACACUCCUCCCAGUCGUCGUAGACUCCGGGAACCUUACCCUUGUACACGACAUACGACAGCAUCUCUAUGCACAAGCCAAACAACAGACAAUACAUAAGCAAUAUAUAAGUAUGCAACAAAAGGAUCGGAAGAGAAAAGCAAGACAUUAAUAGCACGAUUCAUGGUCCUACUAAUAAAUAGCAUCGAUUACAUCUAAGUUGAACGACUGUCCAAACCAAAGAGACAUACAAGUUCAUUAAAGUUUAACUAGCACAUAUGCCCGUGCGUUGCAACAGGAGAUAAAAUGGUAUGCAUUUGAAGUCAACGAGAAUUAUAUGUGUAAGAAAAACCCUUUGUGCACACAAAAAAUGAACAUUUAGCUACUUGGUUUCGCCACGUGUGAAAGAAUCAAUCCGCUAUUUUCCCAUUCAUUGAUCGAGGCCAUUUAAUAGUUUUGUUACAUCAUUAGAUGCCAGAAAAAGCCCAUGAAUUAUUCAAUUAACACUUCCUUUCAAUCCUUUUAAUCCAGGGGAUUUAAAGGUAUGAAGUUUCUGAAUAUUCCGGGAAACAUGAAUAAUUUUUAAAAUCCUGUAUAUUUUUUUAAAAUUACGUACACUUUCAGAAAAAAUACGAACAAAAUAUGAAAGGGAACAUCUUUUAAACUUUUCAAUUUUUUCUGAAAACAAAAUUAUUUUUCUAAAACAUGAAUAUUAUUUGAAUUUUUUACAAUUUUUUAAAAUGGGAGCAUGUGUUCAAAAUUCAUAAGAUUUUUUGAAAAUAUGUGUCUUUGUACACGAACAUUAUUUUUAAUUUUGAAAAAUUCACUAAAAAUGAUGUUUUUUUACAUUUGGAGCAUUUUUUGAAAUGCCAUUUUCUUUCUAGAAAUCUCGAACAAUUUCUAAAACAACAGAAAAUUCAAAAAUUGGCUACUUUUUGCACGUUCCGAAUAUUUUCAAAAUAGCAACAAAAUUUUAAAAUUCUGAACAUUUUCCAAAAUUUGUUUAUUUCUAAUCAUUAACGGUUUUUGAGAAUUUCUUAUUUACAAAAUAAAUUCUAAAAUAAAAAUAAACUUGGAAGGCAACAAAUAGUUAGUGAAAGCAAAAUAAAAAUAGAAGUAAGACACAAAAUAAAAGAACAAUGAGGCAGCCCAUUAUUGGCUGUCCUGUGUGAAACUCCCAGUGUUUGUCGCCCAGCGUGGAAAAUAGAAUUUUGCCAGCUGCGUGGGCAAACAAAUAUGUGGGCUGGCUUCGCUGGGCCACAACGCGCGGCCCAUGUACAGAAAAUAAUUUUUCUAAAAACAUGAACAUUAUUUGAAUUUUUUACCAUUUUUUAAAAUGGGAGCAUGUGUUCAAAAUUCAUAAGAUUUUUGGAAAAUGUGUGUCUUUGUACACGAACAUUAUUUUUAAUUUUCAAAAAUUCACUAAAACAUGAUGUUUGUUUACAUUUGGAGCAUUUUUUGAAACGCCAUUUUCUUUCUAGAAAUCUCGAACAAUUUCUAAAAACAAUAGAAAAUUAAAAAUAUGGGCUACUUUUUGCACGUUUCGAAUAUUUUCAAAAUAGCAACAAAAUUUUGAAAUUCUGAACAUUUUCCAAUAUUUGUUUAUUUCUAAUCAUUAACGGUUUUUGAGAAUUUUUAAUUUACAAAAUAAAUUUUAAAUAAAAAUAAACUUGGAAGGCAAAAAAUAGUUAGUGAAAGCAAAAUAAAAAUAGAAGUAAGACACAAAAUAAAAGAAAAUUGAGGCAGCCCAUUAUUGGCUGUCCUGUGUGAAACUCCCACUGUUUGUCGCCCAGUGUGGAAAAUAGAAUUUUGCCAGCUGCGUGGCAAACAAAUAUGUGGGCAGGCUUCGCUGGCCCAUAACGCGCGGCCCGUGUCCAGAAAAUAGUUUUUCUAAAAACAUGAACAUUAUUUGUAUUUUUUACAAUUUUUUAAAAUGCAAGCAUGUGUUCAAAAUUCAUAAGAUUUUUGGAAAAUGUGUGUAUUUGUACACGAACAUUAUUUUUAAUUUUGAAAAAUUCACGAAAACAUGAUGUUUUUUAACAUUUGGAGCAUUUUUUGAAAUGCCAUUUUCUUUCUAGAAAUCUCGAACAAUUUCUAAAAACAAUAUAAAAUUAAAAAAAUGGGCUACUUUUUGCACGUUCCGAAUAUUGUCAAAAUAGCAACAAAAUUUUGAUAUUGUGAACAUUUUCCAAAAUUUGUUUAUUUCUAAUCAUUAACGGUUUUUAAGAAUUUUUAGUUUACAAAAUAAAUUUUAAAUAAAAAUAAACUUGGAAGGCAAAAAAUAGUUAGUGAAAGCAAAAUAAAAAUAGAAUUAAGGCACAAAAUAAAACAAAAAUGAGGCAGCCCAUUAUUGGCUGUCCUGUGUGUAACUCACACUGUUUGUCGCCCAGUGUGGAAAAUAGAAUUUUGCCAGCCGCUGGGCAAAAAAAUAGGUGGGCUGGCUUCGCUGGGCUACAACCCACGGCCUAUGUACAGAAAAUAAUUUUUCUAAAAACAUGAACAUUAUUUGAAUUUUUACCAUUUUAUAAAAUUGGAGCAUGUGUUCAAAAUUCAUAAGAUUUUUGCAAAAUGUGUGUCUUUGUACACGAACAUUAUUUUUAAUUUUGAAAAAUUCACUAAAACAUUAUGUUUUUUAACAUUGAAGCAUUUUUUGAAAUGCCAUUUUCUUUCUAGAAAUCUCGAACAACUUCUAAAAACAAUAGAAAAUUAAAAAUUGGUCUACUUUUUGCAUUUUCCGAAUAUUUUCAAAAUAGCAACAAAAUUUUGAAUUUCUGAACAUUUUCCAAAAUUUGUUUGUUUCUAAUCAUUAACGGUUUUUGAGAAUUUUUAAUUUACAAAGUAAAUCCUAAAAUAAAAAUAAACUUGGAAGGCAAAAAAUAGUUAGUGAAAGCAAAAUAAAAAUAGAAGUAAGACACAAAAUAAAAGAAAAAUGAGGCAGCCCAUUAUUGGCUGUCCUGUGUGAAACUCCCACUGUUUUUCGCCCAGUGUGGAAAAUAGAAUUUUGCCAGGUCCUUGGGAAACCAAUAUGUGGGCUGGUUUCGCUGGGCCACAACGCGCGGCCCAUGUACAAAAAAUAAUUUUUCUAAAAACAUGAACAUUAUUUGAAUUUGUUACCAUUUUUUAAAAUGGGAGCAUGUGUCAAAAUUCCUAAGAUUUUUGGAAAAUGUGUGUAUUUGUACAAGAACAUUAUUUUUAAUUUUGAAAAUUCACUAAAACAUGAUGUUUUUUACAUUUGGAGCAUUUUUUGAAAUGCCAUUUUCUUUCUAGAAAUCUCGAACAAUUUUUAAAAACAAUAGAAAAUUAAAAAAUGGGCUACUUUUUGCACGUUCCGAAUAUUUUCGAAAUAGCAACAAAAUUUUGAAAUUCUGAACAUUUUCCAAAAUUUGUUUAUUUCUAAUAAUUAAUGGUUUUUGAGAAUUUUUAAUUUACAAAAUAAAUUCGACAAUAAAAAUAAACUUGGUAGGCAAAAAAUAGUUAGUGAAAGCGAAAUAAAAAUAGAAGUAAGACACAAAAUAAAAGAAAAAUGAGGCAACCCAUUAUUGGCUGUCCUGUGUGAAACUCCCACUGUUUGUCGGCUAGUGUGGAAAAUAGAAUUUUGCCAGCUGCGUGGGCAAACAAAUAUGUGGGCUGGCUUCGCUGGGCCACAACGCGCGGCCCAUGUACGGGAAAUAAUUUUUCUUGCAGACAAGCGCAUAAGAAUUUAGUACUACCUUGGAUACGAAAAAUUUGUUUUCGACGGUGAACGGAUGAAAAUUUUGAAGAAACGCACCUUGCUUUAUUAGUAGGUAUAGAUUACAACAUGAGCCAAUCAAUGUUUCAGAACUACACAUAUAAUCACUACUGUCGACUCGACUCAUGGGACGGGAGUGUGGAUGAAGCCGCCGUCUGUCGUGAUGGUCAUGAAAUCGCGGACGUUAUCAGCCUGCAUUUGUAGCGUUGUGUCUAUCUCACUGUUGAACGGUUGAUGUCUGAGGUAGAACUGCCCCAAGGUACGAAGGACAUCUUGAUGGAUAAUUUCCGCAAACUCUGACUGGAUGUGAAAGAAUUCUUGUCUGAUGUCCGCGUCCUAGAUUGCCGACAAGCUCGCGGCCCAAUCUUUGAGAUUAUCUGGUAGCAGAAGGUGAUGAUGGUCCUGUACGAUCGUCCGCAUGUGAUGGAGGGCGUAGUAGGCAUCCUUCUGACCGCCAGGCGGCUGCUUGACGCAGGAGAACUUUGUAUUGUGGGCAAACACGUGCGCGCCGUACCGCCUACGAACUGGCUUGGCGAAGGUGCCUCCAGAUUUGGCGUAGCCGGGGAGAACAUCAUCAAGAACUUUCUUGAUAUUUGUGUAGUCUAUCUUGGAGUCACGGUCCGGAUCGAAAUACGUGGCCAUGGAAUAUUUUGGGCUUAAGAUGAUGAGUGUGCAAUGUGUGUCACUGCACAGAACACGGAAUGUUAGAAAAAAAAGAACGAUCGAAAUCUAAGAAAUCAUAUGUUACGGGGCGGUGAGGGGAUGACUUACUCGGGAAAGUAAGGCACGAGGAAGUUAUCCUUAUCUUGGUUUGCCAGAAUGACGCCUUCGAGGUAAGAACUCGCGACUUGCCGGUCCCCAGCGCUGCCCAAGAUCUUGGCACGCAUGUAGAAGGGGUCGACUAUCACGAUGUCCGGGGUCUUGUCUAUAAUGAUCUGCAUCUCCAUACUCAGCGAAAACAGCCGAACGAAGGUGUAUUGCAGCGGAUGAAGGUUAAACAUAGCAAAGAUGUCAUCAAACCGCAGGACGAUCGUACCCCCGAUGGCGCCAUCCACGAAGCCCUUGUCCUUUGGCACCUUGGCCACGAAAACCGGGUAUGCCACAUCAUUCUCUCUGAGACGCCGCUUCUCCAAAGAAAGAACACUGUCAUGCAGACUCCGCAUAGCACCGGUUGCAGCAUUGAGCAUAUUUGUCGGUAGCAUCGCCCUACCCGCCACAUGCACCCUCCUCGAGAUAUCCUUAGGUGAAGGUGGCCCGUCCUGAGCGCGGAUCGUACUCGGUGCCGGCUGGCUCGCACCCUUGUUACUCUUUCUUUUCUGUCCCUUCUUCUUCUGUUGUAAUGGGACCGAGUUCUGCUCACAGACCGCCUUCUUGAGUGUGUUGGGGCUGAUAAUAUUUGGCACCUCGGCUAUCUGAGGCUCGGUGAAGUCGGAAGCUGGAGGCGUCUCCUGAGAACUGAACGCCAGACGACGCCUGUUGCAACUGGGUUUCUCCGCCGUACCAGCUAGACCGUGGUCGUCUUGGUUGGGUUCUUGAGAGAGAGGCCUGCAGAAUUCAUCAUCGUACCCAUGUUCGGCAAAGUACUUAUCGACGUUGCUAAAUGUACGGUCGUCGUCGUUGUCGUCGUCGUCCAGAUGCUGUGCCAUAUGCAUGUUCGGAUCCUGUGCCAUAGGGAUGUCCGGCAUGUCCGGUAGCGUUGUGGCGGUCUUGCCAUGGCUUGGCGCCGGCACGACUGGCGGUGUUGUCUCUGGGGUGGUGUCCCCCGCCCCCAAACGAAUCUGGCUCUUCGGCCAAAGCAGGGGCCAGCUUAGGCAGGCGCUGAGGGUCAUCAGAUCAUCUUCGUCGGCCCCUGCGGGUCGAAUCGGAGGUAACAACUCGUCGCAGCCUGGCAGCACCCGAAACAGUUGAACCCUAUACAUGGUGGGUGGCAUCGGUUUACCGUGGAACACGGGGUUGCCCGGUUGAAUAAUUUUGCCCUUGGCGACAUCGACCAACUCGUCGUUCACGAAGUGCAGGAGAGUGCACGGAACGUCGGCGGCGCCCUGCGAAAACAUGUAGGGCGCUAGGGAUGCCCAGUCAAAGGCAAAAUGAGAUGAAGUCCUCGGCCGAGAGGCUUAAUUAGUUACCGUGAUGAUGGCGUCGAGCUCGGCUAAUGUCGAGGCACCACCAACGGCGGGCGUGCAACUGACGGAGGGGCCGCUUGCUGGCGAGGUGCCGGCCGGCGUACACCCGGGUGCAUUAAGCUCCAAUGCCGGCCGUGCCGGCGUCGGAGAUACCAAUACCGCCGCCGCCGGAGACACCAAUGGCGCCGCCUGCGCAUUGUGCGAGUUGCUGGCCGUGAAGCUGGGAAUCGGGGGCGGCCCCUGUUGGCCACUGUCAGUGUCAAAACCGGCGGAUCUUGGGUAGGGGGUCCCGAACUGUGCGUCUAGGCGGAUGGUAACAGGAGACAAGGGACACGAUGUUUUUACCCAGGUUCGGGCCCUCUCGGCGGAGGUAAAACCCUACUCCUGCUUGAUUAAUAUUGAUGAUAUGGGUAGUACAAGAGUAGAUCUACCACGAGAUCAGAGAGGCUAAAACCCUAGAAGCUAGCCUAUGGUAUGAUUGUUGUUCGUCCUACGGACUAAAACCCUCCGGUUUAUAUAGACACCGGAGAGGGUUAGGGUUACACAGAGUCGGUUACAAUGGAAGGAGAUCUACAUAUCCGUAUCGCCAAGCUUGCCUUCCACGCCAAGGAAAGUCCCAUCCGGACACGGGACGAAGUCUUCAAUCUUGUAUCUUCAUAGUCCAGGAGUCCGGCCGAAGGUUAUAGUUCGGCUAUCCGGACACCCCCUAAUCCGGGACUCCCUCAGUAGCCCCCGAACCAGGCUUCAAAGACGAUGAGUCCGGCGCGCAGAUUUUGUCUUCGGCAUUGCAAGGCGGGUUCUUCUCCAACUUCUGUGUACCUGUUGAAUAGUGUCCAGCUUUUCGUGAAUAUUGCGCUCCUUGGCUUCCGCGCCCAAUAAUGGCCGUCUUCCACGUGUCAAACGAAUGUGAAAAGCCAGGGUGUUUUACUUUUACCCCCUAGCUGCGCAAAUAAGCUGCCUUAUAAAAGAGACGAGGAUUUAGAUCCGAAUCACACCAUCUCCCCUUCGCGAGCAUUCAUCGGAGCGCAUCUGACAGAAACCCAUUCCAUCAUGGCCAGUCGACGCAACUCCUCCUCUCGCCCUGCCAGCCCUCAACCUGGAGAUUGGGAGAGAUGUUCCGUCCCACACAGCGAGCUAGUGACGCUCCAAACCAAGGGAUUUCUUCCCCCAGCCUUCAUGGUUCCGGUUCGAGCCGGACUCGCCACCUAUAAUGGCGGAAAGCAGGCAGAGAGCGUCCCCAAUCCCUCCAAAGGAGAGCGGGUAUGCCUUGUCCCUUACUUAAUAAGAGGGCUCGGGUUUCCAAUUCAUCCGUUUCUCCAGGGGCUCCUGGAGUUCUACGGCCUCCAGCUGCACAACCUUACGCCUGCCUCCAUAUUGCAUAUCGCGGGCUUCGUAGCCCUUUGCGAGCUGUUCUUGGGCGUCGAGGCUCACUUCACGCUGUGGAAGAAGCUGUUCUGCCUUGUGCCCUGUUCUCAGGAGGGGUCGAUAUAUCAAGUGGGCAGAGCCGAACUAUGGCGCAUCACCGGGACCGGAUAUCUAUCCGGAACCCCAAAGAAGGCAUCCGAAGACUGGCCUUCAGAAUGGUUUUAUAUAGAAGAUGUCCCCCUGCCGGACCUUGUGCGGAUCGGCCUUCCUGAGUUCAAUAAUGCUUCUUUGAAGAAGCGCCUAAGCUGGCGCCCACAGAGCCCUCAGAAGGAAAAUGACAGGGACGUCCUUUACCCGAUGAGCCGGAUAAGAUUACUAGCUCAUUCCGGACUGACCAUGAUCGGGGUCAUGGCCACAUGCAUCAUGCGGGGGGUGCAGCCGCUUCAGUAUAGGGGCCACCCCAUGUGGGACUUCAAUGGGGAGGAUGAUGCCACCCGCUGCGGCCGUAAGGGGCCGGAAUCAGUUGCUGCUCUGACGAAGGCCUUGUCCGCAUUAUACAAGGGAGAAGAGGAGGAUUUCCUCCGCGUCAAUCCACAGGGCGGAUUUUCUAUGUACGAUCCUCCAAGCUGGGUAAGCGGACACUUCUUUAUGCCCAUCCGUUCCAUAUUCCCGUAGUUAGGUACCUUAUUCUGUGAUUUUGACGCAGGAAUUGCGCCGGGCUGUAAAGGAUAUAAACAGCCCUCCUCCACAACCCGAGGAUCCGGAAAGGUCCCUCGAUCCGGCCUCCCAAGAGGAUCCGGACAUAUCCGUGGAGCUGAUCGAUGGGGUAUUUUACCAACUGAGCAUCGACAAUGCCUUGUUCGCCAUUACGGCCGAUUACCCCGGAAUAUUUCCAGCCUCACAGGUAACUGAGACCGAAGUCCCAAUACUUUGAAAAUGAUCCACCCAUGCUUAUCUUUGAUCACCGUAUAUCAAUCGUGUUUUGCGGGGGAGCCCUUGAGGCAGAAGGCCGAGGCUGCGGUGGCUAGCCAACAAGGGGCAGCAAGGCCCAGCAGGCUGAAAAGAAGUGCUGUCCGGAUUGAGACGCCGGCGCCGCGAUGUGGCAUGCCUUCUUAUUCCCAGGUUUUAUUCCCGGAAGGUAUACUAACGCUCGUGCUUUCUUCAGGAAAAAGAGCGCUCGCCGGACUAUAUCCGGAGAGGCUACCAAUCGAGCCUCCACCAACCAGGCUCCAAAGCCAGGUCCAGAGGUGGAGGCGAACACGAGGCGUGCGCCGGACACUCCUCCGACAGAGGAUGCCGACGGACUAUCUGCCACCAAUUCCGAGGUGGAGAGUGCCAUGAAUCACAGGCGUCGCCAGACUGUUCUUCGUGACGCAUGUUUCUCCCAAGAGGCAUUGGAUGCCUUCAAUUUGGGAGAUGCGCACCUCCGUGCUGCUCAAAAUGGUCUAGCCAGAGCCACAGAGCAGUAUGUGAAAGACAUACGGGUGAGAAAAUUUGAUGGUUAUAUAUACCAGUAGCCCCCGAGACUUGAAAUAGUUAGAAUAACUGAUUUAAGGAUCAUUUAUUAUGCAGGAUCUUACAAAAAAGAAUACCCAACUGUCCCGGGAGCUGGAAGAGUGCAAAGCCCAACUUGAGGCCGCACUAGCCGCUGCAGGGGAGGCCAAGGAGACCCCCUCUGGUAAUAUACGCUUCGAAAGAUAAGUAUGUUGUGAAGUGCGGCAUAUGUGUAAAUCUGACAAUAUCAUUGCAGAUGGCGCCGGAGUAGAUCCGGACAAGCAACAACUCUUGCGUCGGUUAAAAGCCGGGGAGAGCGUGCUUACGAGGGUGAGGCAGGAGAAGAAUAAUCUCCAAGAUGCCAACACCCAGCUGGAAGAGGAACUCAAAGAUGUUCGUGCCCAGCUGGCGGACUCCGUGAAGGAGAAUCGACGGCUUCGACACGGCAUUUUUAGUAAGUGCUUGAACGAACUUUGAAAAAGAGUUCGGCGAAGAAGUCGACUAACAGAGUUAUGUCUGUAGGUAUGCUCACAGAUCGUCCUGCAGAGGAAAUGCCCGGUUCUACAGGUGACCUUCUUCCCGAGCUCAUACAACUGCACGAACGAGUUCGGCAGGUGAUGAAGGGCGUCACCCAGGCCUUGUGGCCAUCUGUCUUCCUGCCCGAAGGCCUUGGAGAGCUUGCAGAGAGGCUUAAGGGAGCGCGGCGGCGGGUCCGAUUAUGGAAGAUAUCGGCCUGCCGUCAAGGCGCCAGGGAGGCCUGGGCCAUGGUGAAGACGCGGUACACGAAGGCUGACCCAAACCACAUGGCCGAGGUCGGACCUGUGGGGCCCGAUGGGAAGGAGAUCCCUGUGAGCUUAGUGUACGGCCAAGUAGAAUUGGCCGCAAAGUAUUCCCAAUAGGACUGUAAGCUAGACAACCUAUUAGAUGGUAUUAAGGAGGAAUACACCCAGUCAAUUUGACUAUGUAAUUUAAGAUGACAUGUAAAAAUGCCUUCUAGCCGGAUUGUAGAUCGUUUGUCAUGGCGGACCUUUUCGCUUCAACCUCGGGACCCUAUAGUCCGAGGUGUGUCCGAAUACCAUCAUGGUUAUGUAAGAACCGGGGUAUGCGUGGGGACCAGGCAUAGGGGUCAUUAGUGCUUUAACAGACAAGUGCCCAACUAGUUAUGUUAUAUUACAUGGUUAGUAAGAAACAUCUUCCAGGGAGAAUAGUUCCGUUAGGGGUUCCUUUCCCUGGGAGGCAUGCCUUAAAGUGCAUGUCCGUACUGCGGAAAAAAGCAGAAAAGCAUCUGGGGGCGGAUAAAUAAAUAAGUGAGAAAUCAUCUUUAGUUCUCCGACCGAAUAUUCCCUUAAGAACGCUAGCUUUCGGCUUCACCCAGUCUGAGGUACACAUCCGGCUGACCCGGCGGUAACAAUCGCAGAGGUGCUCCCUUUACCACCUAGCCGAACAAUCGGGAACGUAGGGGUAAGCACAGGAGCCAGGCAACCCAGCUUGACCAAAACUUAAGUCAUAUCGAUGCAUAUAAUGGUGAAUAAAAGGUACAUGCGGAAGCAUUACGCAUGUGUUAGGCAUAAAGCCCGUAAAAUAAGCUUCUGUUGAAGAAGCCCCCAGGUAUAAUGAGUGCGGAUAGCGUGUCAAGUGUGUGCGAACAAUGCGCAAACGAGCCUUUAAAGGCUGUAAGAGAAAAAGAGGGAGAAGGAGAGAAAUAUAAGAUAGCUAAUGUGUAAAAAAUAGACAGAGGAAGGAGACGAACUCAGAAUCCGGCGCUAGGCGUAGAAUCUUCGGAGACGGGCUGCGUUCCAUGGGUUCGGCUCGAGUCGGUUAUCUGAUGCAUCUCGCAGACGGUACGCUCCACCGGUCAGGACUUGGUCGAUAAUAAAGGGACCUUCCCAUUUGGGCUUGAGUUUGUCCUUUUUCUUGUCCGGCAGGCGUAGAACUAAUUCGCCAACAUUGUAAGUUUUGGCCCGUACUUCUCUGCUUUGAUAUCUUCGAGCCUGCUGUUGAUAGAAUGUGGAACGGGCUUUGGCCACGUCACGCUCCUCCUCCAAGGCGUCCAAACUGUCCUGCUGAUCGAGCUCGACUUCUCUUUCUUCAUACAUGCGCACACGAGGUGAGUCAUGAAUUAUGUCGCAGGGCAGAACUGCCUCUGCGCCGUAUACCAUAAAGAAUGGUGUGAAUCCGGUGGUGCGAUUCGGCGUGGUCCGCAGCCCCCAGAGUACGGAGUCAAGCUCCUCUACCCAGUGCGUGUUAGAUUCCUUGAGGGACUGCACUAAUCUGGGUUUGAUGCCGGUCAUGAUUAGACCAUUUGCUCGUUCGACUUGACCGUUAGUUUGAGGGUGAUAGACUGAAGCAUAGUCGAGCUUGAUGCCCAUGUUUUUGCACCAGAGUUUGACCUCGUCGGCCAUGAAGUUCGUGCCAUUAUCAGUGAUGAUGCUGUGGGGGACGCCGUAACGGUGUACGACCCCUGAUAUGAAGUUUAUCACCGGUCCGGAUUCAGCCGUCUUAACAGGCUUGGCCUCUAUCCAUUUGGUGAAUUUAUCCACCAUGACCAGUAGGUAUUUUUGCUUGUGGGUUCCUCCUUUAAGGGGUCCAACCAUGUCAAGCCCCCAGACCGCGAAGGGCCAGGUGAUGGGUAUAGUUUGGAGGGCGGUGGGUGGCAUGUGGCUUUGCUUAGCAAAGAGUUGGCAACCGACGCAUCGUUGGACUAAGUCCUGAGCAUCUUCCCGGGCCGUCGGCCAAUAGAAUCCUGUAUGGAAGGCCUUGCUUACAAGGGCCCGGGCUGCGGCGUGGUGCCCGCCGAGUCUGGCAUGAAUUUCAGCCAGAAGAUUCCGCCCUUCCUCUUCGGAGAUACACCUUUGAAGGACUCCGGUGGUGCUUUUCUUAUAAAGCUCUCCCUCAUGGACUUUAUAGGCUUUAGAUCGCCGCACUAUGCAGCGUGCCUCAUUUUGGUCCUCAGGAAGUUCCUGCCUAGUUAGGUAGGCUAGGAAUGGUUCCGUCCACGGGGCAAUGACUGCCAUUAUUACGUGGGCUGAAGAUGUUACUUCGUUGGCAGAGCCUCCAAUUGUGUCAGAAUGUUCGGUGUCGAGCAGUGUUGUUGGGUCCGGGAUGUUAUUUCCGGACUCCCCUUCCCAUGAUACGGAUAGCNNNNNNNNNNNNNNNNNNNNNNNNNNNNNNNNNNNNNNNNNNNNNNNNNNNNNNNNNNNNNNNNNNNNNNNNNNNNNNNNNNNNNNNNNNNNNNNNNNNNNNNNNNNNNNNNNNNNNNNNNNNNNNNNNNNNNNNNNNNNNNNNNNNNNNNNNNNNNNNNNNNNNNNNNNNNNNNNNNNNNNNNNNNNNNNNNNNNNNNNNNNNNNNNNNNNNNNNNNNNNNNNNNNNNNNNNNNNNNNNNNNNNGGCAUCACGCUUUGCGCCAAUGCGUGCCAGGACGUCUGCUACCUGAUUGUUUUCCCGGGCUAUAUGGUGAAAUUCGAGCCCCUCGAACCGAGCUGACAUUUUUAGGACGGCGUUGCGAUAAGCUGCCAUUUUCGGAUCCUUGGCAUCAAAGUCUCCAUUUAUUUGGGAUAUCGCGAGGUUCGAGUCCCCGCGCACCUCUAGGCAUUGAAUGCCCAUGGAUACUGCCAUCCGGAGACCAUGUAGAAGGGCCUCAUAUUCGGCUGCGUUGUUGGAGUCCGUAUACAUUAUCUGGAGUACGUAUUGAACUGUAUCUCCUGUUAGGGACGUCAGAACGACGCCAGCCCCCAGACCAGCCAACAUUUUGGAGCCGUCGAAGUGCAUGAUCCAGUUGGAAUAUGUCCCGUACUCUUUAGGGAGUUCGGCUUCAAUCCAUUCGGCGACGAAGUCAGCCAAAACUUGCAACUUAAUUGCUCGCCGUGGCUUAUAGGUUAUGUCGAACGGGAAGAGCUCAAUGGCCCAUUUGGCAAUCUGGCCCAUCACGUCGCGGUUGUUUAUAAUGUCAUUAAGAGGUACUUCGGAAGCUACUGUUAUCGAACACUCUUGAAAGUAGUGUCGAAGCUUCCGGGAUGCCAUAAACACCGCGUACGCUAUCUUUUGAUAAUGCGGAUACCGUGACUUGCAUGGAGUGAGGACAGUGGACACAUAGUAGACUGGUUUUUGAAGGGGAAACUUGUGUCCAUCUGUUUCUGGUUCGACAACGAGCACCGCGCUUACAACUUGAUGAGUUGCGGCGAUGUAUAAUAGCAUUGGUUCGCCCAUGUUGGGCGCGGCCAGGACCGGGUUUGUUGCCAAUAUGGCUUUUAUUUCUUCGAGUCCGGCCGUGGCGGCAUCCGUCCACUCAAAGUGUUCGGUGCGCCGGAGGAGGCGAUAGAGGGGUAAUGCCUUUUCUCCUAGACGGGAGAUGAAGCGGCUUAGAGCCGCCACACAUCCGGUCAAUUUUUGUAUUUGUUUGAGGUUCUUUGGGAUAUCCAAUUGUGACAGAGCUCGGAUCUUGGCUGGGUUUGCUUCAAUUCCUCUACCGGAUACAAUGAAGCCCAAGAGCUUUCCGGCUGGUACGCCGAAAACGCAUUUUUCCGGGUUAAGCUUGAUGUCAUAUGUUCGGAGAUUAUCGAAUGUGAGCCUCAAGUCGUCUACUAGAGUUUCGACAUGCUUGGUUUUGACGACCACAUCAUCUACGUAUGCCUCCACUGUUUUGCCGAUCUGGUUUGCCAGACAUGUCUGAAUCAUGUGCUGAUAUGUUGCGCCGGCGUUUUUGAGCCCGAAGGGCAUUGUGUUGAAGCAGAAUGGACCGUAUGGGGUGAUAAAUGCCGUUGCGGCUUGAUCAGGUUCUGCCAUCUUAAUUUGAUGGUAGCCAGAGUAUGCGUCAAGGAAACACAAUGAACCGUGUCCUGCGGCAGCGUCGAUAAUUUGAUCGAUGCGGGGGAGGGGGAAGGGAUCCUUUGGGCAAGCCUUGUUGAGGUCCUUGAAAUCGACACAUAGGCGCCAUGAUUUGUCCUUCUUUGGUACCAUCACCAGGUUUGCUAGCCAGUCCGGAUGUUUUAUAUCUCUGAUGAAUCCGGCCUCCAAUAGUUUGGCUAGCUCCUCUCCCAUGACUUGUCUCUUAGGUUCAGAGAGACGCCAAAGAGCCUGUUUGACUGGCUUGAAUCCUUUUAGGAUGUUUAGGCUGUGCUCGGCCAGCCGGCGUGGGAUUCUUGGCAUGUCUGAAGGGUGCCAUGCAAAAAUGUCCCAAUUUUCACGUAGGAAUUCUCGUAGUGCGGCGUCUACAUCAGGGUUUAAUUGUACCCCAAUGGAAGCCGUUUUUGUAGGGUCCGUUGGGUGGACUUGGAAUUUGACUAUUUCGUCUGCUGGUUUAAAGGAGGUGGACUUGGAUCUUUUAUCGAGUAUCACAUCGUCCCUGUUCACCGUGGAGCGUAGCGCAGUCAGUUCCUCGGCCGCUAGGGCUUUGGAUAGUGCCUCAAGGGCUGGUGCGGCUGUCUUAUUUUCGGCGCGGAGUGCUAUGUCCGGGUCAUUAGCAAGAGUGAUGAUUCCGUUGGGCUUGGGCAUUUUGAGCUUCAUGUACCUGUAAUGGGGUAUAGCUUGAAAAAUUGUGAAUGCCUCUCGCCCUAAUAGAGCGUGGUAUCCGCUGCUGAACGGGGCCACUUAGAACAUGACCUCCUCGGACCUGUAAUUAUCCGGCGUGCCGAACACAACAUCCAGUGUGGUUUUACCUGUGCAGCUCGCUUCCCGACUGGGGAUUAUUCCUCUAAAGGUUGUGCUGCUUCGCUCAAUGCGGCUCCAGUCUAUUUUCAUUUUUCAAAGGGUUUCCUCAUAAAUGAGGUUCAAUCCGCUGCCACCGUCCAUGAGUACCUUGGUAAGGCGAACGCCGUCCACUAUUGGACUGAGGACCAAUGCUGCUGGUGCUCGGGCUGUUCGGAAUUUAGGUUCAUCACUGGCAUUAAAGGUAAUAGCCGUGUCACUCCAUGGAUUUAUUGUUGCUACUUGGUAGACUUCGGCGAGGCUGUGGAGUGUUCAUUUUCGCAUAUUGUUUGAUGCGAAAGUCUCGAAGACUAUUAAUACCGUACUGGUAUCCUUGGGCUGGUGCUCCGUGGAUGCUGGGGUUAGAAGCUCCUCACCGCUUUUGGCCACCUGCCGGAGUAUCCAACAUGCUCUAAGGCUAUGAGUUGGUGUAGCGCCCUCUGUGCUAUGAAUUUUACAGGGUCCGUUGAGCCACCCCUCCAGUACGGUUCCAUGCCUCGUGGGGGGUUUUUGUUUUUUGUUGUUUAACCCGGGUGAUUGGCGAUAAUGCACCCUUUUGUUUCGGACUGGGUUUGUAUUCAGGGCCGGAUUGUCCCAAAAUCUUACUUCGGUUUUCCAGGCGCUUUCCAUCGGACAGUACUUUCAUACUAUGGACGCCAAGUCAGCAAAGCGUGUAAUUUCACGGUGACUUAUGGCGUUGAGGAUUCCCAUGUCCGUGCAAUUAUUGUAGAAGAAUGAAAUUGCGUCUUCCUCGCGGCAGUCCUUUAUCCUGUUCAUAACCAGGAGGAAUCUGGCCCAGUAAUGAUGUACUGUUUCUUCAGGCUCUUGCCUAAUAUUGAAUAGAUCGCCUAUGUUUGGGUGGGUGGGUGGAAUUAGAUCUGAAACCCCACCCAAUCUGAGGCUCAAGGGCCAAGGAGUUUUCGAACUCGGAAGCUUGGAUUCUUGGAUGUUAUCCACUGAAUCUAGCCCGUUGCCUGACUCUAAGUUCGGGUCUUGAGUGACGUCCUCCCCUCCGUGGGUAUCCGGCUUGGAGGGAUUGGGAAUCCGGACAUAAAUAGUCCUUAAGAUAGAUGAGGGGUCGCCGCGUUGUUCCUCCACCACAUCAACGUGAUGGGUGACCUGGGGAGAGUUAAUCUCUCUCAGAUCGGGUUUAGGCCUGAUCUGAUCGUAGUCUGUAGCGACUCCCAGGGCGGCGAUGCGAUCCAAGAGCUCGUUUAAAGAAGAGAGCUCCAUCGGAUCUAACUGCUCGGCGAGUUCCAAGUUGACGUGAAGAUUGCUUUUGAUGACCCGAGAAGUCAUCGUCGGCGCGGCGGCCGAACAGGCGGUCAUAAGAAAACCGCCUAGCCGGAGAGUUUGGCCGAUAGCCAAAGCUCCUUUAGCAACAGAGCCGUCUUUAAAGACGGGAUGAGGCAUCCUUCCUGAUGGCGAUAGCACAGCGGAACUCUCAAUGAAAGCACCAAUGUCGGUGUCAAAAUCGGCGGAUCUCGGGUAGGGGGUCCCGAACUGUGCAUCUAGGCGGAUGGUAACAGGAGACAAGGGACACAAUGUUUUCACCCAGGUUCGGGCCCUCUCAAUGGAGGUAAAACCCUACUCCUGCUUGAUUAAUAUUGAUGAUAUGGGUAGUACAAGAGUAGAUCUACCAUGAGAUCAGAGAGGCUAAAACCCUAGAAGCUAGCCUACGGUAUGAUUGUUGUUCGUCCUACGGACUAAAACCCUCCGGUUUAUAUAGACACCAGAGAGGGUUAGGGUUACACAGAGUCGGUUACAAUGGAAGGAUAUCUACAUAUCCGUAUCGCCAAGUUUGCCUUCCACGCCAAGGAAAGUCCCAUCCGGACACGGGACGAAGUCUUCAAUCUUGUAUCUUCAUAGUCCAGGAGUCCGGCCGAAGGUUAUAGUCCGGCUAUCCGGACACCCCCUAAUCCGGGACUCCCUCAGCCACCCGCAAUCCACGUCGUCAGCCCAUGAAUCAAGGUAGGCAUAAUGCCGGUGAGCGUCGAUCCCAGUUGUUGUUGCACUUGCUCUUGGACAAUCUCCGGAAUCCGCGCCACUUGUGCCUUGAGUUCUUGAACCUCGCGCGACUGGCUUUCCGAGCUGGUCUUUUUCUCCUUUCGCCCACCAGCGGUAUAGUAUGACGACCAUUUUGUGGACAAGCCUUUGCCGGCCACACGACCAGCUGACGACGGCUUACUGAGCUUAUCCUUGUUUUUCAUUAUGUUCAACGCCCUAUUUAGAGUGCUGUCCCAAGCAGGGGUGCUCUGAGACGACCCCGCGCUACUGCUUUCAGUCUCCUUCGCCAGAACAAGCUCAAGCGCCCUGGUCUUCGGAUCCGUGGUAAGCUCCUUUGUUAUCGGGUCCUCCUUGUACCGGGCCCUGACAUAGUUCCUGGUCUGCUUGUCACUGCUGUAUUUCUCGAAGCGGGGCGGUAGGCGUUGCUCAUACGCUCCGCGUCCUCCUUGUCCCAUAUAGGCUCCGCCACUCUGUAACCGCCAGGACCGAGUUUGUGUUCCCCUAAGUUCAACUCCCGCAUUUCUUUCCCCCACUGACUUGAUUCGGAGGUUGCACUGCUCUCGCACUUGAUCUUGAACUCCUUGUAGUCCUGUUCGCUGAUCGAAGGAUUUUUCUCCUUGAUCUUCUCAUAACUAUCACCUUUCUCAAUCAUUCUCUUCACCGCGCUUCUCCAAGUAGACAGGGCCGUGCUCAUCCUCAUGAGGGCGGCACUAUUCACUUUAUUCCCUGAGAGGCAUGUGUUUUCAAAUUCAGCGGGGAACUUGUAUCGUUCGUGCAGCUUCGUGACGAGGAGGUUGCGCAAAUUCCCUCGGUCCUUAUGCCUAAGGUUCUCGGUGUUGAUCGAGACGGUGCUCCAGAGAAUGCACCCGAGCUGAACCGAGUACCCCUUGACUAUAUGUUUGGGCUCCGUUGGAUGCCCGUCGGAGUCCACUUGAGUAAAUUCCUCCUUGACGGUGCAGAGCGCGUUCGGGCGCCGGUCCUUCCGUUGCUUCUUCGGUUGGCUGCCAUCUGUGCGUGCGCCGCCAUCAUCGGUGGUUGCAUCCUCGAUGGCACCAUCAGUGGUGGCAUCCUCGGCGACACCAUCAGUGGUCAUCCCCGACGCCACUAGGGGUUGUGUAGUCAGGAUCAGUGUCUUCUGCGGCGUCCUCAUAGCGGUGAGGUUGUUCCUCCAUCUCCUGGGACAACUCCCAGAAUUGCUUGCCGCCCGAACCGCCGGCCUCAUCUUUGUGGGCCAUGUUUCGCUCUAAAUAGGAAAAAAGUUUGGUCAAAAAGUUGGUUAUUGUCAAGGAACAAGAUCAUGGUCUCAUCAUUUAGGGUUUGUCGACACCGAGGCAUCCUAAAAGCUAAUCUUUUAUCAUUUAGGGUUUGUCGACGCUGAGGCACCCUAAAAGCCUAAGCGUACAUCAUUUAGGUUCUCAUCGACACCGAGACACCCUAUAGAAGCCAAGGUUUCAUCAUUUAGGGUCUGUCGAUGCCGAGGCACCCUAAAUGCUAACUUAAGUUUUCAUCAUUUAGGGUUUAUCGAUGCUGAGGCACCCUAGGUUGGGCCUAAUCACUUGGCACUAAUCACUUGGCUUUAUUGCCACCUAUGUUGGGUUUAUCAUCUAGUGUUUAUCGAUGCUAAGGAGAAUUCUAAGUUGGGCCUAAUCACUUGGCUCUAUUGCCACCUAUGGUUUAAUGAAGCAAGAAUGGCGGGGCAGUUGAUCCUACUUAACUAAGUACUAAGAUACCCCGGCCCAUGCAUUAGUCGCAAGUACCCCAUAUGUCCUAUUUUUAGCAAAGUCAUGCUAAAAUUCACGGAAAAUUUCAGCAUGACCUUUGCUGAAAAUAGGACAUAUGGAGUACCCGAAUUUGCCAGAAUGGAAGUUAAUCGACAUUCCGGCAAACUCAAGGGCCUCUCGGGGUACCUGCAAAUUCAUCACGACACAAUGGUCGGAGACAAAACCCAGCAAACUAGCAAAGUUACUGACGUGUUUACAGAAAUUGUUUUCUGUAAAAGAUGAUCAUCAUCUUUGCAAGUCUUUCUCAAUGUGAUCACAAGUAAUUCAGAGGCAUCACAAUAAAGCAACACCCUGCACUAGCCUAAAAACAAGUGAAGUUUCACCCAUAUAAGAACAACUUUACAAAAUCAGAGAAGUUGCUAAUUUUUUUGUAUCCUUCAUACACAUUGGAGUACAAUGCUUUAUAAUGUUCCAUCAUCAUUACAGAAAUCCAAGAAACACAUGGUCUUGAGGAUAUUCUUUAUGACUGAUUAUUUCAGUUUUACAUGCAGAUUUUGACCAAAAAACACAUGGUCUUUUUAACAGUUUUCAGUUUGGACAGAAUACUGAAAACUACAGUUUGGACAGAAUUCCUAACACUUUGGUCUUCUAGUUACAAAACAAAACUGACAUAAUUCUAGAUGCCAUAACUGAAUUUUUUUACAGUAGCUCAAGUUUUUGACAGUAGCUCCUAACUGUACCUAACUGAAUUUUUUGACAGUAGCUCAAGUUUUUGACAGUAGCUCAAGUUUUUGACAGUAGCUCCUAACUGAAUUUUCUGCUUAAAGGGAAGGCUGACUUAAGUGGCAAGAUGAUACAAUUUGCGUAACAUAACAAUAUAUGCAUCUUAAUAUAACACCAUCUCCUAACAGAAAUAGUAUCCCAGGUUUCCAUCUUAAUACCACAAAGAAUACCAUAAAAAAAUCCAGUAGACAUGUAAUUGCAGUGUAUAGAUGGGGAGUUUCUUACUCUACCAGAUCUACUAGGGGGCAAAGUAGAACUGAUAUUCUUUUGCUGACUUCUAGUACAAGGUAUAGAAGAGGAGGUAAAUACAGUAGACAUGUAAUUGCAGUGUAUUAACAGUAUAAUUUCAAUAGAUUCAUAGUGCAAAUUUAUAGUAGAAUUACAAAUACAGUGUGAGCCAGAACCAUACUCCAAAUGUAGUGAACAAUGGGCUACUGUUAAUACACUGUUGUGUGGAAUAAAAUUAUUUGAUUGAUAUUAACUGAUAGUGCUGAAUAAGCAUCACUAACUACUGCUCUGAACAAGAACAAGAUGUGGCAAUGAAACCAAUUGGGUUGAUCUUAUUCUUCCAUACCACGUUAAAGAACAAUAUACUACUCUGUUUUGCACCAACCUACUGUCAGUACACCAUGAAUCUGUACAAUUUGCAUUAGGAGAACCAUCUAUUAAUUACCAAAUCACAGCAGAAAAUCAGUAACCAUAGUAUAGAAAGAAUGUCUAACUGUAUUUCUAAAAUCACAGUUUGCCGAAAUCAGCACAAAUUCAAUGACCACCAAAGAGCCAACAAAGCAUCGGCAACCAUGUUAAUGCUCAGUGACAGCAGGAAAUUAAACAUGGCCAUUCAACAAUGUACUACUCUGUUCUGCACCUAAUGCAGAAGCAUCCUACUAUCGGUGGGUCACCAGCCUUACAUUAUUACUACUACAGCCGUAUGCUUAAAGGAAACUUGCACUGAUCCUAACAAUCUGGCCAGGACACGCUAUAUCACACACACUACCUAGAAAACAACGGCUAACACUUCAUCUGUCAAUUCAAACAUCACAGGGCAUACAAAUGUUUAGCAAUCCAUGCCAUUUACACCUGCACAAAUUUGGUUGCCAGAUGACUAGGUACCAGGUACAGCAGAUUUUUGAAUGCUGAUACCCUGCUCCUACUCAAAAUUGAGAAAUGUGGCAUAAUAGAGAAACAUGACAUUGCCUUUCCAAAUCCUCAUGCUAUACUAGAACAAGAUAUUUCAUAAUGUGACAGCCCUCUCUGCACCCAUGUAUUAUCAAAAAACGAGCACUACAGAGAACCAUCGAUCGACCAAGAAGACAGGGAGCAGGCUAUCUAAGAGGAGGUGAACUUGGUGACGGCCUUGGUGCCCUCGGAGACGGCGUGCUUGGCGAGCUCGCCGGGGAGGACGAGGCGGCAGCCAUGGCCGGGCGGAUGCAAGAAGCCUAGACGACAAGGGGAAAGGAGGGGAGGCGAGGAUUUACCACCAGGGAGAACUUGCCGGAGGAGGUACGCAGGCGUGAAGCGGCGGCGUCUUGUGGAGGAGUCGGGCGGCGGCGGCGUCGCGUCGAGGAGGAGGCGGCGCGUCAAGGAGGAGGCGGCGCGUCGAGCUUGCCACCCACCUUGGAGCCGAAACCCUAGGGGGCGCGAGGGCGAGGACGGUGAAGGGGGCGCGGGGGCGGCGGCGUCGCCGACGGCGUGCAGGCGCGGCGGAUGGAGGGGGCGGAGCAAGGCGGGGCGGCGGCGUACGGUUAGGGCGGAGGGGGCAAAGUUAGGUCGAGUGGGGAUCUGGCGAGGGAGGGGAAUAGGUGGAGUGGGGGGGAAGCUUACUCAUGGCGCACCCCGUAGCAGUGCGCCAUUAGAAUGUUUUUUAGAUAGCAAUGGCGCACCCCGCAGCGGUGCGCCAUUAGAAUGUUUUUUUAUUAUAGUUCGAGCACUCAGGUUAUAUUCCAUCUAACCGUAUCUAAAUUAGAACACACACACUAGCCCAACUGGUCAGCACGCAACACACACAACAGGAGGUCCUGGGUUCGAUUCCCAGGCUCCCCAAUUUUUGUUUUUAUGCAUUUUUUCUUUGCACAUAUCUUUUUAUCCAUGCAUCCAAAUAUAACAUGUCACAUAUGCUAGAUGAUCAGAAUUUCAUGUAGAAAAAUAAUAUGCAGUUUGUUUCCAUGUUAACAACAUUUAAAAUGUCGUUUGAUAUUUAUUUGUGUUUAAAUAUGUUCAAACUUGUUUAAAUCAUAACAGUAAUAUUUUUUUAUAAAAACUGUAAUCAUUUUUUAAAAAAUAUCAUCAAAUUUGUUAUUUGAAAAUAUUUAUGAAUAUGAAAAAAUAUCAUCAAAUUUAUUAUUUGAAAAUAACAUCAAAUUUGUAUUUUUUUGCAAUUUUAGUUGCAUUCAUUUGUGACGGUGGAGCGGGCCGGGGAGGGUGCGAGAGGGUGCGGGGGAGAGGGUGCGGGGGGUGNNNNNNNNNNNNNNNNNNNNNNNNNNNNNNNNNNNNNNNNNNNNNNNNNNNNNNNNNNNNNNNNNNNNNNNNNNNNNNNNNNNNNNNNNNNNNNNNNNNNNNNNNNNNNNNNNNNNNNNNNNNNNNNNNNNNNNNNNNNNNNNNNNNNNNNNNNNNNNNNNNNNNNNNNNNNNNNNNNNNNNNNNNNNNNNNNNNNNNNNNNNNNNNNNNNNNNNNNNNNNNNNNNNNNNNNNNNNNNNNNNNNNNNNNNNNNNNNNNNNNNNNNNNNNNNNNNNNNNNNNNNNNNNNNNNNNNNNNNNNNNNNNNNNNNNNNNNNNNNNNUCAAAAAGUGCCCAUGAAAUACAAUCGAGAAAUGAAGACUACGAUUUAAAUACAAUCGAUCUUAGCUAGCUAUCUGUUCACAAUCUUCUUGCCCUUCUUUUUCGCAAAUGGAGUUCUUCUGUGGAACGGACGUCCUUUAGGUAGGGUGGUCCUGCUUCUUCUUGUGGUGUAUGCUGCUACUUCAUCGUCGUCGUCAUGUUCGAUCUUCGGGUCGCCGUACUUGUCGAAGUCUUGCUCAUUGGCUACUCCAUCCAUUUCGAUGAUCUUCCUUUUGCCUCUCCUCACGACAACACGAUUGUGCUUUGACGGGUCGGUAAUGAAGAAGCAUUGGUCCACUUGGGAAGACAGUACCCAUGGCUCAUUUUUCGCGGUGACGUUUGCGCCCGCAGUCUUGGAUUUGGCUUCGGGUAUAACCAUGGUGGUGAAAUACCGGUCUUCUUUUAUGACGCUUUUGGCCCAUCUGACAUGGAACAUUGGGACCUUCUCUCCAGCGUAGCUCAGCUCCCAGAUCUCCUCGAUCCUUCCAUAGUAUCUGUCCUUGUCGUUACCGGUGUAGGAUUCCAUCGUUACCCUGGAGUUCUGAUAACCAUCGCUCUUCAUGUCCUUGUCCUCGGUGUAGAAUGUGUAGCCGUUGAUAUCGUAUGCCUCAUAGGUCAUCAGGUUGUGCUCGGCGCCCUGUGACAAGGAGAAUAUGAGUUGUUCUUCCGCGGAAGAAUCCUCAUGUAAAGGGUACGACAGAAGCUUCUGCUUGAACCAACGCGUGAAACAUGAGUUGUGCUCUUUGAUUAUAUCUCAGUCCGUCCUCUGUUGGCCUCGGUCAUUGUACGUCUUCUCAAUAAAGGUUUUGUGCUCUACCACCCAAGGAUCGACCACGUCUAUGUGUUGUAGCGCGACUAGGUUUGCUCUUUCAAAGUCAACGAGUCGACCCUCGAAGUCGACAUGCAUUUAGCGGCGACCCUCACGGUGACCCCAUCCAGCGAGCCUGCCGAGGUGCCUGUUGACGGGCAGACCAAUGGGGUCCUCGAUGCCUAGAUAAUUCGUGCAGUAGGAGAUGCACUCUUCGGUCAGAAAGCCCCUGGCUAUGCUUCCCUCUGGACGUGACAUGUUGCGAACGUAUCCUUUGAUGACACCAUUCAUCCUUUCGAAUGGCAUCAUGUUGUGCAGGAACGUCGGCCCGAGUUGGAUGAUAUCCUCCACGAUAUGGACCAGUAGAUGCACCAUAACGUCGAAGAAUGUGGGUGGGAAGUACAUCUCAAGCUCGCAUAGUAUCACCACGAUCUCUUCCCGUAGCCUUCUGAGUUGCCUCACGCCAACCGACUUCCGAGAGAUGACGUCGAAAAAGUUGCAUAGGCCAAAUAGUGUUUCAUGGACGUGCGCGUCCAUGAUCCCACGGAUUGCAACUGGAAGUAUCUGCGUCAUCAGCACGUGACAGUCGUGAGACUUCAUCCCGCUGAACUUCUGCUUCGCUGGGUCUAGGUAUCUGCUUAUCUUCCCCGCGUAAUCGUAAGGAAGUUUUACUCCUACGAGGCAGGUGAAGAACUGCUCGAUCUCCUCCUGACUUAGAGUGAAGCAUGCGGGAGGGUAGUCAUUUCCGGUCUUCUUGGCCUUUUUGCCUUUGCGACGACUUUUCGUGUCCUGCUUCGCCUCAUCAUCAUCAUCAUCAUUAGCGUGAAGCUCCUCCCUGAUGCCCAUUGAUUUCAAGUCUGCCCUUCCUUUCGGCCCAUCUUUGGUCCUCUCUGGCAUGUUGAGCAGGGUACCAAGUAGACUCUCGCACACGUUCUUCGUGAUAUGCAUGACAUCAAGGCUGUGAGGCACACGGUGGAUCUUCCAGUACGGCAAGUCCCAGAAAAUAGACCUCGUUUUCCAUACCUUCAGCAGCGGCUCUGGCGCCUUUCGCUUCUUUCUCGGCUCUGGCACCUUUUGCUUCUUUCCCGGCAGUGGGCAAUCUUUCCAAUUUUUCAACAGCUGGUCUAUUUCCUCGCCGCUCCUCGUACGCGGGCGUCUUCGGGGUUCGGUUUCACCAUCGAACAGAUCCUUGCGUGUCCUCCAUGGGUCAUCGUCACGAAGCCACCUUCGAUGUCCCAUGAACACGGUUUUCGAAGACCCGGGAUCUCUACCUAGCUGGCGAUACGUUGUGUCAUCCAUGCACCUGACGCAUCCAGAAAAUCCGUGGACCACCUGCCCCGCGAGAUAUCCGUAACCGAGAUAGUCGUGCACCGUCGUGAGCAGUGCGGCUCUCAUAGGGAAAUAUUCUUUCUCUGCGGUGUCCCACGUAUUGGCUGGCGUUUUCCACAGCGUGUCUAGCUCCUCUUUCAGCAGCCCCAGAUACAGAUUGAUGUCGUUCCCUGGUUGUUUCGGCCCUUCAAUUAGCAUACUCAUGUGAAUGUACUUCCCCUUCAUGCACAACCAGGGGGGAAGGUUGUACAUCCACACAAACACAGGCCAGGUGCUAUGUGUGCUUCUCUGGCUGCCAAACGGAUUGACUCCAUCGGUGCUCACGCCCAGCACGAUGUUCCUUGGAUCCUUCCCAAAUUCUGGGAGUUCGAAGUUCAACGCUUGCCACUGGCUCGCAUCCUUUGGGUGACUCAGCAUCUUGUCUUUUUUAUUUAUCUCCGGAUCAUUUGCGUCAUCUUCUCGCUUCUUCUCCUCCCUAUCCGCGUGCCAAUGCAGGAGCUUUGCUACCUUAGGGUCCGUGAAAUACCGCUGCAGACGAGGAGUGAUCGGAAAGUACCACACCACUUUUCGAGGAGCUUUCUUCCUCUUCUUGUAUCGAGUGACGCCGCACACCGGACAUAUGGUAGACUCCGCGUGCUCGUCUCGAUAAAUGAUGCAAUUGUUCAUGCACACAUGGUAUUUCACGUGUGGUAAAUCCAAAGGACACACAAUUUUCUUCGCCUCCUCGAAACUGGUCGGGCACUUGUUCCCCUUGGGAAUACGUUCGUGCCAGAAUGACAUGUUCUCGUCGAAGCAUGCGUCGGUCAUUUUGUGUUUUACCUUCAUCUCCAGAGCCAUGAGCGUUACUUUCAGGCGGGUAUCCUCGGGCCUGCAUCCUUCAUACAAUGGAGUAACCGCGUCUAUCUCCAGUUGAUCCAGCUUGGCUUUCUCUCGGGCGGCAGCUCUUGCGUUAUCCGUCUGCUUGAGAAGCAGCUCUUGAAUAUGAGGGUCCUGCACCCAGCCCAUCGAUGGUCCAUUGUCGCCUGCUCCGCCGGCAUCUUCAUCUUCAAGAUCAUGCCCUUCGUCUGCUCCGGCAUCUUCCUCAUCAUCAUGUCCUGCAUCCUCUACAUGAUGACUGUGUAUAGCAUCACCGUCGUGAUCAUGUCCUGGAGAUUCUUCGUCUUCUCGCCCGCCCGAGCCGCGGUGGUUGUCUUGCUGCCCUUCCUCAUUUCUUGCCCGGCCCCACGGACGACUUCAUAGUCAUCUUCAUCACCUUGCCACCGAUAGCCAUCCAUGAAACCACGCAAGAGCAGGUGGUCCCGCACCUGCCCGGAAUCCGGGUCCGCAAUAAGGCUCUUCAGCUUGCAUCUUCGACACGGACAUCUUAUCUCCAUCUCGUUCUUUUCAAGCAUCUCGGCCUUCGCGGAGCUCAAAAACCUAUUCACGAUGCCUUCGGUCAUCGUGCGGACCAUGGUCGCCUGCGGGGUAGAGCAAAACGAUAUUUUAAAACCAAGAAAAAAUUUGGCAUGACUUUCCCUAAAAAUAGGACCAAAAAGAAGGCAUAGUGCCAAAAUUCUCGCCAAAACGGAAAUGAAUCAACAUUCCGGCAAAAUAUUGGCAACUAUCGCAUUUCAAAUACCGGUACCUGCAAACACAAACAUAUAUGCAACACCACAAACAUAUGCAACACCACGAACAUACAUAGAUCUAGCAAGGCCACAAAAAGUGCAUGUGCACGUUGUUGGAGAGGGAGAACAACAUAAAGAUAGCUUCCCCCCUUGCUUACCUAUCAAAAAAGGUAAUUUAACCACUUAAUUUGGAUGAAUCUAUGGUGCAAAUGAGGUGAGGAGGAGGAGGCAGCCGAGACAAGCUUGGAGGAGGAGGUGGAGAAUGAAGUGGGGAAAGUGAGUGGGUAGGUGGGCUGUCCAAAAUAUCUUGUUGGUCCUAGAUUACUAAUGGCGUACCACCUGCAAAUGCUCCAUUAGUAACCCUGGUUACUAAUUGCGCACCUGCUGCUGAUGCGCCAUUAGAAGUUUUGCAAAAAAAUAAAAAAUAUAUAUAUAUAUUCUAAUGGCGCACCAUGGCAUGGUGCGCCAUUACUAGUUUAAACUAGUAAUGGCGCACUGUGCUACGGUGCGCCAUUAGUAGUUUUGCAAAAAAAGAAUAAAAAACAACAGUAGUGGCGCACUGUGUGGCCGGUGCGCCAUUACUAGUUAGCACUAGUAAUGGCGCACUGUGCCAUGAUGCGCCAUUAGUAUGUUUGGAAAAAUAAAAUAAAAUAAUUGUUACUAGUGGCGCACCAUGUGCCUUCCACACUAAUGGCGCACCAGCACAUGGUGCGCCACUGCUAUAUAGUAGUGGUGUACCACAUGACAGGUGCGCCAUUAGUGUCCAUUCCAUCUAUAGCCCUUUUCCUAGUAGUGGCGAUGAAGACGAGGAUGAUGAGAGCUACAACAACAACAAUGAGGAGGAGGAGGAGGAGGAGGAUGAGGAUAGUGAUAACCAUGAGGAUAAUGAGACUAGCGACGAGGAUGAUGAAAGUUGGGAGGAGGUGAGCCACAACGAUUACUAUUGAUGCAUAGGCAUCGACGGCACUGUAUCAAUAUCCAUGGUGAAUCCGCUAGAUGUUAGAUCUUUGGAAAUUUGGUUGUUACGGUGCUUUACGGUGUUGAGUUGCACAAUGUGUUCCUCUUAAAAUGGAGUUGCACAAUGUGUUCCUCUUAAAAUGGAGUUGCACAGUGUGUUAGACUGACUGAUUAUACCGUCACUUGCUGUUCUGGCUCAUGCUCAACUUUUGUCAUGGAAAUGUUGUAACCCUCGAGUGAGUGAAGUAUCUAUGUUCAUUUGAUCUUGACACACCUAUGUUUCUUUUGGGGAAUAUGGAACUGUGAUGCUUUUGGUAUUAAUAUGUUAUUCAAAAUUUUGUGAAUAUUGUUGUACUGUUAUUAUAUUUUUAACAAGUAGAUUUAAAUGGCAUCGCUGUUCAUCUACCUAAUCUGUUUUCUAUGCUAAUCAUCAAGGGUGCAACAUUUACUACUGUAAGUUUUGCAUCAGCCUUGAGUAGUCGUCAAGGGUGCAACAUUUAAUACUGUAUGGUUUGCAUCCGUCAUCAGUAGUCGUCGAGAGUGCAACAUUUACUACUGUAUAUGAGACACACUUAAACAACCAUUAGCAGGUAGAGAAGGAAGAUGGAUGAGUACCUGGGUGACGGCACGGAGGUAGAGGGGGGCGUGGCCUUCUUGCCGCCGAUGGCCGGAUCUACCCCUGGUGGCGCUUCUCCAUGGACUCACCACCUCCCUCUCCCUCCUCUCUUCAUCUCUCCCUCCUCUCCCCUUCUCUGGCUGAGGACGACGCCGCGGACGGGCCACCGCCGAUAUGUCCGCGACUUCCGCUCAAGUGAGAGGGGACGAGAAGGAGAGAGGGCCGUCGCGCACUGACCUUCGAUUUCUAGACGCCACCUCGGACGACCUUGAGCAUGGUUGGCUGCUCCCCCUUCCUGCCUCUUAACGCGACCACUCCUCUUCUCGCCUGAGACAACAGCCACGCCGGCGACCUAGGUCUGGCAGAUCGACGGAGCCGACGGGGCUCUGACAGGUGUCGCGCGCCGAUGGGCGAGGAGGACGACGCCGCCGCCGUCUGCCCUUCUCCUCCCAUCCUUGCUCCGCUCUGCCCUGCCUGACAUGCUACUCGAUCUGGUGCGAGAGGGUGGAGAGGUCGCCGAUGGUGAAGAGAAGCUAAGGGGAGGAGACAAGGGGUGGGAGAGUCAGCCGCCGUGGAGGACGUGGCUGAUGGCGGUGGCUGCAAGGAGCUCGCCGGUGGUGGCGGCGGCAACAAGGAAAGGGAAAGGGAGAGGAAUCGGGGGAUGGGGACUGGGGGCCAAUGCCUUUCUCUCAUCGCUGGCCAAUCCCUUUCUUUCUCUCUCUCUAUCUCUCUCUCUUUCUUCUAGAAGUAAACCUUUUUGUCGUCUAGCUAAUCUGAUGUGGACGUCGCCAGGAUGUGCCCUUGGGGUGACUGUUAAUGGGUUCAAUGGGUGGCUAGUGCAAAGCAUUUUACCUUUCUUUUUCAAACUUGACCCUGCAAAGUAAUGAGUGCAGUGCUAGCUGUGAAUUGUUGUUGCUUGUCUCGUUCCCAUGACGGCAUCACGCCCUCUGUCAAAAUCGAUUCGGCGAGGCCGUUCGUGGAGAAGAAUCAUCAAGCCAAAUGACGUCCAAAUGCCAUGGGUUUUUACACAGCCCCAGGCCGCCGCCACGCGAAAAAUGCUCUGUCGCUGCUUCCCCCUCCGGCUGUCCAAGUGUGGCAGGGUCUUCUUCUUGGAGAAGCAGCACCGCGUGGUGGUCUUUGUCCGGGGACAGUUGCCGACAAUAGAGCGGUAGUCAGUGGUGCUGUGGCAUAACUGCUACAUGGUGGCGACUCAUAUGGCCAACUGCUACAUGGUGGCGACUCAUAUGGCCAAUUUGUUGAUGAAGGAUUUUGCAAUCUCCUCGCCGGGCGCAAAAUUGGGAGGGCAACUAAAAAUUGGCUCGGAUCCAAUUUUUUGAGGACUUAUCCAAAUGCAUGCCCUGCCCAUUGGGAAAACCAAUAAUUUGGUAAGGUUACUUCCAGCUGCCAUUAGUUUCAUUUCCUUGUUUCUAUUUUAAUAAAUUUAUGAUUAUGUGCAUUUGAGAAAAGCAAAGGCCAAGGGUUUCUUCCCCGGAUACGGCCCUUCGCGUGCCCCAUCAUCCUCCCAACACGGCUACAAGGGACUGUCGAAGUGUGGCAUGCUCUCCUUCUCAGAGGAGCGGCACCAGGAAGAGCCGUCGUCGGGCAGUGGGCAAUAGCGACGGUGUCACGUAACUACGGCAUGGUGGUGAUCCGUAUGGUCCGAUGGUGUGUCAUACGUGAUUUGGGCAUCCCGGGGCCCUUGUGGAUUGUGCGUGCACCCUCCCUUCCGUAACGUGUGCAAAUUCACAGAAGAAGGAUGUUGCAGCCACGUGAAUACCAAUAUUUGGUAGGAUAAGUCUCGUCUGCCAUCCACUUUGUAAGUAGAUUGGUUUGGUGUUGAUGACUUGUUUCUAUUUUAAUAUAUAAAAAUUAUUUUGUUAGAAAAUGGAUUUUUUCAUCUCAUAAAGGUCAGCCAUAAAAAAAUAAUUAUGGCCACGUGUAGUAGAAGUUACUAGUUGUACACAGCAUUUUAUUAUGCAGGGAAUUUUUUUUCCAUAGAUAGCAAUGGAGUACACAAAAUGCAUGCAUUUCUUACAUGAGAUUGAGCUCUACUCUUGACUUGAGAUAGAACCCGUCCGAACAAGCCGCUGUACAUCUCCGCGGACAUUUAGUGAGGUUCGUUUUCAUCGACUUGCCUUAACAGAGUGCAAUUUUUACUUGAGCAAUAAAACAAAAUCUUAUUUGAAAGGACAAUGCAUUUGGACUAUACUGGAAUGUAAGAAUAUGGUUUAUACCGAGGCUCCUCCCUUAUCAAAUAAAAGAGAUUCAAUCAGCUUCCCCUGUCCUGCACAUCCGUCACAUAGCACUACACAGGCCAAAGCUGCAUGCCUCAUGAGAAAAAGUAAUUUGAGGCAGCUACAUUGAUUUUUCUCCCCAACACAAGCUAUCACUAGUGUGCCUCAUCAAGAAAUAGAAAGUAGAGACUAGUACACAUGAAUCUAUAUUCUCCACUUCAAUUUUGCCAGUUUUUACACUGGACCACACUUUUUCUCUUCAAGCACCCGCCUUCCACAGAGGAUCCCGCUUCCCCGUCGGAACCUAUUUCUUCUGACAUCCAAUUCUACAUGGCAUGUGGGGCAUCACCCUAGGGCUAUGCAUUGGUCAUGUCCCGAGGCGAUGGAUCACAUGCCACAGUAGUAGAGGACAACGUCAGUACAGGAGUGCACAGGCAUAAGCAAGAACCCGACAAAGUAAGUAAGUAGUACUCCUUCCCGAACUACCAAACAAAGCAAAACAUACGGUAGUGCUAGUGCACUGGACUAUAGACAUGACCUGCAAAGUAUUUUCUACUCAACUCUCCUUUUGAAACUUGACCCUGCAAAGAAAUCAAUGCAAUUUUGUGAACUGCUCGUGCUUGUCUCAUUGCCAUGACGAAAUCAUGGUAUGUCCGACGAUACAUGCCACUCUACUUGCUGGUGUCGUUCCCGCCCCUAGAGAAAAAUCCCCAAGCCAAAUGAUAUUCAAUGGAUUCACUCUUUAAGUAACUUUAGAUGAUACCAAUAGAAUAUUGAGUAACACACAAGAAUAUGCAUAUAGCCAUUUGAUACUUACAUCAUGGAUUGGUGAGGAUCCAAAAUGAAUCCCAUUCAUAACAAGAUUCAAAGACAGGGGAAAUGACACUAGGCAUCCAAAUAAAAAAACGUGGUUCAAAUACUUUUAAACUGUGGCCCACUCUUACAAUUUGUCUUGAUCCGUAACACUCCCAGUAGUAGAAAAACGACCUAAUGUGAAGCUCGUUAGUCCCGGUUUGUAAUUGAACCGGCACUAAUGUGACCAUUAGUGCCGGUUCCAACGGCUAGGCAGGCGGCGCUCAUUAGUACCGGUUUGUGGCGAACCUUUAAUACCGGUUCGUGCCACGAACUGGUACUAAAGAGGCGGUGGCCUUUAGUACGGGUUGGUGGCUCCAACCAGUACUAAAGCCCCCCCCCCCUUUUAGUACGGGUUCGUGCCACCAACCGGUACUAAAGGGUGCGCUGCCACCCGCAGUUCACAAUGUUUAGUCCCACCUCGCUAGUUGAGAGGAGCUCGCACCGGUUUAUAAGCCCCGCUGCGGCUACCGUGUUGAGCUCCUCUCUAAGAAGGCCUUUGUGGGCCUAUUGCAAGUCUUCUUUCCUGUGGGGCCUACUGGGUCGUAUGGGCCUGCAUCCUAGCCCAACUAAAGGUUGGGUUUCUAGUCGUAUGCAGGUCGUGCCGGCCCAGUAGGAUGGGCUGUUUUGCUUUAUUUAAAAAAAUAAAAAAAACCUUUAGUCCCGGUUGGUGUUACCAACCGAUACUAAAGGUCUCCCCGCCCCCGGCCCUGGCCCGUGCCACAUGAGGACCCUUUAGUGGCGGUUCGUGUUGAACCGGUACUAAAGGAGGGGACCUUUAAUCUCCACCCUUUAGCGCCGGUUACAGAACCAGCACUAAAGGGCCAUACGAACCGGUGAUACAACCUGGUUCUGCACUAGUGUCCAUAUGAAGAAUCAUCCUCAUCAAUAUGGAAGUUUUCUUUUACCUAUACAAGAAUGAGAAGAGAAACUUAGAAUCAAUAAAACAAACAACCAGAGCUAAUUUGGAACAACAUUAACUGAAAAGCAGGUAUAUUUAAGUUUGUGAUUACGUAUUUGAAAAUAAUAAUGUGGCAUGGAUUGAAGUAGUAUAUCACAAAUACUAAGUGAUGCAAUGUUUUACAGUAAAACUAAUUGAAGCGUAUUUCAGGUGUAAAGCACGAUGUAUCCUAAAGCAUCAAGCCGCUCCAUUGAACACUAAAUCCGCAGACAUCAUCUCCAACAGAUAAAGUGGAAAAAUGACUCACCUCCUAUUAUUGAGUCUCACAAACAAAUAAUGAAUGUAUCACCUUUCCCACAUUAGACAUGAUCGCUAUAUCUGGCCAUCAGUGUUAACUGGAUGUGAACUGCUGUCGAGAUAUUUCUCCUACUGCAUGGAUGCAAACUAAUACAUAAUUUAGUUCUGCAACCAAUGGAGCAUCAAAAUAUUGUAUUAAUAUGAAACAAUUAUUUACGAUUCAAAGCAGCGACCUCAGCUUCUUGUGCCGGUUCUUCUUGGAAAAGCAAGAAAACAAAUAUAUCUAUUUAUAUAUGUUGCUACAUUCUGGUAGGAAUAAAUAAGCGAUACAAAAGCACAUAACAAAGAAACAAGGUCUAGCAAUAAUUUACAAUGCCUUCCUUAAAUGGGCAAGAUCCAGCAUGCACGAAACGUGCUCCGACAAAUGAAAAAUAUAGUGUAGAAUGCCUUCCUUAAAUGGGCAAAUGAAAAACGUGCAUGGAUGCAAACUAAUAUAUGUGUGUGUGUGUGUGUGUGUGUGUAACGCUAAACUAAGCUUGAGUGUAGAAUAGCUUAUUCUACACCCCUAGUAACGCUCUAUACAAAAUAUAGUAACAUAACAUGUAAAAUAUAGUAAAUUUUUUGAUCAUGUAAGAAAUCAAAAACUUGGAUAGUACAAAAUAUAUCUCAUAAUUACUACAUUUUACAUAGCGUUNNNNNNNNNNNNNNNNNNNNNNNNNNNNNNNNNNNNNNNNNNNNNNNNNNNNNNNNNNNNNNNNNNNNNNNNNNNNNNNNNNNNNNNNNNNNNNNNNNNNNNNNNNNNNNNNNNNNNNNNNNNNNNNNNNNNNNNNNNNNNNNNNNNNNNNNNNNNNNNNNNNNNNNNNNNNNNNNNNNNNNNNNNNNNNNNNNNNNNNNNNNNNNNNNNNNNNNNNNNNNNNNNNNNNNNNNNNNNNNNNNNNNNNNNNNNNNNNNNNNNNNNNNNNNNNNNNNNNNNNNNNNNNNNNNNNNNAUAUUUUCAUAGACUCUUGAAAUACAUAUCAGUCGACGGCUUCAAAUUUCAACUGAUAUAUAAUGACCUUUUGGGAAGGGCACCUUUACAUAGCCUGUUGGAUGGAGCAAACCGCAAACUUUUAUAUAAUGUUGUCAGAAACAUCACAGCUCCAAAGUCAGAGGAAAGGAAUUGCACAUCACUGAGUAUAAUGUAUCAUAACCUACAACAAAGAUAGUAAGUGAAAGGCUUAAUUGGGGAUUUAAAAAGUUGAUUUGCUGCCAAAAUAAAUCCUACCGAGGUUAAAGAAAAAGAUAAAUCACUAAUACAUAGAACAUGCCAUGCUGUAUGCAUCAUACCAUUACCCAUCAAUAAUAUUGCUGAAAAGGCACGAGAAAAACAGACGCAUAUAUUAGCAAUCAAACGCUUGCGUGAGACAAAUAGAAAAAUUUAGUAUCACACUCUGUAAUAUAAAAAGAUAUAUGUUGCCUGAUGUCCCCAUGAAAGAGCAACUCCACGAAGUCCAUGGGGAGCAUGUGGCGUUGAUAGCCUUGACCGAGAGAGUGGGCGGUGUGGGAAAGUCGUACUUGAUGAUCGAGGUGGACUUCUCGACACUUGUCACCCCUGACAGCGGUAGGCUAUGCACCAUAGCCUGCACUCACAUUAAAUGCCUGGCCGGAACAUGACCUCACACGGCCUCUGUGAAAGCUGUCUGCAUGCGAGGCAUGUGUGCUGAGGAGGCCCCUGUUUGGGACACCUAGCACCGUCCCAAAACGGCAUUGCUGACGUUUUUUGUAUAUCUGGUUUAACCUGGGUAGAUUUACUUGGCAGUAAAACUACACAAAGGGGGCAUACCGUCACGCCAUUGGCUCCUUCUGGAUGUUGUAGUACUAAUUAUGAAGAGGAUUUUAGUGUAGUUUCUUAUUGUACCGAGGGUUCAAAAUUUUAGCAAAAUUUUGCAUAUUUCGGUGGGGUUCGAAAUACUUGUAACCCUGAAAUUUUGAGCCAAAUUCAAACUAAAAUUUAAAUUAUAUUAAAAAUCAUUAAAAAAUAUUGAUUUUUCAAACUCAAAAUCCAAAAUAAUUUCCGAAUUUCCGAAAUUUUGCAUAUUCCGGCGACGUCCAAAAAAUUUCCAUGACCGAAAUUAAAAACCUUACCAACGUGGCUUUUUGGGCAGGUACAUCUGUUGUAGUUACGCUCGGGGUACCCCGGUUUUAAAUACACCGACAUGCUCGUGCACAAAAUCAAGAUGGGCAACUAAAAAAGAAAGUUUUUUCAUGCUCCAUUAGCUAGCGUAGUCUUCUACUAUCAAUAAAACCAAAAAAUAAAUCAAAUGUCAGUGAGUCAGAUCUAAAAGUUGGGAGUUGUCCAAAUGCAUGUCAUGGCCGUCAGUCAACACCAAUGGGUUGCUAGGGUAACUCUCGGCCGCCAUUCCAUUUGUAAACAGAGGUUUACACUUAUAGUGUUGGAUGACUUGUUUUCAUUUUAAUAUCAAAAGAUUAUUUUGUUACAAAAAAGAUUUUUAAUUUUUUUGCUCAGAAAUCUCAUUCAUCUAGAAAAGAAUUAUGGCUAGUGUAGUAGAAGUUACUACCUUUUUUUUGGCAGACUGCAACCCUCAAAAAUGGCUUAACACUUUAUUAUUAGCAGUUUAAGCAAUGUACAGAGAUAAGUUUACCCCUUUGGAAGGAGAUGGAUUUGAUUCAUUCCUUAGGAAGACUUUGAGAGCAGCUUCAUCAAGAAUUGCUGCAUGGUUAUACUCUCUAUGCUGCAUCAACAUUGGCUCUAGGUAUCCUGCUUGGCAGAUUUGUUUAACAGAACGCCUCCUUUCGUCCUCACUAUUCUCCAGUAAACCCGCAUUAAGCAUCGCUUUGGUAGCAUGGAUAACAUUUCUUGACAUGAGACUGAGCUCUACUCCUGACUUGAGAUAUAUAGAUCGCAACAGAUGCAAAUGAAAUGCUUGCAAGUUGGAAUGACAUAACAACGGAAGAAGAUGCAUUUCACAACAUGAUUAACACGAAGCAUAAUAUCCUUCGAUUUGAAUACAGUGCCCAACAAUGACAUUAAAGAUGAACUGCAUCUACUAAUUAACAUCACCCAAAUAGUUUCAGCUGCAACUCCAAAAUAAGCACGAACUACCUUGAAUGCAUCGUUUGUUUCCCAUCAGCAGCAGCGGACCUAAUCACACCAAUACGUCAGACCAAGGGGAGAGCAUAUCGAUGCGGAUGCGCAGGGGAACUUCCAUGGAUGCCCGGUCUCCUGCUCCUGGCAUCAGCUACAUUGGCGGCACCGUCAGGAACGUGGGCUCGCCCUCAGCGACCACGGCGUCGGGCGACGAGCUGCUCCUCAUGUGCAUGUCCACGAGCACCAUGUCCUCCUUGCCGCAGUUCGCCACUGCUGCCAGGGGUGUCUCCAGGUUGACCCACAUCUUGCACGUGAACCGAGGCCGCAUCGCCGCUCCCGCCCUGGCGCACACCAUAGACACGGCGGUCACGCCGGCGCCGAGCACGCCCACUGUCAUGAGGAACACGCAGUUGUCGUCGCCGAGGAGCACCAGCCUCGUGGUCGACACCGGUAGCUGAAGCAUGCUGACCUUGCCGUACUGCACGACGCGCACCGGCACCAAAUGGACAGUGUGGAGGUGACCGGCGAGCGCUUGCGGCGCUCCGAUGUAGCUGCAGCCGGGCUCAGUGCACUAGCAAGGCGUGUGCGGGCACGCUUUCUGUUGCUCGGCGACCUUGUGGUAGGUCACGUACCACUUGAAGCCAGCGUUGGGGCACCCGAUCCUGGUGGAGGACACCACGGCGUCCAGCGCAGGGCAGGGGUCGAACAAGCCACCGCCGUCCACGCAUGCCUUGCACUGCCCGAAGGGCAGCAGGGCCACGCAGCCGCCGCAGGCCGGGUGCCCCGCUUUGCACUGUAGGCAAGCACACAAAAUCGGAGAUGGCCCGUAAAUUAGCAUGAAAGAAUAGAUCUAUCACCGGCGCCAAUCGAGGAAGAAAGAAGGAAACAGAGAGAGGAACCUGUAAGACCGGGGCUUGAAGGGGAGGGUGCAGAGGGGGCAGUGGAGCACUUGCUUGUCGAUCCUCAUGGCAAGGUCCACUCGCUGGAUGUACGCCGCCCCAACGAUGGCGCCUCCAUCUCCUCCACCGGCCGCCUCUUGCUUCAUGUGGCCGUCGGGCAGGUCCAGCCGCGCCUUCUUAGAGCUCUCGACGGCCUUGUCGGGAGAAGCCCUGCUCCUCCUCUCGGCGGCCGCGGCGGCGCCCUGCAUCUUACCUGGCCUUUGGGGAAAGAAAACUCCUGUGUGUGUGUCUCACGCCAAACUUUUUCAGGAGGUGGGUGAGGAGUAGAGCAGAGAUCUGAGAACAAAAGUUGCCUAGGCAGCCACACUACACUAUAAAUGCUUCCUCAUUGUGGUUUCCAUUCCCAAACUUAUAUGGUAUAGAUAUAAGCCGUGCUCUUAAUCAAUUUCAUUAUUGCUACUUUAUCCAUACAUUAAUGUUGUCUUUCUUUUAAGUACCUACAAGUGUGCGAUAAAAAGGUUGACCAUUGCAGAUCCAUGUUAUUUUUAGAGAAAAGCGAGGAACAUAAAUGGAAGCACAUUGUAUUUUUUUUAUCCGUAGCUUCCUGCUUAAUUGAUACACGGUGGAGUACUUUUGACUCCAUCGCCAGAUUAUAACACCAUCGAACACGUGGGAGCCCAUAAAAAGAAAAGGAUACAUGUGUAAGCACAAGGGAUAUGUGUGACCAAAUAGUACAAAGGAGAACACAAACUCAUCACAACUUUUCACCUAGAUCACGACACAUCCCGCCUUUCUCACUGUUAUCGAUAGACACAUACGUCAUCGCUGAUGUGCUGGCUGCCACCAGCAAAUAACAACAACGUAGACCACAAGCCUCCAAAAGAUCCAUGGAAUAGGUACUAGAUUUUGGAGACCCCCGACGCCAAACAUCUUGAUUAGCUGCUUGCAUGAAGUAGUAAGGUUACUUCCGACUGCCAUUAGUUUCAUUUCCUUGUUUCUAUUUUAAUAAAUUUAUGAUUGCGUGCAUUUCAGAAAAGCAAAGGCCAAGGGUUUCUUCCCCGGCCCGGCCCUUCGCGUGCCCCAUCAUGCUCCCAAUACGGCUACAAGGGACUGUCGAAGUGUGGCAUGCUCUCCUUCUCAGAGGAGCAGCACCAGGAAGAGGCCGGGCAGUGGGCGAUGGUGACGGUGUCAUGUAACUACGACAUGGUGGUGAUCCCUAUGGUCCUAUGGUGCGUCAUAAGUGAUUUGGGCAUUUAGGGGCCCUUCUGGAUUGUGCGUGCACCCUCCCUUCCGUAACGUGUGCAAAUUCACAGAGGAAGGAUGUUGCAGCCACGUGAAUACCAAUAUUUUGGUAGGAUAAGUCUGUCUGCCAUCCAGUUUGUAAGUAGAUUGGUUUGGUGUCGAUGACUUGUUUCUAUUUUAAUAUAGAAAGAUUAUUUUGUUAGAAAAUUGAUUUUUCAUCUCAUAAAGGUCAGCCAUAACAAAAAGAAUUAUGGCCACGUGUAGUAGAAGUUACUAGUUGAACACAGCAUUUUAUUAUGCAUGGAAAAAAAGUUCAAUCAGAUAGCAAUGGAGUACACAAAAUGCAUGCAUUUCUUACAUGAGAUUGAGCUCUACUCUUGACUUGAGAUAGAACCCGUCAGAACAAGCCGCUGUACAUGUCCACGGACAUUUAGUGAGGUCCGUUUUCAUCGACUUGCCUUAAUAGAGUGCAAUUUUCACAUGAGCAAUAAAACACAAUCUUAUUUGAAAGGAUGAUGCAUUUGGACUAUACUAGAAAGUAAGAAUCUGGUUUAUACCGAGGCUCCUCCCUUAUCAAAUAGAAGAGAUUUAAUCAGUUUCCCCUGUCUCACACAUCCGUCACACAGCACUACACAGGCCAAAGCUGCAUGCCUACUGAGGGCAUGAACAGUGGUGGCAUGUGGAUACAUAUGUCUCAUGAGAAAAAGUAAUUCGAGGCAGCUACAUUGAUUUUUCUCCCCAACGCAGGUUAUCACUAGUGUGCCUCAUCAACGAAUAGAAAGUAGAGACUAGUACACAUGCAUCUCUACUCAGCACUUCAAUUUUGUCAGCUUUUUACACUGGACCAGACUUUUUCUCUGCAAGCACCCGCCUCCCGCAGAGGAUCCCGCUUCCCCAUCGUAACCUACUGCUCAUGACAUCGAAUUCUACAUGGCAUAUGGGGCAUCACCCUAGGGCUAUGCAUUGGCCAUGUCCCGAGGCAAUGGAUCACAUGCCACAAUAGUAGAGGAUAAUUUCAGUACAGGAGUGCAGAGGCAUCAGCAAGAACCCAGCAAAGUAAGUAAGUAUACUCCUUCCCGAACUAGCAAACAAAGAAAAACAUAUGGUACUGCUAGUGCAGUAGACUACAGACAUGACAUGCAAAGUAUUUUCUACUCAACUCUCCUUUUGAAACUUGACCCUGCAAAGAAAUGAAUGCAAUGUUGUGAACUGCUCAUGCUUGUCUCGUUGCCAUGACGAAAUCAGGGUCUGUCCGGCGAUACAUGCUACUCUACCUGUUGGUGUCGUUCCCGCCCCUAGAAAAAAAUCACCAAGCCAAUGGAUGUUCAUUGGAUUCACUCUUUAAGUAACUUUAGAUGAUACCGAGAGAAUAUUGAGUAACACGCAAGAAUAUGCAUACAACCAUUUGAUACAUACAUCAUGGAUUGGUGAGGAUCCAAAAUGAAUCCCAUUCAUAACAAGAUUCAAAGAUAGGGGAAAUGACACCAGGCAUCCAAACAAAAAACAUGGUUCAAAUACUUGUAAAUUGUGGCCCACUCUUACAAUUUGUCAUGAUCCGUAACACUCCAUAUGAAGAAUCAUCCUCGUCAAUAUGGAAGUUUUCUUUUACCUAUAUAAGAAUGAGAAGUUCAGAAACUUAGAAUUAAUAAAACAAACAACCAGAGCUAGUUUGGAACAACAUUGACUGAAAAGCAAGUAUAUUUAAGUUUUACGUAUUUCUAAAUAAUAAUGUGCCAUGGAUUGAAGUAAUAUAUCAUAAAUACUAAGUGAUGCAAUAUUUUACAGUAAAACUAAUUGAAGCGUAUUUCAGGUGUAAAGCACGACGUAUCCUAAAGGAUCCAGCCGCUCCAUUGAACACUAAAUCCGCAGAAAUCAUCUCCAACAGAUAAAGUGGAAAAAGGACUCACCUUCAAUUAUUGAGUCUCACAAACAAAUAAUGAAUGUAUCACCUUUCCCACAUUAGACAUGAUCGCUAUCUCUGGCCAUCAAUGUUAACUAGAUGUGAAGUGCAUUCAAGAUAUUUCCCCUACUGCAUGGAUGCAAACUAAUACAUAAUUUAGUUCUGCAACCAAUGGAUCAUCAAAAUAUUGUGCUAAUAGCAAACAAUUAUUUAAGAUUCAAAGCAGCGACCUCAGCUUCUUCUGCCGGUUCUUCUUGGAAAAGCAAGAAAACAAAUAUAUCUAUUGAUAUAUGUUGCUACAUUCUGGUUGGAAUAAAUAAGCGAUACAAAAGCACCUAACAAAGAAACAAGCUCUAACAAUAAUUUACCAUGCCUUCUUUAAAUGGGCAAGAUCCAAUAGGCAAGAAACGUGCGCCGACAAAUGAAACAAUUAAGACCAAUUAUUAUAAUUAACAUCAAUAUCUCCAGUUGUUAGCAGAGAAAAUUGAAGCACACAUAUGCAUUGUACAUACGUAAUGUAUUUGGCCACCUCAGGGAAUCAUUUCACGAAUCAGUUAAUAGGAAAAGAAAAAUAGUAGGGAACAUAUUUAAAGAUGGGUAUAUAUAUCAUAGACUCUGCAAAUACAUAUCAGUCCAUGGCUUCAAAUUCAGCAGAUAUAUAAUGACCUAUUGGGAAGGGCACCUUUCCAUAGCCUGUUGGAUGGAGCAAAUUGCAAACUUUUAUAUAAUGUUGUCAGAAACAUCCCAACUCCAAAGUCAGAGGAAAGUAAUUGCACCUCACUGAGUAUAAUGCAUCAUAACCUACAACAUAUAUAGUAAGUGAAAGGCUUAAUUGGGGAUUAAAAAAAUCGGUUUGCUGCCGAAUUAAAUCCUACCGAGGUUCAAGAAAAAGAUAAAUCACUAAUACAUAGAACAUGGCAUGCUUGAUGCAUCAUACCAUUACCCAUCAAUACUAAUGCUGAAAAGGCAUGAGAAAAACAGAUGCAUAUAUUAGCAAUCAAACGCUUGCGUGAGACAAAUAGAAAAAAUUAAUAUCGCACUCUGUAAUAUAAAAGAUAUAUGUUGCAUGAUGUCCCCAUGAAAGAGCAACUCCACGAAGUCCAUGCGGGAGUAUGUGGUGUUGAUAGCCUUGACCCAGAGAGUGGGCGGUGUGGGGAAGUCGUACUUGAUGAUCGAGAUGGACUUCUCAACACUUGUCACCCCUAACAGUGGUAGGCUAUGCACCAUAGCCUGCACUCACAUUAAUGCUUGGUCGGGACCGUGGCCUCACACGGCCUCUGUGAAAGCUGUUUGCACACGAGGCAUGUGUGCUGGGGAGGCCCGUGUUCGGGACACCUAGCAUCGUCCCAAAACGUCACUACACAAAGGUAUGCAUGCCGUCACGCCAUUGGCUCCUUCUGGAUGUUGUAGUACUAAUUGUGAAGAGGAUUUUAGUGUAGUUUCUUAUUGUAAUGAGGGUUCAAAAUUUUAGCGAAAUUUUGCAUAUUUCGGUGGGGAUCGAAAUACUUGCAACCCUGAAAUUCUGAGCCAAAUUCAAACUAAAAUUUAAAUUAGCUUAAAAAUCAUUUAAAAAUAUUGAUUUUUGAAACUCAAAAUCCAAAAUAAGUUCUCAAUUUCCGAAAUUUUGCAUACUCCGGUAACGUCCAAACAAUUUCCAUGACCGAAAUUAAAAACCUUACCAACGUGGCUUUUUGGGCAGGUCCAUCUGUUGUAGUUACGCUCGGGGUACCCCAGUUUUAAAUACGCCGACCUGCGUCGUGCACAAAAUCAAGAGGGGCAACUAAAAAAGAAAGAUUUUUCAUGCUCCAUUAGCUAGCGUAAUCUUCUACUGUCAAUAAAACCAAAAAAUAAAUAAAAUGUCACUGAGUCAGAUCUAAAAGUUGGGAGUUGUCCAAAUGCGUGUCAUGCCCAUCAGUCAACACCAAUGGGUUGCUAGGGUAACUCUCGGCCGCCAUUCCAUUUGUAAAUAGAUGUUUACACUUAUAGUGUCCGAUGACUUGUUUUCAUUUUAAUAUCAAAAUAUUAUUUUGUUGGAAAAUAGAUUUUUAUUUUUUGGCUCAGAAAGCUCAUUCAUCUAGAAAAGAAUUAUGGCCAGUGUAGUAGAAGUUACUAGCUUUUUUUGGAAGACUGCAGCCCUCAAAGAGGGCUUAACACUUUAUUAUUAGGAGUUUAAGCAAUGUACAGAGAUAAGUUUACCCCUUUGGAAGGAGAUGGGUUUGAUUCAUUCCUUAGGAAGACUUUGAGAGAAGCUUCAUCACGAAUUGCUGCAUGGUUAUACUCUCUAUGCUGCAUCAACAUUGGCUAGGUAUCCUGCUUGGCAGAUUUCUUUGACAGAAGGCCUCCUUUGUUCCUCACUAUUCUCCAGUAAACCUGCAUUAAGCAUUGCUUUGGUAGCAUGGAUAACAUUUCUUGACAUGAGACUGAACUCUACUCCUGACUUGAGAUAUAUAGAUUGCAACAGAUGCAAAUGAAAUGCUUACAAGUUGGAAUGACAUAACAACGAAAGAAGAUGCAUUUCACAACAUGAUUAACACGAAGCAUAAUAUCCUCCGAUUUGAAUACAGUACCCAACAAUGACAUUAAAGAUGAACUGCAUCUACUAAUUAACAUCGCCCAAAUAGUUUCAGCUGCAACUCCAAAUUAAGCACGAACAGCUCUGAAUGCAUCGUUUGUUUCCCAUCAACAGCAGCGGACCUAAUCAAACCAAUGUGUCGGACCAAGGGGGGAGCUUAUCAAUGCGGAUGUGCAGGGGAACUUCCAUGGACGCCCCGUCUCCUGCUGCUGGCACCAGGUACAUUGGCGGCACCGUCAGGAACGUGGGCUCGCCCGCGGCAACCACGGGGCCGGGUGACGAGCUACUCCUCAUGUCCAUGUCCACAAGCACCAUGUCCUGCUUGCCGCAGUUCGCCGCUGCUGCCGGGGGUGGCUCCAGGUUGACCCACAUCUUGCACGUGAACCGCGGCCGCGUCGCCGCUCUUGCCCUGGCGCACACCACAGACAUGGCGGUCACACCGGCGCCGAGCGCGCCCAUGGUCAUGAGGAACAC
rnacentral:lncRNA from 1 species